rnacentral:lncRNA from 1 species
ACAGACAAAGCAAUCUUUCAUGGAGAGAAACCUUAGUCUCAGUAUGAUCACUGUGUCAUUAACCUACUGCCUGCUUCUUUGCUUGGUUGCUGCAGCAGCAGCAGCGGCAAGCAACAAUAUUACCACAGACCAACAAGCUCUUCUUGCCCUGAAAGAUCAUAUAAUUUAUGAUCCGACCAGCCUUUUAGCUCACAAUUGGACCUCGAAUACCUCUGUUUGUACCUGGAUUGGCAUCACUUGUGAUGCCAAUAGCCAUAGAGUCACAACCUUAGAUAUUUCUCAAUUCAAUCUACAAGGCACCAUCCCUCCUCAACUUGGAAACCUCUCUUCACUCACAACACUUAAUCUUAGUCAUAACAGGCUUUCUGGAAGCGUUCCCUCCUCCAUCUACACCAUGCAUACGCUAAAAUUUCUUGACUUCACUGAUAACCAGCUCUCUGGUUCAGUGUCUUCCUUCGUCUUCAACAUGUCUUCAAUAUUAGUAAUUCGUUUGACCAAUAACAUAUUUUCUGGUGAGCUUCCGAAAAAUAUUUGCAACUAUCUUCCUUAUUUGAAGGCCCUUUUCUUAAACAAAAACAUGUUUCAUGGCAAAAUUCCUUCUGCUUUAUCAAAGUGCAAACAACUGCAACAAUUAAAUUUGCAGUUCAAUAAUUUAUCCGGUGCAAUACCAAAAGAAAUCGGCAACUUGACUAUGCUCAAAGGGAUAUAUCUCCUCUACAACAAACUCCACGGUAUGUUCACAAUACUAUAUAAAUAUUUUAAUUUAUCACUUAUUAUCUUUCUUGAAUAAUUUAGCUAAGAUCUUGUAAGAGAGAUAUUUUGCAUCUACGUUAAUUUACCAGGUGAGAUACCCCACGAAAUCGCUAAUCUUCCAAAUCUAGAGGCUUUAGCGCUUGGAAUCAACAACCUAGUUGGUGUGUUACCAGCUCCCAUCUUCAACAUGUCAACACUGAAGGUACUUAUCCUCAUAAAUAACUCUCUCUCCGGAAGUCUUCCAUCAAGAGUAGACCUUUCACUUCCAACUGUUGAGCAACUUAACUUGGCACUUAAUAGAUUUUCUGGAACCAUUCCUAGUUCCAUCACCAAUGCUUCUAAGCUCACCUUUCUAGAGUUGGGAGCAAACACAUUUUCGGGGUUUAUUCCAAACACAAUUGGUAAUUUAAGAAACCUUAAGUGGCUCGGCUUGGCUAAUAACUCCUUGACAUCUUCAACCUCAAAAUUGAGCUUUCUUUCCUCUUUGGCAAAUUGCAAGAAAUUAAGAUUCGUAAACUUAAUAGGCAAUCCACUGGACGGCUUCCUUCCAAGUUCAAUAGGUAAUCUUUCUGUGUCUUUGGAAACACUUGGCAUCGGCAAUUGCAGUAUUAGUGGCAACAUUCCUCCAGCAAUUAGCAAUUUAAGCAACUUGUUGACCUUAGUAUUACACGGCAAUAAAUUGACUGGACCAAUCCCAACUACAUUCGGCCAACUGCAGAAACUCCAAGGCUUAGAUCUUGCAUUCAAUAAGUUGGUAGGUUCAUUCCCAGAUGAGCUUUGCCAUCUGGCAAGGCUGGAUCAAUUGAUCUUAUUUGGCAAUAAGCUUUCAGGAUCUAUACCUUCAUGCUUAAGCAACCUCACUUCUCUAAGAUCUCUCUAUUUAGGGUCUAAUAAGUUUACUUCUGUUAUUCCCUCAACCUUCUGGAGCCUAAAAGACAUCUUGUUCUUUGACUUUUCAUCAAAUUUCUUGGUUGGUCCUCUUUCUUUAGAUAUAGGAAAUUUGAAGGUGCUUCUAGGAAUAAGUUUAUCGAAAAAUAAUUUAUCCGGUGAUAUCCCAGCCACAAUUGGAGGACUGAAAGAUCUUCAAUUUAUGGACCUAGCAUAUAAUAGAUUGGAAGGCCCAAUUCCUAAAUCAUUUGGUGACUUGAUAAGUUUAGAAGUUCUGAAUUUAUCAAAUAAUAAAAUCUUUGGGUCUAUUCCAACAUCCAUGGAGAAACUUUUUUACCUCGGAGAGUUAAAUCUCUCUUUCAAUAAACUAGAAGGUGAGAUUCCUAGUGGAGGAACUUUUGCCAACUUCACAGCUAAGUCAUUUAUGGGAAAUGAGUUUUUGUGUGGUUUACAAAAUCUUCAAGUCCAACCAUGCAAAGUUAGCAAGCCGAGGACAGAACAUAAAUCAAGGAAAAAGAUACUUCUCAUUGUGAUUGUUUCGCCAUUGAGUAUUGCUCUAACAAUAGCAAUCACUCUAGCUCUCAAAUCUAAGCUGAUCGAAUGUGGAGAAAGAAGCACAGUGUUGUCAAAUGAUAGUAUCUUGUCAUCACAAGCAACACUAAGAAGAUUUUCAUACUUAGAACUUUUACAAGCAACAGAUAAUUUUGCUGAAAACAGCAUAAUUGGCAGAGGAGGUUUCGGUUCCGUUUAUGGAGCAAGACUUGAAGAUGGGAUGAAGAUUGCAAUAAAAGUGUUUCACAGGCAAUGUGCAAGCGCAUUGAAGAGUUUUGAGGCUGAAUGUGAAGUGAUAAAAAAAAUUCGCCAUCGAAACCUUAUCAAAGUUAUCAGCAGUUGCUCGAACGAUGACUUCAAAGCAUUAGUCCUAGAAUACAUGUCCAACGGGAGCUUAGGGGAUUGGCUGCAUUCGAGCAAUUACGUGCUGAAUAUUUUUCAAAGGUUGAACAUACUAAUUGACGUUGCAUCAGCUUUAGAAUACCUCCACUUCGAUCAUUCAACUCCUAUUAUUCAUUGUGACUUAAAGCCUAGUAAUGUAUUGUUGGACGAAAAUAUGGUUGCUCAUUUGAGUGAUUUUGGCAUAGCAAAGCUUUUAAGUGGAGAAGAUGAGUCUACGAUGCGAACAAAAACCCUUGCCACUAUAGGUUAUAUGGCACCAGGUUUGCUUCAAACAACUUUUUUUUUUUAAACUUCAUUUUAAAUUUUCUAAAUCAUUGAUUUUUACGAUCCUCAUAUCAAAUUGUUAUUGAUUAUUUAUCUAAUUGUGAAAUUAAUUUGAUUCAUAGAGUAUGGCAUAGGAGGAGAAGUAUCUACAAAAAGCGAUGUUUACAGCUAUGGGAUUAUGCUGAUGGAAACUUUUACCAAGAAAAAACCCACAGAUGAAAUUUUUGUUGGAGAAUUGAGCUUAAAGCAUUGGGUUAAUGACUUGCUUCCUAAUUCAUUAGUGGAAGUUGUGGACAAAACUCUGCUAAGUGGAGAGGAAAAACACUCUGCAGCAAAGGAGCAAUGUCUGUUGUCUAUCUUUAGUUUGGCUCUGGAGUGUACAAUGGAAUCACCGGAAAAGAGGAUUAAUGCAAAAGAUAUUGUUACCGGAUUACUCAAGAUAAGAGACACAUUCAGUAAAAGGAUAGGAAAUUUAAGUUAAUUUCGUUUGCUUUCAUUGAUAGUUAAUUCGAAUUCAUGUAAUAAGUGUAAGAAUCUUAUAUCUUUUCCUUUGAUAUAUUUUUUUUCUUGAGAAAACUGUUGUAGUCAUCUUGUUUCCAUGGGCAGAGUUGAUUUAGUUCUUCCAAAAAAUGCUACUGAUGACCUUUGUUUAAUACUUUCUCUUUUUUUGCAUGUGUUUAGGUAGAACAGUGGUUUGGCUGCAGGCUAAUAAGUCAAGCUACGCCAAAAGCGUAUGAUUUAAUUUAUUAAACAUAACUUCAAGUUCAAGAAGUGUUUCUCAUUGCCACCAAUGCUUUGGACACCUGUUGGAAGGUUUGUUGUCCUCAGCUUUUGUUUAGAGCAAAAGUUCGAGUCCCAUAAAGGCUCAAACAUUCCUUUCCUUCAUCCCGAGGGCGCCUUCUGUCCUCUGUUUUCUGUUUCCACACACAAAUAGCACAAAGAAUUUAGAAUGACAACUGGGACAUAUAUAAGAGUGAAAUAAUUAAAAAAAUUAUGCUUUUUUGUUUGUCGUGUUAAAAUCGUAAGUACCGAAGUACUGUGAAAGAGAUUAAUUUACAGAAACUGAAGCCAAGGGUUCAAAAAAAACUAUUGAUGUAGCUAGAAUGCAAUGUCAUAUUCAUACAGAGAUGAAGUAUAUUAUUUACGGCUGGUAAGGACUAGGAAUUGAUGUAGCUAGAAUCCAAAGAUGAUAAGGUAUGUUGUGCACUAUUGUUUUAUUCUACGGUCAAUCUUGACCCUUGGUGCUUGGCUCUCAAUCUUGUCCAUUGAUCUUCUCUGAUCUUGGAAACUUCAAGACCUUUCACUCUCAUGCCUUAUUAUUGGUGUCUUCCAUGCUGUAGCUUUCAAAUACAAGCUUUCCCGCCAACUUGCCAAUUAUUUGUCCGUUGGUGCAUUUUAUCAAACAGUUUGGAUACUUAUACCAAACGCCUCCUGUUUUAACUCCCCCCUCAAGCUCAAGCAUGUGGGAAGACAUUAAUAAGCUUGUUUCUCAAGUAUAUGUAUCUGAAAAUUAAAUUUUAUAAAUUAUAUUCGGACUCUACAUUUUCUAAUGAACAUUGGUUUGGCUUAUAAGCUUAUUAUACUCAGGUUUGGUAGGAGCCAUGUCACAAUGUUAACGCUAACCAGCAGUACUGCCAAAGCUGGCCAACUCAGCCUGCAAGUUCAUAGCAACCAUAGUUACAGUCCUAGUCCGGUACAAAAAUCGUAAAUAUCAUUUACAUUACAAUGGUGUGGGGGGGGGGGGGGGGGGGGGGGGGGGGUGGCUGGAGAGGGAAUCAACAAAGAUCUAGAACGAAGGGUAGGCUUGUAUCCGUAACCCAUGUCACAGUGUUAAUGCUAACCGUGGACCUUAUUAUAUUAGUUUCUGGACUAUUAUUACUUUUGAAUUGCCAUCUUUGAAUUUACGUUCAUUUCUGCCUCGACAAGAUGUUUGUAAAAAUAUGCUAAUUAUUAAUGUGCCGUGUACAAAUAAGCAUGUUACUGUGCAAGGAUUGUAGUCAUGAUACAGUGGUGCAAAAUGUACAUGCUACUUCUUCUUUUCCUCAGUUAGGAUCACCGUCGUCACCAUUUAAUUCUAAGUCCACCCAUGCGGCCUAUGCAAUUGAAAUCAUGUGACCAUGUAAUUUUAGGUUCUGAUCUUCCUUGUGGGGUUAAACCUCAAAACUGUGACCAUUUUGGGACUUUUAAUCAGUUCCAAUCAUUUUCUGGUUCCCAUUCGUCCACCCAAGCCUUGAUUCCCCCGAUAUAGCAUGGCAAUAUAUAUAGGAAUAUUAAGGUUGUGUACAGUUUUUUUCUUUUCUGUUUUUAAUUUGAUAUAAAUUAUCAAUCAUGAAUCUACAUAAAGUUUCAACUAGGCUACUACCACAAUAAACAUUUGGAUGAACUAUUAUUGAAACCUUAUUGAGAAGUAGGACAUGUCGCAUACCAAUGCACUGACAUAUCUUCAAAUAGUGGUAACUCCACACAACAUGGCACAAUAAAUUAAGAGUUAUAUAGAUAAAAUCUUUCACUCUUUGGUAAUCAUCAAUGUCGGCAUGACAAUGCGUCCCACAAAUAUGGCUCCUUAUCAAAAUUCAUAAAUCAAAACAAAAAUAGAGAAUCAUAUUUGUUCCAGAUUGUAGUGAUGGUUGUUGAUGCACUCACAAUUUACAAUUUUAUUUAAUAUCUUCAAAUUCGCAUUUUAAAAUGCCCAAAUGUUUGUGUAUACAUAAUUAGAUAAAAUCUUUCAUUCUUUGGUAAUCAUCAAUUUCACUAUUAUUCGCUUUAUUAUGUUUGUUUCUUUCAGUAUGUUAAAAGAUUAUGUUGUGAAUUUGUUUUACAGGCCGCCCGUAAGUCUGCGCCCACUGUUGUGAAUUUGUGUAUACAUAAUUAGUAAUCGAUUCUCAAGCACGGACAUUUAAAAGCACUGCCGAAAGACAAAAUUUUAAUUUACUAUUUUUUGUCUUUUAAUUUUCUUUAAGUUUUAAUGAUUCCGCAUUUUAAAAUCCUGUGGAACGUGUAUGUAAAAUUCUUUUAUCUUUUAGAGGAAAACGGGCAAGAGAAGAAUAUUUGGCAAAGGAAUUGCAACCGCAUUUGGAGCUAUAUUUAAUUUUGUCUUUUAAGUCUUUUACACUUGUUUUUGUUAUUGAUGUUAGCUUGGAUGUGUGUGCGUGUGCGACUGAAUUCAACUUACAUGCUAUUGAUGCAGCCACCAAAAAGGGGUGGUCCAUCAUCAAUCAACAAGGUUUAUUAUUAUUAAUUUCCAUAUUGAUUUUCUUAAUUAUAAAUAAUACUAAUGUUAUUUCAUAGUUAUAAAUAUAUUAGAAUUAAUCGAAAUCAUUUUUUAGUGCGGCAUGGCUAAAACUACCCUCUUCUUUUUUUUUAUAAGUAAUUACUACUUUCACAUUAAGAAAAAUACUCCUAUUUUUUAGGAAAAGUCAAGUACCUGUAGUUGUGAAGACUCGAGCUCACUCCCUUAUGAUAAAUCUUCAUAUUAAUUACGUAAAUAUCCUCUAAAAUUUUAAAUUAGCUAUUCAAAAUUUGAUGUUAUACGGGUAUUUCAUUUAUUUGAGUAGGGGUUAGGGGUCAAUUGGAUACAAAUUCAAAAUUAUCCUUACUUGAGAUGGUGAUAAAAAUUGGGGAUUUAAUUUGGAUGUCAUUAGCUACAAAUAUUAAACUCAUACAUUUAAUUCAAAAUUGGAGGGCUGAUAUAAGCGCAUCAUCCCACAACCUCUCCAAUGAAAAAUUAACACGUUUCUUGUGUGCAUUUGAUCAGAAUCCUGAAAAUUAAUCACAAAAUUGUCCUGGAAAAAAAAAUACUUACAUAAAUGGUUUGAAAAAUCUAGAUUUCAAGUUGUCUAUAUUAGGUUGAUAUUUUUAUAAAUAGUCAUCCUCUCAAAAAAAUUCCGUCAAAAUAUAUUUUAAUUUUAUGUUAAUUCAUAAACAUGAAAAAAUCAUUUCAGAAUUAAUUAAAACAUAAUUUAUUGUUUCUCAAAAAAGGUAGAACUUAGUGAUAAGAAAAAAGUAUCUCAAAUAUAUGUAAAAAAAAAAAAAAUCUUGGUUAGUUGGAAUGAUUGAAUUUGUUUUUUUUUUUCUUUUUUAAGAAUUAAGACAAUCGGAUUGAUUGAGUAAUAAUAAUAUAUAUUUAUUUGGCAAAUGGCAGGUAGGCUUUCGUCUCAUGCAGAUUGAUUAGAGAGAAAAUAUAACAAUUUUAAGCUCGUCAGAUUCGAAGCUGCUUUCCUGUCGUGUGGGGAUCACUUCCGUGUCUUAUUUUUCUAGAAAAAUCAGGACCAUUGGAUUUAUGCGAAUCGUACUGAACAUUGGAAUUGAUGUAUAAGAAAAAAAUUCUGUAGUUUAAGAAGAACAAAAAGGCAUGUUGAAUAGAUUACAAUAGUUUAAGGAAAAAAAUUAUUCAAUUGGGAAUUUUUUUUUUCUUUAAUUUUUGUUGUACUUGAUUGAGAUUUCUCCUUAGUCCUUAGAGUUUUAAGUUUGGAAACCGUAGGAUCAGUAAUUUCGUACUUCCUUUGCAAGCUGAGUAUAAGGAUGAAAUUCUUUUAAGAAAUUAAAAAAGAUAAAAAAAAGCAUACCAAUAGGUAAUUAUAAAUAACCACAAAUAAAUAUAAACAAAAUGUUUAUGAAGUAAAUUAAACAUGCUCAUAUUAUUUUCUUUUAUUUUCUACUUGGAAAUCCAUAAAUACACUAAUCCAGUAUUACUAAUUUCAGACAGAAAAAUUUGAAUUUAACCAGUAUACACUAAUCCAGUAUUAUUUUUAUUAUUAUUUUAAUUUGUUUAUAAAUUACUAUUUUAAUUUUCACUUUUUAUUGGGUUGUUUAACGGAUUAGUGAAGCUGGUGGUCGUUGAUGCACUCACAAGGUACAAUUUUAUUUUAGAAUUUCAAAUUCGUAAUUUAAAAUGCAGGCACAUUAUGUAUACAUAAUUAUUGAUUUUCAUAUGUGGGUGUCUUGAAAUAUUGCCAAAAGAUCAAACUUUAAUAAACGAUUUUUGAUCUUUUUUUUUCCUUUGUACCUAAAGUUUGAGUGAUAUCCGCAUUUUAAAUUCAUGUGGACCAAAAGCUAAUGUAUGCACAAAAUUCUUUUAUUUUUUCCGAGAAAAAUGGGUAAGAGAAGAAGAUUUUUCUCUUGAAAAAGAAAAACUAAUACGUUGCAAGCAUAGGAAAGAGGCCAGUGUUUUGGAUUUGAAUUUAGUAUUGGGUUGAAUUUUAUGCUAAGCUCUUUUAUAAUACUUUAUAGAAUAAAAAUGUAAGGGGUAUUUGGUUAGGCAUGUACUUUGUAGAAUAAAAAUGUAAUAAUGUAAGUCAGUGCAAUGAUCUGCUGUCAUAAUAGUUGUAAAUAUUUAUGUGUAAUAUAGUAACAUGAUGCUUAAUCAGUUAAAAAAAAAUUGUAUAUCUUUUUUUAUUUUUUUUUAUUGUGAUCAAUAUAACUAGUCAAAUUUAUUUUUAAAUAUUUUUUUAAAAAUAUUUUUAUCGUGUGUUUGCUCCAUUACAGGGUUUCUUCAAUUUAAAAUAGAGAAUCAUUUGUGUUCUAGAUUAAUCGUGGGUCUAUAUCCAAAUCCAAAAAUUGACUAACUUGAUUUCUAUUAAGUUCUCAACCCUAACAAGAAAAAUAGAAGAUUAAAAAUGACUAUUUUGGUUUCUAUUAAUUUGAGUAACGCUUAAUAUUUAUCAUACAAUAGUCACUUAUAUUAUCAAAAUCUUGGGUCGAAAAUAUUAGGAUAGGUGAUAAUUGGAAUUAAGUUGUAGAUAAGAUAGCCUUUCAAAAAAAAGAAAAGAAAAAAAGUUGUAGAUAAGAUAGAAAUGGAUUUGGAGAGAGAUUGGAAUCCUGGCUAAUCCGGUGCACGUUGUUGCGUUAAAUUCUCGUUGACUUCACGUUGACCGAAGCAUUAUUGGAAGAAACAAGCAAGCUUAUUUUCUUCUCUCAUUUUUUACUUUUGUCUAAAUUUAUUGAUGUGAGGCCUCUGAGAUGGUAAAGUGUUAAAUCUGAGAAGAGUACCCACACACCCAUUAUCCUAUUACUCUUAUUUUAUCACAUGCAGAGACGUCAACGUUUGAUUCGCACAGAAAAAAAUUUGCGAGGAUUGUGAGGGUUGAUUCAAUAUAAUUUAGAUGCAAAGUGUUUACAAGUGCGAUGCUUCGUAAGUGCACCCGAAUCAUUAUAAACUCACCUUAUUUUCAUAGUGAUUAUUUCAUCUGCAUGUGAAUAUAAUCAUAUGUGGAGAUUUUUUUUUCCCUAAACUAUGAUCUUCUCUGGUAUUAAGGUGUUAUAUCUUUUAAAUUAUAAUUAUUAUUAGUAAAAAACUGCAACUAUGAAAAAGAAAUUUAAUAUUAUGUCCUGAAUAUAAUUAUUAAAUAAUAAUUUUGACAAAAUUAAUGAAUAUAUACAGAUUUUUUUAUCAUAUAAAUGUAAAAUUAUAUCAACUUAGCUUCUAAGCUAUACAACGGCUACUAUUUACUAAAUACUUUAGUGUCGUAGUUUUUAAGAUAUAUUUAUCCAACCUCAAUCCCAAACAUAACCUGUAAGGAUAAAAAAUUUCAUCCUAAAAAUUAUACGUCUUGUGACUUAUUUAAUUUAUAUUUUUGUUAUUUAUAUUUACUAAUUAUAGUCAUCUUUUAAUAAAUUACAAUUGAAGGAAGGUGGUUGAUGUUGUCGAGACACACACACAAAGAUAUAUUGGAAGUGCUUAUGUCCACUCGAAGUUGUGGGGAGUUAAUGCAUGUAUUGAUUUAUUGGGAGUGUUAAUGCAUGUAUUGAUUGAUUGAGUGAUUGAAUACUGUUUGAUUGCUUCAUAUCAAUUCUAGAAAGUUUAUUUCUUUGUGAAAUUUCAACGAAACGUGUUUUUUUAGAAUAAUAAGGGUGUUUUAAGUAAUUUUAAAAAAUGAAUGGACUAAUUAGAAUUAAUUAUUAGGUAAUUAACUCGAAUUGUAGAGGGUAAGCAAACAUUUAUCCUAAUUAUAUUAUGAUAAAUCCUUUUCCAAUUAGAAUUAGGAAACCAUAGAUAUACUGAAUUUUUUUUAUUUCCCUUCGCGAAAACGGAUUAGAGAAUUAGAAAACAAUCCUAGUGAUACUAUUGUUAGGUUUAAAACACUGCAUAGAUGGUAAAAACAUUGGAAUUGAUGUAGAUUAAUUUGUUAAUUGCUAUCGUACUGAACAUUGUUUUAUGCAAAUUAAUUUGAGAAUUAGAAAAUAUUUUGUUGCAUGCAAACUUUUUGUUUUAUGCAAAUCGUACUGAACAUUGGGACUGAUGUUUAAGAAAAAAAUUCUGUAGUUAAAGAAAAACAAAAAGGCAUGUUGAAUAGAUUACGAUAGUUUAUUCAAUUGGGAAUUUUUUUUUUUAAUUUUGUUGUACUUGAUUGAGAUUUCUCUUUAGUCCUUUCGUACUUCCUUUGUAAGCUGAGUAUAAGGAUGAAAUUCUUUUAAGAAAUUAAAAAAGAAAAAAAAGCAUGCCACUACGCAAUUAUAAAUAACCACAAAUAAAUAUAAACAAAAUGUUUAUGAAGUAAAUUAAACAUGCACAUAUUAUUUUCUUUUAUUUGCUGCUUGGAAACCCAUAAAUGCACUAAUCCAAUAUUACAAUUAAUUUCAGACAGAAAAAAUUGAACUCUAGGCUGCAGUUUGACUCAAAAUGAUGACCACUGGCUUCGCACCAUUCAACCGGUAUACAUUUCUACAAACCGAACAACGCUAUUGAUUUUUAUUAUUUUUUUAAUUUUUUUAUAAAUUACUAUUUUAAUUUUCACUUUUUAUUGGGUUGUUUAACGGAUUAGUGAAGCUGGUGGUCGUUGAUGCACUCAUAAGGUACAAUUUUAUUUUAGAAUUUCAAAUUCGUAUUUUAAAAUGCAGGCACAUUAUGUAUACAUAAUUAUUGAUUUUCAUAUGUGGGUGUUUUGAAAUAUUGCCAAAAGACCAAACUUUAAUAAACUAUUUUUGAUUUUUUUUUCCUUUUUACCUAAAGUUGGAGUGAUAUCCGCAUUUUAAAUUCAUGUGGAACAAAAGCUAAUGUAAGCACAAAAUUCUUUUAUUUUUUCCGAGAAAAAUGGGUAAGAGAAGAAGAUUUUUCUCUUGAAAAAGAAAAAAAAAUACAAUGCAAGCAUAGGAAAGAGGUCAGUGUUUUGGAUUUGAAUUUAGUAUUGAGCUGAAUUUUAUGCUAAGCUCUUUUAUAGUACUGCGAUUAAUAAGCUAGCUCAGGAUUUGCUUUUGCUUUUACUUCAAGUAAAAGAAUGAGGAAGCCUUUUGUUUUUUUGUUUGAUUUUUGACUAUAUAUGUUACCUAUAUAGAGAGUUGAGGUAGCAGCCUUAAGUGAUGGUGAUAAAAAGAUUAAGCAGCGCACACAAUCUUACUGUCGUCGAGACCAUCCAGUGAUGGCUCUUGUUUUUUUGUUACGUUAGCUUUAGUGGAAAGAAGGACCAAUUUAACAAAGACUAGAUUUGGUGGCUUACUAUGUUUAAUGUAAUGCUUAUUCUCAGCGCACACAAUCUUACUAUGUUUAAUGUAAUGGUUAUGUUGAAUGAUCUUCUAUGAUUGUGAGUAGUAUAGUAUAAUUGCAAGGGGCCUGGGCUCCUAUGAUGAAUAACAGUAACACAUUACUGUGAUUGAGAAAACUCAGUUCCAAUAAACUCUUCAUUUACUCAUUGCGGAGAUUGAAUGGCAAACAGAGAAUAGAAUGAAGCAGAAGAAUCUCAUUGUUAGGUUUUGAUGAUUUCAGAUGCUUUUUAAAAAAAAACAAUUGUGACAUCUUUGAUUUAAGGUAGUUUUGCAAAAAACAAAACAUAUAAAAAUUAAGAGGGAUGAUUUAACUGACGAUUACAAUCAUUACAGCAAUGCUGAUGAGUGAUAAAUCACUUGAAAUUUACUUGUCAGUUGCUGAAAUGAUGAAAAAAAACAAUAAACGAUAACAGUAAUAAUGUUCCCUUGCUGAAAUUCAAUUUUGACUUUCGACUCUUGGCUUUUAUGGAGAGUAAAAUGACUUGUAUAUUAUACUCAUACAAUCCACUCUACAUAAUGAUAUCGUUUUAGUAAGGCAAUGGCUGAUGAUCUCCAUUUAAAAACUACAUCAAUUUUUUUUUGCUUCAUUUAACUUUUUGGUUGUUGAAAAUAACCUUAAUUACCAAAUAAUUGGAGAAAGAGUUAAGAACAUUUAACAAAUUUAUGUGCAAAAAAAAAAGAAGGAGAAGUUGAAGAGAAAGGGUGCUUGCAGAAGUGGGUGUCAAAGAUAAAUCGGUCCAUAAGAAUUAUUGUGGUUAUUUUUUGGCAAUAUAAAAAAUUUUUAGUAAGUAAAAAUAAUUUUUUUUUCGAUUUACUAAAAAAUUAACUAAAAACUUCUGCGAUAGCAUUUUUUAUGGGUGCAGAUACCCUCCCUUUAAAAAAAAUAUAAUAAUUACUGCUUAAUAUAGUAUUAAAUACGAAAAUAUCAAUAUUUGACUACUCAAAUUUAUGUCAUUAGGUCCUUCAAAUUUAAAAUGGAAGAUAUGAAAGGAAAUAUAUAUAAAUUUCAUUGUCCUGGGAAAGGACCCUCUUAUAAUCUUAUAAUAUUUGAACUUUGAUAGAUUUUUUGAAACAAAUUUAGAUAGAUUUUUUGAAACAAAUUUACUUUUAUUUGUGUACAAUCAAUAUUUACUUAUUUAUUAUAUUUUAAUUUAUUAACUAUCAAUCAUGUUAAUAUAUUUAGUCAGAAAAAUCAUAUCAAGAGAAAAUCAUGACCCCACGCACGGAUAAAUACGUUAAUUUCUAUACUAUUCACUUUCCUGUAGAAUCAAUUAUUUAAAAUGCAAGUUUGUGGCUACAGAAAACUCGCCAAAGAAAGAAGAUAAUAACAAUUGAGCAUUGAUAGCAAAACUAAUGCAUCCAAUUCUUCUUGACUUGAUGAGAUGGCGCCAUAACGUAGAAACAAGUACCUAAAUUGACCGGCACUGAGUGGUGUGAAUACUACCAGCCAGUUCAUCUCUUCCAGUCGUGCUUAAUCACAAUCACAAACACCACGAGAUCGACAUUUGCAUUAUAUAUAUCUUCAGCAAUCGAAACACCUUGCAUUACCAAAUUAACCAGCAACAAACAAAGCAAUCUUUCAUGGAGAGAAACCUUAGUCUCAGUAUGAUCACUGUGUCAUUAACCCACUGCCUGCUUCUUUGCUUGGUUGUUGCAGCAGCAGCAGCAGCAAGCAGCAAUAUUACCACAGACCAACAAGCUCUUCUUGCCCUGAAAGAUCAUAUAAUUUAUGAUCCGACCAACCUUUUAGCCCAUAAUUGGACCUCGAACACCUCUCUUUGUACCUGGAUUGGCAUCACUUGUGAUGCCAAUAGCCAUAGAGUCACAACCUUAGAUAUUUCUCAAUUCAAUCUACAAGGCACCAUCCCUCCUCAACUUGGAAACCUCUCUUCACUCACAACGCUUAAUCUUAGUCAUAAUAAGCUUUCUGGAAGCGUUCCCCCCUCCAUCUACACCAUGCAUACGCUAAAAUUUCUAGACUCCACUGCUAACCAGCUCUCUGGUUCAGUGUCUUCCUUCGUCUUCAACAUGUCUUCAAUAUUAGACAUUCGUUUGACCAAUAACAGACUUUCUGGUGAGCUUCCGAAAAAUAUUUGCAACUAUCUUCCUCAUUUGAAAGCCCUUUUUUUGGACAAAAACAUGUUUCAUGGCAAAAUUCCUUCUGCUUUAUCAAAGUGCAAACAACUGCAACAAUUAAAUUUGCAGUUCAAUAAUUUAUCCGGUGCAAUACCAAAAGAAAUCGGCAACUUGACUAUGCUCAAAGGGAUAUAUCUCCUCUACAACAAACUCCACGGUAUGUUCACAAUACUAUAUAAAUAUUUUAAUUUAUCACUUAUUAUCUUUCUUGAAUAAUUUAACUAAGAUCUUGUAAGUGAGAUUUUUUGCAUCUAUGUUAAUAACCAGGUGAGAUACCCCACGAAAUCGCUAAUCUUCAAAAUCUAGAGGCUUUAGGGCUUGGAAUGAACAACCUAGUUGGUGUGUUACCAGCUCCCAUCUUCAACAUGUCAACACUGAAGGUACUUAUCCUCAUAAAUAACUCUCUCUCCGGAAGUCUUCCAUCAAGAAUGGACCUUUCACUUCCAACUGUUGACCAUCUUAACUUGGCACUUAAUAGAUUUUCUGGAACCAUUCCUAGUUCCAUCACCAAUGCUUCUAAGCUCACCUUUCUGGAGUUGGGAGGAAACACAUUUUCGGGGUUUAUUCCAAACACAAUUGGUAAUUGUUGUUUGUGAAAGCAAAUCCAGAAAACCAAAACGGCAGAAGACUUUGCGUUUAGAAGCUGGAAACACUUAAACUCAAAACGGCACAGGAGCCUGCGUUUUGGUGAGUAAAAGAAAUGCACUCCUGGACGACGUAUGGGUUUGACGUUUAGAUUUAAGUGAUUCACGCGUAUAUCACGUGCUUGAGUUCAGCCUUGCAAAGUUCGUUAUAUGUCGUUAGGAGCACGAAGAGCUCACGUGAGGUGCUGGGGUUUUUCUGGGUUUAUUAGCUAAAGCUGUUAUGGAACAGCUGAUGUGGAAGCAACGGACUGGAGAGCAGAGAGAGCUAAAGAUAGAGAAGGGAACUGGUUAUAUAAGCUAGUUAUAAUCUGUCUUUUAGGGACUAAGCAUUUACUCUGUAAUUCAUCUGAAAGAAAUCAAUAAAGCUGUGUUCUUUCCCUCCCGUGGAUGUAAGCUAGAGAAGUCUAGCUGAACCACGUUAAGAUUCUUUGUUCUUUCUUUACAUUACUUUCUUUUGAUUCUUUAGACCAAUUUUGUUUACCAUUUAAGUUCCAUAGAUUUCAUCUUAGUCAUAGCUUUUCGGUAAGCCAUCUUGCUGCAUCUUGUUCUGUUGGCUGGAGAUCUUGGGGCAGAGUCUUGGGUUGCUCUAUCAGUCUUUAGCACCUGAGAUUCUACAGUAAUUUAAUAAACCUUGAGUGGCUCAACUUGGGUAAUAACUCCUUGACAUCUUCAACCUCAAAAUUGAGCUUUCUUUCCUCUUUGGCAAAUUGCAAGAAAUUAAGAGUCAUAGGCUUAACAGGCAAUCCACUCAAUGGUAUCCUUCCAAGUUCAGUAGGUAAUCUUUCUAUGUCUUUGAAAACACUUGUCAUCGGCAAUUGCAGUAUUAUUGGCAACAUUCCUCGAGUAAUUGGCAAUUUAAGCAACUUGUUGGCCUUAUCAUUAGAAGGCAAUAAAUUGACUGGAUCAAUUCUAAUUACAUUCGCCCGACUACAGAAACUCCAAGGCUUAGAUCUCGCAUUCAAUAAGUUGGUAGGUUCAUUCCCAGAUGAGCUUUGCCAUCUAGCUAGGCUGGCAGAAUUGGUCUUAUUUGGCAAUAAGCCAAAUAAGCUUUCAGGAUCUAUACCUUCAUGCCUAAGUAAUUUCACUUCUAUAAGAUCUCUCUAUUUAGGGUCCAAUAGGUUUACUUCUGUCAUUCCCUCAACUUUCUGGAGCCUAAAAGACAUCUUGUUCUUUGACUUUUCAUCAAAUUUCUUGGUUGGUACUCUUUCUUUCGACAUAGGUAAUUUGAAGGUGCUUCGAGGAAUAAAUUUAUCAGAAAAUAACUUAUCGGGUGAUAUGCCAGCCACAAUUUGAGGACUAAAAAACCUUCAAAUUAUGGACCUAGCAUAUAAUAGAUUGGAAGGGCAAAUUCCUGAAUCAUUUGGUGACUUGACAAGUUUGGAGCUUUUGAAUUUGUCAAAUAAUAAAAUCUCUGGGUCUAUUCCAAAAUCCAUGGAGAAACUCUUUUACCUCCAAGAGUUAAAUCUCUCUUUCUAUGAACUAGAAGGUGAGAUUCCUAGUGGAGGAAUUUUUGCCAACUUCACAGCUGAGUCAUUUAUGGGAAAUGAGUUAUUGUGUGUUUUGCCAUUGAGUAUUGCUCUAACAAUAGCAAUCACUCUAGCUCUCAAAUAUAAGCUUAUUGAAUGUAGAAAGGGAAGAACAGUGUUGUCAAAUGAUAGUAUCUUGUCAUCACAAGCAACACUAAGAAGAUUUUCAUACUUAGAACUUUUACGAGCAACAAAUAAUUUUUCUGAAAACAACAUAAUUGGCAUAGGAGGUUUUGGUUCUGUUUACGGUGGAAGACUUGAAGAUGGGAUGAAGAUUGCAAUAAAAGUGUUUCACCAGCAAUGUGCAAGCGCAUUGAAGAGUUUUGAGGCUGAAUGUGAAGUGUUAAAAAAUAUUCGCCAUCGAAACCUUAUCAAAGUUAUCAGCAGUUAUUCAAACAAUGACUUCAAAGCAUUAGUCCAAGAAUACAUGUCCAACUGGAGCUUGGGGGAUUGGAUGCAUUCUAGCAAUUAUAUGCUGAAUAUAUUUCAAAGGUUGAACAUAAUGAUUGACGUUGCAUCAGCUUUAGAAUAUCUUCACUUCUAUCAUUCAACUGCUAUUAUUCACUGUGACUUAAAGCCUAGUAAUGUAUUGUUGGACGAAAAUAUGGUUGCUCAUUUAAGUGAUUUUGGCAUAGCAAAGCUUUUAAGUGGAGAAGAUGAGUCUAUGAUGCGAACAAAAACCCUUGCCACUAUAGGUUAUAUGGCACCAGGUUUGCUUCAAACAACUUUUUUUUUAGUUCAUUUUAAAUUUUCCAAAUCAUCGAUUUUUACGAUCCUCAUAUCAAAAUGUUAUUGAUUAUUUAUCUAAUUGUGAAAUUAAUUUGAUUCAUAGAGUACGGCAUAAAAGGAGAAGUAUCUACAAAAAGUGAUGUUUACAGCUAUGGGAUUAUGUUGAUGGAAACUUUUACCAAGAAAAAACCCACAGAUGAAAUUUUUGUCGGAGAAUUGAGCUUAAGGCGUUGGGUUAAUGACUUGCUUUCUGCUUCAUUAGUGGAAGUUGUGGACAAAACUCUGCUAAGUGGAGAGGAAAAAUAUUUUGCAUCAAAGGAGCAAUGUCUGUUGUCUAUCUUUAGUUUGGCUCUGGAGUGUACAAUGGAAUCACCGGAAAAGAGGAUUAAUGCAAAAGAUAUUGUUACCAGAUUACUCAAGAUAAGAGACACAUUGAGUAAAAGGAUCGGAAAUUUAAGUUAAUUUCGUUUGCUUUCGUUGAUAGUUAAUUCAAAUUCAUGUAAUAAGUGUAAGAAUCUUAUAUCUUUUCCUUUGAUAUUUUUUUUUUUGAGAAAACUGUUGUAGUCAUCUUAUUUCCAUGGGUAGAGUUGAUUUAGUUCUUCCAAGAAUUAAUUGAGCUUGUUUCACAAGUAUAUGAAUCAGACAGUUAAAUUUUAAAAAUUAUAUUCGGACUCUACGUUUUGUAAUGAACAUUGGUCUGACUUGUUAUACAUUUAUGCGGACAUUCAAGAGCAAAUAUUUUGAUUUACUAUUUUUUGUCUUUCAAUUUUCUUUUAGGUUCUGAUGACGUGCGCAUUUUAAAAUCCUAAGGUACAUAUAAAAUUCUUUUAUUUUUCGGAGGAAAAUGGGUGAGAGAAGAAGAUUUGGCAAAGGAAUUGCAACGGCAUUUGAAACUAGUCUUUGUCGUUUAAUUCUUUUAUAUUCGUUUUUUUUAUUGAUGUUAGCUUGGAUGUGGGCGCGUGUGACUGAAUUCAACUUAUAUUUGUUUUUGUUAUUAAUUUUAUUUGUUUUUGUUAAAUUGGACCACCAAAAAGGGUGGUCCAUUAUCAAAUCAACACCGUUUAAUUAUUAUUAUUUCUACACUUUUUUUUAUGAACAAAUAUAAAAUAAAAGGACAUUUACACCCAAAUUUUAGUGAAAUAGUCAUCAACACCCUUAAAUUUUUAAAAAGAGACAUCAAGAUCAUUUUUUGAUCUUAAUACUCUUAUACAGUACCUCUAUUAUUCCUAAAAAUUGACUCUAAUGUUUUAUAAUAAAUAAAAAUAAAAGAUUAAAAUAAAUGUAAUAACAUAUACAUUUUAAAACCAUUUCAAUAUUUAAAAAAUAUUUUUAACAUUUUACAAUCUAUUAAAUAUAUUUUAUUAUAUUAAAGUAAAUUUUAUAAUAAAUAGAAUCAUAUUAUUAAAAUAAAUGCAUUAAAAUUUAAAUUAUUUUGAAUAUCAUGUAAGAUAAUAAUUUUAACAUUACUAGUAUGUCAGAUUUUUUUUUUAAUUGUAGAGUGUAUUUAGUGCAAAUAUUUAUUUCAAAUAUCUACAAUAAAUAAAAGAUUAAAGUAAAUAUAAUAAUUUACAUAUCUAAAUUUAUUAAAAUAUUUUAAUAUUGUUAGUCUACUGCAUAGAUCACAAUAUUCAUAUAACAUUUGUAUUUAUUAAAAACUUUAAAAUCAAUUCUUUUGAGAAUAAUAGAGGUAAAGGGUAUAAUGGUCAAAAGGGAAAUUUUGUAUCCCUUUCUGAAAACUUGAGGAUGUUGGUGACUAUUUCUCCAAAUCUUCAGCGUGUAGAUGUCCUUUUCUCCGACAGUAUCUGAACUUUGAAGUAAUAAGGAUCACCUUUUACGAAAUUAUAUUGCUUUUCAUGAUAGACUGUUACCAUUUUUCUACAAUAGAUUGAAUUUAGUAAAAAAUUGAUUAAGAUGUCUACUCAUGGAGAGUGAAAUUUAUGUUCAAAACUAAUUUCAACAGGCAUGCACCAUCGAACGUGUUUCUCACGGAAAAGUUGCUUGGAUUUUUGGGACUUCCUGUUCAAAUAUUCAACACGGCAUGCACCACGCGAUUGAACAUGCAAAAGUAGGGGUCUAUUUUCAUUUCCAGCAUUAUAGAAAUCUUAAUUUUGUUCAUUAUUUAUUUUGAUCAGCACUGUUGAAUCUCCAUGCAUUGCCAAUCACUAGGAAACAACAUAUUUUUAUUAAUUAUAUCCUCUAAUGGAGAGAACUCAUUGUCUCAGUAAGAUCACUGUGUCAUUAACCCACAGCCUGCUGAUUUGCUUGGUUGCUACUGCAAGCAAAAAUAUUACCACAGAUCAAAAAGCUCUUCUUGCCCCAAAAGAUCACAUAACUUAUGCUCCAACUAAUCUAUUGACCCAGAAUUGGACCUCAAAUACCUCUGUUUGUACGGGGAUUAGCAUCACUUGUGAUGUCAAUGGCCAUGAAGUUGCAGCCUUGGAUAUUUCUCAAUUCAAUCUACAAGGCACCAUUAUUCCAAACACAACUGGUAAUUUAAGAAACCUUAAGUGGCUCGGCUUGGCUUAUAAACUACUUGACAUCUUAAACUUCAAAAUUGAGCUUUCUUUCCUCUUUGGCAAAUUGCAAAAAAUUAAGAAUCUUAGGCUUACUGGAAAUCCACUUGACCGUAUCCUCUCAGGUUCAAUAGGUAAUCUUUCUAUGUCUUAGGAAAUAUUUCACAUCGCCAAUUGCAGCAUUAGUGGCAGAAUUCCUUAAGUAAUCAGCAAUUUAAGCAACUUGUUGGCUAGUGUGCAAAAUUUUAAUGUACUCGCAAGCGCAUGAACCUAAAAAUAGAAUAGUGGUAACGAGGUCAAACUCACAGGGAUUGUUAUAAAAUGACAAAAGAAUAGCUGCUGGUCUAGAGGUGGCUUAUUACAUUCAUACAAGAUCGUUUCUUGUUCUCUAAGAUGUGCAUUAUGCUAAUAAUGCUAUACAAACUUAUCCAAAGGUCUAUUGAUUAAUUCAUUAAUCCAACUGCUGGUUAGGUUGUCCUUUCAUCCAAACAGCUGCAUGCUUGUCUUCUUAUAUGCUGAUCUUAUCCUCUAGAUCUGUUCAGGCUGAGUGAUCUCUCACAUUUGCCAUAUCAGAAGAUUACAUGCCAGUAAUGUCUUGUGAUGAUCUGUUGCUUGGUGAUGUCGAAUGCCUGGCCUUUACUUCUCUGAGCAAAUUGAUCAAACAAUUUGUUCAUUUUAUCGAUGGUUUUUAAGUGCAUUUAAUGAUUAUUUUUGCUCCAACUUCAGAUAAACCAAACGCUAGUAUAUUAGAUGAAGAAGUUAACUGGCAGCUAACCAGGUCAAAAUAGCGACUCUAUAUAAAAAAUAUAUAUAUAUAAUAUAAAAUAUAAAAUGGGAAUUUAUUUAAUUAAUUGUUGGUCUAAAGCUGUUGGUAUCCGUUGGCCACGUUUCUGAAGAGUCAUCUCAAAUCGAAAUUUUUAACGAACAAAGAACUUUGCUUUUUUCCAUUGUUCACAUAUCUGCUGGCUGCCACCCGUGAGAUAAAAGUGCUACAAUCCAAAAUGUUCCACCAUUAUUUAUUCUAAUUUUAAUUUUCCAAUGGAAAAAAUUACAUAAUUAAAAUGGCUUCUAAUAUCAUUUCCACCCCUCAAUAUGUGUCACUAUCAGAAGGUUGUUUUCAUGAUUCAUGGUAAAUUUGGAUUACAGCACCUGUACUUUCUGAUGGUUCAUUAUUUAUUCUCAGGAAUCGAGUCUCCUUACAUUACCAAACUAAUAACAAACAGCAAUAUUUUAUCCUUUCAUGGAGAGAAAUUACAGUCUUCGUUUGACCGCAGUGCUAUUAACCCACUGCUUGCUUCUUCAGUUGGUUGUUGCAGCAGCAGCAGCAAGCAACAUUACAACAGACCAACAAGCUCUUCUUGCCCUGGAAGCUUAUAUAAGUUAUCAUCCAACUAAUUUUUUGGCUCAAAAUUGGACCUCAAAUACCUCUGUUUGUAACUGGGUAGGCAUUACUUGUGAUGUCAAUAGCCAUAGAGUUACGGCCUUGAAUAUUUCCAGCUUGAAUCUACAGGGUACCAUCCCCCCUCAACUUGGAAACCGAUCUUCACUGACAACACUUAAUCUUAGUCAAAACAAGCUUUAAGGCGACAUUCCCCCCCUUCAUCUUCACCGUGCAUGAGCUGAAAUUUCUUGAUUUCAGUGAUAAUCAGCUCUCUGGUUCUUUGUCUUCCUUUACCUUCAAUUUGUCUUCAAUAUUAGAUAUUCGUUUGGAUAGUAACAAACUCUCUGGUGAACUCCCAUUAAAUAUUUGCAAUUAUCUUCACUAUUUAAAAGUCCUUUUUUUGGCCGAAAACAUGUUUCACGGUCAAAUACCACUGGCUUUAUCCAAGUUCAAACAGCUACAACUGUUAAAUUUGGGGUUCAAUAAAUUAUCAGGAGCCAUACCGAAAGAAAUCAGCAACUUGACUAUACUUCGAAAGAUAUCUCUCAGAAAUAAUAAACUUCGCGGUAUAAAUGUUUAUAAUAUAUACUUUGUAAAUGCUCUUAUUAAUCAUUCUUGAACUUUCUUAGAUACUUUUGUCUAAAUAAGAUUUUGUAAAAGAGUUUUUUGCAUCUCUGUUAAUUUUGCAGGCGAGAUACCUCACGAAAUUGGGUAUCUUCCAAAUCUAGAGAAUUUGGUGCUUGGAUUCAACAACCUAGUAGGUGUUGUACCUGCUGCAAUCUUCAACAUGUCAACAGUGAAAGAAAUUUACCUAUUAGAUAACUCUCUCUUGGGAAGUUUUUCAUUAGGAAUAGACCUUUCACUUCCUAACGUUGAGAGACUGAACCUGGGGCUGAACAGAUUUUCUGGAACCAUUCCUAGUUUCAUCACCAACGCAUCUAAACUUGUAUAUCUAGAUAUGGGAACAAACUCUUUUUCGGGCAUUAUUCCGAACACAAUUGGUAAUAAUCUAAGAAACCUUGAGUGGCUCGACUUAACAUACAAUCGCUUGACAUCAUUAACUCUAGAAUUGAGCUUUCUUUCCUCUUUGACAAAUUGCAAGAAAUUAAGAUUCUUAGGCUUAACAGGCAAUCCACUUGACGGUGUCCUUCCAACUUCAAUAGGUAAUCUUUCUAUGUCUUUGGAAAACAUUUACAUCUCAAAUUGUAGUAUUGGUGGCAGCAUUCCUCAACUAAUCACCAAUUUAAGCAAUUUGUUGCUCUUAGAUUUAGAAGGCAAUAAGUUGACUGGAUCAAUUCCAGUCACAUUCGGCCGGUUGCAGAAACUCUAGGGUUUAUAUCUUCCAUUUAACAAGUUAGCAGGAUCAAUCCCAGACCAGCUUUGCCAUUUAGCUAGACUGAAUACAUUAGGUUUGGCUGGUAAUAAGUUUUCUGGAUCAAUCCCUUCAUGUUUAGGUAAUCUCACUUCUCUAAGGUCUCCCGACUUAGGGUCCAAUAGGCUUACAUCAGUCUUGCCCUCAACUUUUUGGAAUCUAAAAGACAUCUUGUUCUUUGACCUUUCAUCAAAUUCUUUGGAUGGUCCUCUUUCUUUAGACAUAGGAAAUUUAAGGGUUGUGAUAUCAAUAAAUUUAUCACGAAAUAACUUUUCAGGUGAUAUCCCAAGUACAAUUGGAGAUCUAAAAGACUUACAGAAUAUCUCCUUAGCAUGUAAUGGAUUGGAAGGUCUAAUUCCUGAAUCAUUUGGUUACUUGACAGGUUUGGAAAUUUUAGAUUUGUGAAAUAACAAAAUCUUUGGGUUUAUUCCGAUAUCUUUUGAAAAACUCUUGUACCUCAAAGAGCUAAAUUUGUCUUUCAACGAACUAGAAGGAGAGAUUCCUAGGGGAGGACCUUUUGCAAAUUUCACAGCUAAGUCAUUCAUGGGAAAUGAGAAAUUGUGUGGUUUACCAAAUCUCCAAUUCCCAAAAUGCAAGCGUCGGACACGUCGAAAAUCAAAGAAAAAGAUGCUUCUACUUGUGAUUGUCUUGCCAUUGAGUACUACUCUAAUAAUCGUAGUCCCUCUAGCUCUAAAAUAUAAAUCGAUAAGAGGUGGAAAGAGUAGUACUAGGUUGUUAAAUGAUGGUAUCUUGUCAUCACAAGAAACACUAAGAAGAUUUUCAUACCAAGAUCUUUUUCGUGCAACAGAAAAAUUUAGUAAAGACAAUCUAAUUGGCGUAGGAAGUUUUGGUUCUAUUUAUCGAGGAAGACUUCAUGAUGGAAUUGAGGUUGCAAUAAAAGUGUUUCACCAGAAUUGUGCAAUGGCAUUGAAGAGUUUUGAGGCUGAAUGUGAAGUGAUGAAAAAUAUGUUGGGAAAAUAUGCUCUUUAAAAGCAUAUGUGUUUAUUUAAUUGUAAUAAACAUUUUUUCUGAUUAAUAAAAGUAAUGAGGUAUUUUAUCCAAAUAUCUUAAUUGCAUUAAUAUUUUUAUUAAAGUCCAUUUAAUCAUAUUAUAUGUAUUUAUGUGAUCACCAUGUGGAUUCACAGAAGACAUAAAUACAAGUUAUCUUAUGAUUAAAUAAAUUUAGUUCGCAGUUGAUAAAUAAAGUUGGGCACUUUAUUUAGGUAUAGACUGUAAUGAAUUCAUUGAAUGAUUUGUCUUAAUCAUGUAUGAAUUUAUUGAUGUAGUACGACUACAUUGAACAGGAUCACAUAUGAGAUUUAAUUAACUUUGUAAUAACUGUCAGACUUAUUAAAUCUCAUAGGCAUUGAUUUUACUGUAAUCUUAAUCUUGAGUUAAUUAUGAUUUCAUGAUUGUAAUUGUUAUUCCAUUUGAGUUACCAAUAGGCAUGACACAUACUUGUAGUCUAGAUAACCUGGUAUCUUGGUGGGAGCAUUUAUGAGUAUUAGAGUUAUAGAUUAACAAUAUAGAAUUUGUAUAACACAUCUCUUGAUGGGUUUUCGGCACUUGAUCAUAGAAUUCUCUGGCCAGAGUGUGUCAACAUAUUUAGUAUGUUGAAAAUGAUCAUUAGAGAAAACCAGUAAGUAUCAAGAAACAAGAUGUAAUUAAAUUGAUUGGACAGUUGAGAUAUCGAUUUAAUUAAUGAAGUGGUACAAAGGAUUGUGCAGUAAAGAAAUCAAUAUGGCUUGGGACGAAUUAUUAUUCGAGCAUACAAUUCUGGAAGUCAGUUCCAAUCUUUUAGUGGAGUAGAUUUGGAAUUAAAUAAUUGGGCUAGUUUAAUUACAAGCCUAAUUAUUGUAGCCACUAUUGUAUGUUCCCAAAUGAUCCCCGGGUUAGCUCAUUUAAUUGACUGCACCACUACUGGACUAAUAAGUAAGAUAACUAGCUAUUUGGGUCAAAAAGCCUAAAUAUAUCAUUUAGCGGGAGGCUCCAUUUAAUUAGCUUUUGUAUAAGGGGCCUUAUGUUAUUUUACAAGGUGGGUCCCCUAUAGAAAAAACAAAUAACGUGAGUUUUGUUUUUUGAUUAUUUGGAGCCUAGGGUUUUCACUAAAGGGUGAUAUAAAAGGCUUAUUUUCUCUAAAGAAAAAAAAGCAGCCACUUUAUACAGAUCAGGAGAAUAAGAUUUUUCUCUCUAUUGUUGAGAGAAAAAUUUUCUCGUGCUAGUUGCUUUGGUAGUGAUAAAGGCGCCCACACGUCAAGUGCAGAUUGAACUUGAGUCAUAACCUGGAAGAUCAUUGAUGACAGUUCGUGAUCUAACAAGCGUGGUGGUGACGGAUCGUGAUCUAACAUGAGUGGUGGUGGCGGAUCGUGAUCUAGGAGUCUAAAUCACUUCAACGGAAAAAGCCAAAUCGGAUUUUCAAGGUACGAUUUCUAGAUUACAAAUUCUUAUAUAUUAUAUGAGAGCGAUCUUCAAAAGGUUUUAUAAAAAAUUUAAAAACCUAAUUUUUCCCCAACAAAAUAUUCGUCAUCGAAAUCUUGUCAAAAGAAUCAGUUGUUGUUCGAACGAAGAUUUCAAAGCAUUAGUUUUAUAAUAUAUGCCCAAUAGAAGCUUGGAGGAUUGCCUGCAUUCUACCAAUUGUUCGUUAAAUAUUUUUGACAAGUUGAACAUAAUGAUAGAUGUUGCAUCGACUUUGGAAUAUCUCCACUUCAAUCAUUCAACUCCUGUCAUUCAUUGUGACUUAAAGCCCAAAAAUGUAUUGUUAGAUAAAAACAUGGUUGCUCAUUUCAGUGAUUUUGGAAUUGGAAGGCUCUUAACUGGAGAUCGAUCAAUGAUACAAACAGAAACACUUGUCACAAUUGGUUAUAUGGCACCAGGUUUGCUCUGAAAUAAUUUUUGUUUUUUGGGUUUUCAUUCAGACUUUCCAAAUUAUUAUUUUUCCAUGAUCCUUCUAUCCUAAUGUUAUUGAUUAUUUAUCUAAUGAUAAAAUCAAUUUGGUUGAUAGAAUAUGGCAUAGAAGGAUGAGUAUCUACAAGAAGUGAUGUUUAUAGUUAUGGAAUUAUGUUAAUAGAAACAUUUACUAGGAAGAAACCCACAGAUGAAAUGUUUACUACAGAAUUGGGCUUAAAACUUUGGGUUAACAACUUACUACCUACUUCAUUGAUGGAAGUUGUGGACAAAACUCUUUUAAGUAGGGAAGAAGAAGAUUUUGCUGCGAUGGAGCAACGUGUGUUAUCAAUCUUGAGUUUAGCCAUGGAGUACGUGAUGGAAAUGCCAGAAAAAAGGAUCGAUCCAAUAGAUAUUGUAACUAAACUAUUGAAAAUAAGAGACACAUUGAGUAAAAGGUUAGCAAAUUUAGGUUAACCUUAUUUCUUGGCAUUGAUACUUGAAUCAAUAUGUACUUAAUUUGAAUCAAUGUAUGAGUGUAAGAAUAUGAUAUAUUUUCUUUUAAUUUUUUUUCCUGAGAGAAAUGUCAUAGCUGCCUUGUUUCAAAUUAAUUUUAUACUUUUUUUUUCUUUUUCUAAGAUCAUGCCAAUGAGUUGUAGGAAGAUCAGCUACAAAUUCAAAGCCGGCUAAGGCAUUUGAAGAUGGAGAGAUUGUUAGUUUUUUUCCCAUUAAAAUUAACAUAUAUCACUUAUCCCAACUAUUUUCAUAAUACCUAAUAAGCUCUUGGCACCAUAACUUUACCAUAUAACCCUUAUUUUGAAAUACACUUUUAUUCAUAUUAAUAUUAAUUAAAUAAAUCAUAUGAGUUGAAAUUAAAAUUAAAAAAAUUAAAUACCAAAAAUAAGAAAUAUACGUUUUAGUGUGCUAAAAAAAUUAAUAUUAAAAUAUUUUUCCUGUACUUUUUAUUAUUUUGUGAAUAUUUUUCUUAUAAUAUAUAUAUAUAUAUAUAUUAUUCUCAAAAUAAUGUAUCAAGCAAAUGACUUUUUUCUCUUCUUUUUCUUUAACUUUUUUUGUGCUAGUAGAGUUUUUAGAUAUUAUAAAAACAAUAAAAGAAUAAGUGAUAUAUAUUAAUUUCAGUUGGAAAUAACCGACAAUCCCCCUUUAAUUACGUGUCACACCCAACUUUUUUGCCAAUGUUGACAUUUGCCUAUAUCAGGUUUUUGAUGUGUACAGUGCAGGUUCAACUUAAGCCAUAAAUAAAACAACUUGAGAGAGCAAAAGAAUUGCAAGUUCUUGAUUUCAAAUCUCCAAGCAUAGGAAGCCAAAGCAUCUGCUUCUUUUGGGCAUGCUGCAAAUGAUGGUUCUAGUUCGAAUGUGACCUUUCAGUCAUCUCAAGGGCUAUUCAUUGGGGACAUCGACGUAACUUUACCCCACCUAGAGGUUUGAUAAUUGAUGGGUGUCGAAGCCAACAAAAAUAAAUUCUUAUUCUAAAUAAAUUGUGUAUAGUGAUUGAGCAGGGUUGUGUCCACAGAGAUCGGUAAUUAAUUAAAUCCUUUUGAAACAUAAAACGUAAAAUGGGGGAAUUGUUGACAAUAAUAAAAAUCAAAUUAAAAUAACAAGAAUGCAAAUUAAAGUUGUAACUCAAAUUGGAGAAAGCUCUGGUUGAAGGAAUUAACUCAGCUUGAUUCGACUACUGAUCAUUGAUUCAAAUAUAGAUUAUUAUUACUCAUGAAUAGACCGGUUAUAGCUACUGAGACCCUCUAAUAGCCAAUCUCUCCUUAACUAGUCGAUAACCAAGGUACGACCGUUGGUUAUUUCCCUAAUCAAUAGACAACCCUAGAUACGAUCAUAGGAUUUAAUCAAUUGACAGCCUGAAAAACCAGAGAGACCUAAAUCCUAAUCAACACAUAUGAUGAUUCAUUUAAAUUAGAUUAUUUAUUCUCACAACACAACUCUCUGCUAUGUUAUUUGUCACAAGCAUUAAAUUCUUCAUACGAUGAAUCCUUUAAUUGACAAUAGAUUAAGUUGAUAAUUAAAUAGUGGCCAAUUACCUAAUUAAUAAACAUAAUCAUGAAACUAAUUCAGAGAAUAAACAAAUACCCAAAAAGCAAUAAAACAAUUAAAGCACAAGAAAGAUCUCACAGUAGUGAUGAAUCAAAGCUUCAUUAUCCUUCAACCAGAAAAAUAGGUUUAGUUCUUCAUAGAGAGAAGAGAAAAAUUAAGAUCUAGGGUUUCUUUCUUUCUCCAAUCCCCAAAAUCCCCCCUUUUCACAAUAGAUUCCUCCCUUAAAUACUCUCUCUCUCUUCUCUUUUAGAAUUCUAUUUAAAAUAAAAUCCUAAUAUCUAAAAUAUUAAAUUCGUAAUUACAAAAAUAGCCAAAAAUAUAAAACACGUUAAACUAAAAACUGCAGGUUCGCAGUUGACAGCACGCGCCCACGCCUUAUCAACAAAGUUCUUCUGCCGCUCAUAAUUUCUCCAAGGGAACAAUCAUCCCUAAACAUCAUCUUGUAGCUCAAUUUUAUCACCAAUCAAUAGAAUUGCACCUACAAAAGUAAAUCACAAGUAAAUCACUAUUAUUAAGUGCAAAACAUCGAUAUUAAAGGAAGUAAACAAUGCAAAACUAGUGUAUAAAUUGCACUCUAACAAAUUCCCCCACACCAAGAUGAUGCUUGUCCUCAAGCAUAUAACUCAAGAUUAAUCCCAAAUCUCCACUCAAUUCUCAUCUCAACUCAUCCAAAAACAAUUUUAAGCAAGCAUACCUCAAGAAAUUAAGUCGAUCAACAUUUGAGAGAUAAGGAUUUUAAAGCAUAGAAUUUCAUAAGAUAGAAUAAGAACAUUCAACCACCAAGAAGAUCCAUUCAAAAUUCAAGUGCAGCAAGAUUUAAUAGCCCUCUCAAUAACUUCACUCCAUGCACUCAAAGUGUUUAGGGUGUCAUUUAUCCACUCAAAUCAAAUCAAAGAAUGUCAUUACCAUAAGCUUGCUCAUAUAUCACAUCUCAAUCCACAAAACAUGAAUAAAAUGCAAAAAUCUAAGGGUCUUAAAAGGGUUGUAAUGGGGUAAAAUGGGUGAAAUGAAAAAGAAAGGUUUAUGAAAGAAAAAGAGAUCAAAAUGAGAAGAAUGAACUCAUUGAAUGAACUUAUGAUAUCAAAAUGCUUAUUUCUACUCAAGUCACCAAGAAUGUAAACAUUUUUUUUUUCGAUUUUUUUUCUUCGAUUUUCUUUUUCUUUUUUUUCUUUUUCCUUUUCUUUUUCUUUCUUUUUUCAUUUUUUUCAUUUUUUUUUUGUUUUUUUUUUCGAAUCAAACAAAAGAAACGAACCUUGCACAAUUUAAUUCAAGCAUAAUGCUUGUUGAUCUAAUUGAGAAACUUCAAUAUAAGGUAGAAAAAGCAACAAAAUAUAUCCAUAUAAUGAGUCCAAAAAUCUCCUUAAAUUGAGGCUCAAAAAAAGAAGAAAAAUGGUUAAGUAGACGGAGAGAAUUAGAUGGGUAAUGGUUAAGGCUCAAACAAAGGUAGCAAAUAAAGGUCUUCGGGUAGAGAAAAAGGAAAAUGCGAGAAUAGAAAAAUGGUAAAUGGUUUGCCCUUAUCAUUUUAAUGCAUAAAAUCCCGUAAUGUGGCUUCAACAUGCAUAACAAAGCAAGUUCUAGAAUAAACAAACUAGGAUUGAUAUUCACAUAACAAAAAAAAAAAUAAUUAGAGCAAAGUGGUUGCUCAUAGGCUCAAAUCCUCACAAAAUUGGUAAAUUUGCCAUCAAAUCAUGUACACUCUUCAAAUGAAUCAACCAUCAAUAGUGGUGUAGAAUGAGAAGAAGGUAUGAGUGAGAUAUAAAAGGAAAGGUAAAAAGGAUAAUAAGCGAGAAAGAUGUAUGUAGUAAUAUGAAAAGUGAAAGAUAAAAUGUGAGUGAUGAAAGAGUAUGGUAAAAUAAAAAUAGACAUGAAUAAUUUGAGAUAGAUGGGAAAAAAGUAGUGAGAAGGAAAAGAAAAGAAAAAUAAUAAUAUAUGAAGCAUACUAACUCCAAAAUCAUUUAAGGAUGAGUAGAGUGAAAAUAGAUUAGUAGAGUGAAAACAAUAAUUCCAGACAUCAAUAAUGCAAAAAUCCCUCCCCCAUACCAAGAACUUACAUUGUCCCUAAUGUAAGAUAAUCAAAGCUCACAUAAAAGUUAAAGCGUAACGAUAAAAGAUUAAGGGCAAAAAGAAACUUUCCUGAAUUGUGAGCUUUGAUCCACAUAACGUCUAUGGGCUUGGCGGAAAUGGUGGGGUAAAUCCCACACUCUCGAAGUAUGCGGCCAAAUUCUGCUCCAUCUUGUUCAGCUUGUGCUCUAUUUUCUCUAACUGAAUGCUCAAAGGUGGUGCAGAUGUAGAAUGAAUAGUUGGCGGGGCAGCAAUGUCGUCGUCAAACUCAUCAUCAGAGGUAGCACCACUCCUAGCAUAAAGCUUCUUCGGAAGUUGAGUGGGUCCUGGUUCAGUAAACUGAAAUCUUCCCUCCUUGAAUUCAACCACACCUGUUCUUUCAAACACAGACAUAUCCAAAAAUUCCUCUCUUUCUCUUGUUGAGUCGCGAACGCGAGGCACCCUCCGAGAUUGGAUUCCGCAAGUGGCAAAACACUCAUGCCUUUUCCAUGCUUCGAUCUUUGUCUCACGGCUUUCAAUUUACCCGGCUGGAAUACAGGGCGUAGGCUGGUUGCGUUGCGUUGCUGCUCGGUUUGGGGCUAGUUACGCACUGCUGCUGCGUGGCUGUGUUGCGCGCAAGAGCUGGUUCGCGCUGCUGGUCUGCUGCUGCUCGGCUAUGUUGCACGCGCGGGACUGAUGCGCUGCGGGAUGGUGCUGGCUGGAUUGAUUUAGGCUGCGCGCGCGGGCUGGAGCUGAGAAUCUGCGUUGCUGGGGCUUGCGUUGCGGGUCUGUUGCGUGCUGCUCGUCUGCGUUGCGCGUGCGGAAUGGUGGUCGAUGCUGGUGCUGCGCGCGCGGGGCUUGCUUUGCGCGCUGUUGGGCUGCGAGAUGCAGGAUAGUGCUCGAUGCUUGCUAGUUCAGGCGGGCUGGUUUGCGUUGCAGGUGGGACUGAUGCGGUUGCAGCUGGUUCUGCGCGCUGGAGCUAAGGGUUGCUGCGGGAAAACGAAAAUCAACAAUGAAUUUUUUUGAAUUAGGGAUUUGUGAACAGUGAUUUUUGAUUUUUGGUUUUUUUUUUCGUUUUUUUAAAUAAAUAAAUAAAUAAAUAUAUAUAUAUAUAAGAAAGAAAAGAAGGGAAAAAAAACUUUUUUUUUCAUUUUUUUUAUAAAUAAAUAAAAAAUAUAUAUAAGAAAGAAAAUAAGGAGAAAAAAAGAAAACUCCUUUUUUUUCUUUUUUUUUUCUUUUUUUUAGUGAUGAAUCACUUUGAGACACUAAAAAUUUCAGAAGUACUUUUCUAAUAAGCACGUGGGCACGCCUUAAAACUAUUUUACUUUAAAAAUUACAGAAGUACUUAUUAGUUAAGACGUGGGCACGCCUUAUCAAAAAUUUUCUUCUGAUCAAAAUAAACAAACACAUUAUUAUAAAAAAAAAUCUGAAUCAAAAUUAAAAGAAGAUAUAACAAAAACCAAAAUAAACAAAUCAUUUGGGUUGCCUCCCAAAGAGCGCCUUUAUUUUAUGUCUUUGGCUAGACACAUUUAUGCAUCAAUCUCCAUAAUUGGGACUCUCGAGAGCCACAUCCUCCACAAUAUUCACCGAAAAACCUUCAUAAAAAGGUUUUAAGUGAUGACCGUUAACCUUAAAAACUUUGUCAGAGGUCGAACUCCGAAUCUCAACAGCACCAUGAGGAAAAACAUUAGUAACAAUAAAAGGUCCAACCCAGCAAGAUCGUAAUUUACUUGGAAAAAGUUUAAGCUUAGAAUGAAAAAGAAGAACUUUUUGACCAACAGAGAACUCCUUUCUCAAAAUCAUUCUAUCAUGAAAUGUUGUUAGAGUGCAAUUUAUGCACUAGUUUUGCAUUGUUUACUUCCCUUAAUAUCGAUGUUUUGCACUUAAUAAUAGUGAUUUACUUGUGAUUUACUUUUGUAGGUGCAAUUCUAUUGAUUGGUGAUAAAAUUCAUCCCUAAACAUCAUCUUGUAGCUCAAUUUUAUCACCAAUCAAUAGAAUUGCACCUACAAAAGUAAAUCACAAGUAAAUCACUAUUAUUAAGUGCAAAACAUCGAUAUUAAGGGAAGUAAACAAUGCAAAACUAGUGCAUAAAUUGCACUCUAACAAUAAUCCAACUUUCUCAAUGGAUUUGUCUAAUACAUUCAAUUUAUUUUUAUUCUGUACAUGUUUGGUUAAUUAUCUUGGUCUGUUAAGUUUAAGUCCAGUUGCAAGUCCCAUUUGGUUACGCAUUGUGUUCGUGUUGCUACUCAAUCCUUCAUAAAAUAGUUUAAGGUUUGGAAGUUAACUACUUUUAUUGAUUUCGUAUGACUUUUUGCUAGUUUAUCACUCACGGCAUAUAAUUAAUCAAUUCUUCCAGGCGUACCAUGACAUCUAGGACCAUAAGCAUUUGUGUGUUAAUGUAUUAAACUGAUCACUUAGAUCAAAUUUCAAUUUGGACUUGAAUUGCAGUUUUAGUGUCCUAUAUGAUUGGUCUUUCUCAAUUUUACCAAACAUAUGUUCGUUCUGAAAAUAUUAAAGUGGAUUUGAUAGUUUAAACAAUUUGAGGUUGGAUUUUGGCAGUUUGAAGUUGUAUAUUCUGGUACCAAUCAAGACAAGGAAGUGGAUGCCGAGUUUGAAACAACGAGUAGACAUCUGAAAGUCACGCCACAUUGGAUGAUCACACAAAAAUUGGACCUUACAGAGGAACAACACGGACAAAUUAAGCAGGAGCUGGAAAUGUAUAAAAUUUGAGCAGCUGUAGGAUCCAUAAAUGCAAAGAAUCAACCGGAUUAUUCGAACGAACGUACCUCUAAUGGUCUUUUUGGAAUGUCAACCAGUCAUGAAGUCCAAACGCGAAGUGGACGAGGAGGAGGCUGAUACUAAUUCUAGAAACUUCAAGAGCUUUCACUCCCAUGCCUUUUGAAUGUCUUUCUUGCUUCAGAAUUCAAAUGCAAGCUUUCCCUCUCAGUAUUUCUUCGUUGAGACAUUUUCUCGAACAGUUUUAUACUUAUGUCAAACAUCUUCUGAUAUAACUAGGAAGCCAGUAAGAUUGUUUUUCAAGUACGCUAAGCGGAAACAGUAGGCAAGGCCUUUGUCAUUAUAUCUGCCACUUGAUUUUUUCUGCCCACAUUCUUCUUAUUCAAUUCGUUUGUUCCAAUUUUGUCCCUAAUGAAGUGGUCUUAUAUCUCUAUACACUUUGCUCUUCCAUGAAAGACUAGAUUCUCUGCAAGUGCUAUUGCACUCUUGUUGUCACAUCACAACAGAGGAAUAAUUAAACAUACAAGGAUCUUAACCAGCUGAUCAUUUCUGCCGCUACAUGAGACAGGGCUCUGUAUUAUACUUUUGUACUUGAUUUUGAGACCACCUUUUGAUUCUUGGAGCUACAUGAGAUCAGAUUUCUUGCGGGGUAAAAAUAUUCAUGAAAACCCUCAAGUAUUUAUGACAUUUAAAUAAAAAUAGAGUUUGAUUUUUCUUUCAAGUAUGUUCCUACAUUAAUAUCUACUUAAAAACUGACAAUAUCAUUUAAAAAAAAUUAUUCUUCCACCUUUAAAAUUCAAUAUUAAAGAGUAAUUUGUCAUUUUUAAUUAGAGUUAGAGGCUUGUUUUAUUAUAUAUAUAAAAUCAUUCUCAGAUGCAAUAGUCCUCAUUUUUUUGUGCAGAUACACUAUUAAACCACGCAGUUCAAAAGUUAAUUAAAAUGAAUGGUUUAACAGUGUGUUUAUAUAAAAAAAAAUAAUAAUAAGGGCCUCGACAUUAGAGAUUAUAUAUAUUAUUCUAAUUAGGGAUCCCUAACCAUAUUAAAGUCAGGGGACAAGUUAAAAAAUAAAAAAUAAAAAUUUCAAUGUAUUUUGUCAUAUAAUGUAUUGAAAUCUGUAUUUUCUUUUGUCUUUUAUGCUGUGUUUACUUUUUGGAUUGGAGUGGGAAUCUUGAGAAGUGGAAAUCCUUGGAUUAGGAGUGUGGAGUGGGAGUGGGAGUAGGGUGUUUACUUAGACUAAAUGAAAGUAUGGAUUGUCAAUCAGAAUCCCAAUUAUUUGUUUACUUUGUCUUGGAUUGACAGUAAAUUGUUUUAAAUUAUAAUUUUAUCCUUAUGUAUAGAAUUAUAAUUUGUAAUUAAAAAAUUAAUAAAAAAUAUAUUUGGAAAAUAAAAUAAAUAUUUUAUUAUAUUUAUAAAUUAAUAAUAAUUACUAAUAUUCUUAAUUAUGUAAAUCAUAAUUUUUUAUUAAUUUUAAUUUAAAUUAUGUGAAUAAAAAUUAUUAAUAAUAGCAACACAAAUGAAAUAUUAUUAUUGAUAAUAUAGUACAAAAUUAAUAUUUUUUUAGAAUAAAAUAUUUAUUAUUAUUAAAUAAAUAAUUAAUAUUUAUUAAAAUUAAUUUUUAAUAUUAUUAAUUUAAAUAUAAUAUUUAUUUAUUUUUAUUUUAUUAAAUUUAAUAAAAUAAAUAUGAUAUAAUUAUUAUUUUUAAUAAAUAUUAUUUAUUUAUUUUAUUAAAUAUUAUUUAUUUUAUUUAUAAGGAUAAAAUGGGAAGAGGGGGGAGGGGAUUCCCACUCUCACCUCCCCCCAUGGGAGUGGGAAUCCCACUUCCCACUCCAAAAUUGGGUGGGACUCACAGAUUCCCACUCCCACUCCCCCCUUGUUUAAGGUAAGUAAACACUGGAGUGGGAGGAAUCCACACUCCACACUCCCACUCCAAAAAAUAAACACUGCCUUAGUUUAUCCCUAUUUUAAUAUGGUUGAAGAUUCGUAAUUAGAAACCCACUCUAAUUAUCUAUGUAUUUACUAUUUUUAAUACAUUCGCACAAAUAUUUAUAUACAAUAAAUGUAUUACUUAGCCCUGCCUGAUAAAAGAUCCCGGGUCCGGCUCUGAAGGAAGAUGCAAUAUCCUCCUGCUGACGCUUCAUUAACCUUUUUCCUUUCAUUUUAAACUUUCUGAAUUAUUGCCUUUCGUAAUUCUCAUAUCAUGCAUUGAGUAUUUAUCUAACUAUGAAAUUAAUUUGAUUAAUAGAGUAUGUUAUAGAAGGACGGGUAUCUAUUAAAAGUGAUGUUGUCGCGGAAUUGAGCUUGAAGUGUUGGAUUAAUGACUUGUUACCUAUUUCAUUGAUGGAAUUGUUGUGGACAUAAAUCUGCUAAGUGGAGAGGAAAGACAUUUUUGCUGUAAAGAAGCAAUGUGUGCUGUCUAUGGGAGCUGUAAUGAGUGGACUCUUCAACAAUGUACAAUAUUAUACAGUAUAUACAAAGACACACUAUCACACUAAAAAAUCUUGAGUUGACUCCUUAAUUUAUUUCAUCAAUCCCCACUUUUGAGUUAAUAUUAUUUAUCUUAAGAUUGUCCUUAAUGAAAAAUAAAAAUAAUUAAAAAAAUAAAUAUUUUUUCAUUCUAUCAAGUUCUUAGUAGAUUAAAUUCUUAUCUCUCACAAUUCUCUCAUCUUUUAAUUUAUUCAUAAUUUGAAUCAAAUAUUAACUCUUGAUCAAACCCCAAAUUAAAAUAAACAAAAUAUUAGAUUAUCACGUAAAAUCAAAACCAGUAUUAUCAAUAACAACAAAAAUCACCGCUUAUCCAUUAAAUUUAACAAAAACCAACAUUUAAAUUCAUCAAAUAUUGGCAGAGGUAGUGGAUUCAAGGUGAAGAAAAUAGAUGAUGGGAACGAACUCGUUGUUGAUGAAGUGGUGGGGGUGAUAAUUAUAUACGAGGGAGGGGAAGGUAGAGACAGAAUAAAAUAAUUUUUUUUUUGUUUCAAUAGAGAUAAUUCUACAAAAUAAUAAGAUUAAUUGAUAAGCGGGGUUGAUGAGAUAAUUUGAGGGGUUCAAAUAUCAUUACUCAUAUCCAUUUACAUGAAGCUAAUUAAAAAUAGUGAAGUAAUUAAAUACGCUAAUCAUACACAGCUGCCAUGUUAACUAUUAAAACAGCCUAAUGAGCUUAGCCUCAGUUUGAUCCUCUCCGUUGAUCUGCCAUUCCUAUCAUCACUACUUGCCACCUCGCAUUGUAUCAAAUCUCUUCUGUGUCCUCAUUGUACCCUCUCUUCGUAACACAUAAGCAGAAUCUAUUCUUGUACCAAAUUACCAAAUUACCACAAAACUGUUAGAGAGUCGGUGUGAUUUACUUACUGUUAAAUAAUAAAGAGAGUAAUUUUCUUUUUUUAAAUUUGAAUCUACCCGCCACUUCCAAGACAGAGAAAGCGUCGUCGUUUUAUGAUGGCUCCAUCAUCAUUUCCAUCUCCUCUCGAACGCACUGUCGCUUCAGCUCUUCUCCUGCUCUCCGUCUCCAAUCAAUCUCCCUCUCUCUCUUCCCCACUGUAAGACCUUCAUUAUUUCACUCUCAAAACUGUUUUUGUUUCUUAUUUGUUUUUCCUUAUUGAUUUGUUUGAUGUUUGUUUAAUGCAACGUGUAGGUUCGACACAGAUGGUGAAUUACUGCUGAAGAGCAAGAGCAGCAGCCGGGACGAAGAGAGCGUGAGCUUACUGUCGAGUGGAGAUUCAAAACGGUGCGUUUCGACGGUUACUAGUGAAGAUGCCUCCUCCAGUGAGAUCCGAGCUCACAAGCUGAGGAUCAUCGCUGUUGUGGCUCGCUGUCAUGAAGUGAAACUCAAGGUACAUGUUCUUCUGUUUGGUUUAAUAUAUAUGAUUAUGUAAAUGGUUUCGUAGUUCUUAGUUUGAAUUUGAUCUGAAAUUUUUUGUUUGAUAAUAAAAUGAAAUCACAUCUCUGUUUUCUACUUCGUAAACAGUCAUCUCUUCGGAAUCAAUUUUUUUGUUGUUCGUGUUGAAUUUUAUCAAAAGUGAUCAUUAAAACUUGUUUUUCUCAAAUUUAUGUUUGAUCUCUCAGUUUUUUUUUUUUUCUCGACUCUUCAAUUCAAUUUCACUGGAAAUUUACUAGAAGAUUCAAAUUCUGCUCUGUUUGGACCUGUUUCGUUUUGAAUUCUCGUAAUCAUUUGAAGGCUCAAGCUACUUAAAUUUUGUUAAAACUGUAGAACCUGAAGGGCACUUCAGUUGCUCAAACACCUUCAGCCUCUGCCCAAGAUUCAAGAUCAGAUUCCUAGAUGCUUGACUAUAGAUGACUUGAAAAAGGUUUAACCAAGAACUUCAAGUGAACAGAACAAUCAAUGGUUUAAGAAUCAAAGAAUCGAAAGAAACUAAAGAAUAAAGAACAGAAGAGAUUUAACGUGGUUCAGCUAAAACACUUAGCUUACAUCCACGGAGGAACAAGACUUCAGGCUUUUAUUGAAUGAACUCAAGAUUACAGAGAAUUACAGAUUGUAUCUCAUGGAAAAUUACCACCCUUAAACCCAGGAGUAACCCCCCUUUUAUACUCAUAAAUUGUAGCCAACUCUCUGCACCAGAAUCAGCUCCUUUUCAGUUGCUGAUAACUUCCUGGAAACUAAUCCCAGAUGCUCACGUGCAAGCCAUGCUUCAUUAACGACUUUAACCGCUUCUUUCAUUCGAAUCCAUUCACGUGAGUCUCAGGUGUUUCACUUAAGUCAAACGACAUUCCAAGACAUCGUUUCACUUAGCUUUGGUUUACACUCCGAAACGCACUCCCUCAAGUCGUUUUGAAUGUCACUGAAUUGCUUUCACUGGUUACUUUACAAAUCUCCACCUUGAAACAAUUCAUCCCUGUCAAUCUUUCUCCUCAACUUCAUGCAAGUUACAAACUGCAUAUUUCAGCUAUGUCCAAGCAGGUCUUAAACUUAGCUGAGGGUACCACCUUUGUAAGCAUAUCUGCAGGGUUGUUGCUGGUAUGUAUUUUUACCAUUUUUACAACUCCUUUUGAUAUUACAUUCCUUAUGAAAUGCAACUUAAUGUCGAUAUGCUUGGUCUUCUCAUGAUGAGCUGGAUUUUUGCUCAAGUAAAUGGCACUUGAGCUGUCACAGUGAAUAUCAACAACCUUCUGAGGUAUUCCUAACUCACUGAUUAAGCCUUUAAGCCAUAAAGCCUCCUUUACAGCUUCUGAGACUGCAGUAUACUCAGCCUCUGUAGUUGAUAAAGCCACUACAUGUUGCAAGCUUGCUUUCCAGCUUAUCAGACAUCCAUUCAACAUGAACAUGUAUCCAGUUUGUGACCUCCUUCUGUCCAGAUCUCCAGCAUAAUCAGAGUCAACAUAGCCCCAUAAACCAGCUUCAUUUAACUCUUGAUUCUUUCCAUAUAGCAACCCAAACUCCAAAGUUCCAUUUAGGUAUCUCAGCACCCAUUUAGCUGCCUUCCAAUGCUCUUUUCCAGGUGAAGCCAUAUACCUGCUUAUCAAGCUUAGAGCAUGUGAAAUAUAUGGUCUUGUGAGGACCAUUGCAUACAUCAUACACCCUACUGCAUUGGCAUAGGGUACCUUAGACAUCUCUUGCCUUUCUUCACUUGACUUUGGACACUGCUGGUUUGAGAGUUUAAAAUGAGAGGCUAGAGGUGUUAUCACUGGUUUACAGUUGCUCAUUCCAAAGGUAUUAAGUACUUUUUCCAAGUACUUCUUCUGAGACAAAAACAUAGUUCCCUUCCUUCAGUCUCUUGUUAUUUCUAUUCCCAAAAUCUUCUUGGCAUGACCCAGAUCCUUCAUAUCAAACUCAGAGUUCAGCAUCUAUUUUAAGGCUUCAACUUCUUUCCUCACUUUACAAGCAAUCAACAUAUCAUCAACAUAUAGUAGCAAGUAUAUGUGAUGAUCUGAAUCUAUUUGCUUGUAGUAUACACAACAAUCAAAAUUGCACCUCAUAAAUCCAUGUGAAAUCAUGAAUUCAUCAAACCUGAGGUACCAUUGCCUUGGGGACUGCUUUAAGCCAUACAAUGACUUCUUCAGCAAGCACACAUGGUCAGGGUAUUUAGAGCUUUCAAAACCUUCAGGUUGAGUCAUUAAAAUCUCCUCCUGUAGUCUCCCAUGUAAGAAAGCUGUUUUAACAUCAAGUUGAUCAAGCUCCAUGUCAUAUACAGCUGUUAGAGCUAACAAAACUCUUAUGGAAACAUGUCUGACCACUGGAGAGAAGACUUCCUUAAAAUCAACUCCUUCCUGCUGUGUAUAUCCCUUUGCUACUAACCUAGCUUUGAAUCUCCUAGGUUCAUCAGUUGUCGGCCCUUCUUUUACCUUGAAAAUCAAUUUGCACCCCACAAUCCUUCUUUUCUCAGGUUUCUUUACCAAUUCCCAGGUGUUGUUCUUGUACAGUGAGUCCAUUUAAUCUUCCAUAGUCCUCUGCCACUCUGAUUUAUAUGAACUCUUCAUAGCCUCUCUAUAGCUUGUUGGCUCAUUUUCCUCAAUCUCAUGUGAUGCUGCCAGUGCAUAUGCAAUGAGGUCUGCAUAACCAUAUCUUUGUGGAGGUCUUAUCUGUCUUCUCUCUCUAUCUUUGACCAGGUGAUAGUCUCUAAGUUGGGUUUGAGUGUGCUGUUGAGAUUGUGGCUCAGUGUUUCCACUACUGUCAUCUUUAUCUCCAUUAGAAUCUAUAGCUUCUUGUGAGGAUUUUAGAUUUGGAUGCUCCACCUCAAAAUGUAUACUCUCUGGAGUUUUAGUCUGAGGUUUAGUACCAUUUUCUUGUAGCUUUUUCUUGAGCACAGUCUCUUCAUUAAAGAUCACAUCCCUGCUGAUGAUGCACCUUGGUGGGGAUAGGUCUGUGCACCAUAACUUGUAACCCUUUACACCCUCUGGAUACCCGAUAAACUUCCCUUUCAGAGCUCUUGGAGAUAACUUCCCUUGCUUUACAUGUGCAUAAGCAUCACAUCCAAAAGCCUUAAGCUCUAUAUAGUUACCAGGUUUUCCAGACCACAUUUCUGAUGGUGUUUUAAAGUCAAUUGCAGCAGAUGGGCUAAGGUUCACCAAAAAACAGGCAGUCAGCAAGGUUUCUGCCCAUAGCCCUUUAGGAAGUUGGGACUGUAUCAUCAUGCAUCUGACUUUAUCCAUUAAAGUCCUGUUCAUCCUUUCAGCUAGGCCAUUUUGCUAUGGGGUUAACCUUACUAUUCUAUGUCUUGCAAUCCCUUCAUUUGCACAGAAACUGUCAAACUCUUGAUUACAAUACUCAAGGCCAUUGUCUGUUCUUAGUUUCUUAACCCUUUUCUCAGUUUGAUUUUCAACCAAUGCUUUCCACUCUUUAAAUUUCCCAAACACCUGAUCUUUACUUUUCAGCACAUACACCCACACUCUCCUAGAGUAGUCAUCUAUCAUUGUCAUAAAAUAUCUAUUUCCACCCAAAGAUGGAACCUGAGAAGGUCCCCAUAAGUCUGAAUGUAUAUAUUGCAGAAUCUCAGAUGUCUUAUGUAUAGAUUUCUUGAAGUUAUUCCUAGUGGAUUUACCUAGAAUGCAUUCUUCACAGAACACUAGCUCCCCAAUCUUAUCUUUCCCCAGAACACUCUGCUUAUUAAGUUCUUUCAGGCCUUUAAUACUCAUAUGCCCAAGUCUUAAGUGCCAUAGAGUAGUUUUAUCUAUGUCAGUGCUUUCAAUGGCAUUAGAGACCCCUGUUACAGACUCCCCAUCUAAGACAUAAACCCCAUUCUUUCUGGUCCCUUUCAUAACCAGUGCAGAUCUAUUAAGAAUCUUCAAUUCACCUGAUUCAAGCUUAAUGCUACAUCCCAUUUGAUCUAUCAUUCCUAAAGAAAUCAAAUUCCUUUUAAGUUCUGGAACAUGCCUAACUUGUCUGAUUUCUUUUACAGACCCAUCAUGUACCUUAAGAUGAAUUUUACCAAUCCCAAUGAUUUUACACACUGAAUUAUUACCCAUCAUUACUCUUCCUCCAUCAAAGUCUUGAUAAUUAGAAAAAUAACCCUUAUAUGGACUCAUAUAAAAUGUGCAACUAGAGUCAAGAAUCCACUUACCCUUUUGCAUAUCCUCAGUAGCAACACACACACCUGCUGACUCAUAGCCAUCUUCUUCUUCUUCAGCUGUAGCUGCAUUCCCAACCCUCUCCUUAUUCUUGUGCUUUAAGUCUGGGCAAUCCUUCUUGAAAUGUCCUUCCUUAUGGCAAUGGAAACAUUUCAAGUCUUUUGGCUUGGUCUUGGAUUUGGACUGCUUCUGAUUCUUUGCUGCAUUCUUAUUCUUUUCAAACUUCCCCUUUACUGUUAACCCAACUCCACUUUCUAUACUCACAGACUUUUGUUGCAACCCUCUAGUAUUUAAGGCUGCAUUUACCUCAUCCAGGGACAGUGUCUGCCUCCCAUACAUUAGGGCAUCCACAAAAUUAGAGUAUGAUUGUGGAAGUGAGCUUACCAAGAGCAGAGCUUUACUUUCAUCACUGAGGCUUUCAUCAAUUGUCUCCAGGGUGUCACACACUCUAUUGAAUUCAUCUAUAUGAUCAUCAAGAGAGGAUCCCUCUGCCAUCUUUAGAGUAAACAUCCUUUUCUUUAUAUGCAAUCUGUUGGUGUUAGAGUGCAAUUUAUGCACUAGUUUUGCAUUGUUUACUUCCCUUAAUAUCGAUGUUUUGCACUUAAUAAUAGUGAUUUACUUGUGAUUUACUUUUGUAGGAGCAAUUCUAUUGAUUGGUGAUAAAAUUGAGCUACAAGAUGAUGUUUAGGGAUGAUUGUUCCCUUGGAGAAAUUAUGAGCGGCAGAAGAACUUUGUUGAUAAGGCGUGGGCGCGUGCUGUCAGCUGCGGACCUACAUUUUUAGUUUAACGUGUUUUAUAUUUUUGGUUAUUUUUGUAAUUACGAAUUUAAUAUUUCAUAUAUUAGUAUUUUAUUUUAAAUAGAAUUCUAGAGGAGAAGAGAGAGAGAAUAUUUAACGGAGGAAUCUAUUGUGAAAAAGAGGGAUUUUUUGGGGGAUUGGAGAAAAAGAAAAAAACCCUAGAUUUAAUUUUCCUCUUCUCUCUAUGAAGAACUAAACCUAUUUUUCUGGUUGAAGGAUAAUGAAGCUUUGAUUCAUCACUACUGUGAGAUCUUUCUUGUGCUUUAAUUGUUUUAUUACUUUUUGGGUAUUUGUUUAUUCUCUGAAUUAUUUUUAUGAUUAUGUUUGUUAAUUAGGUAAUUGGCCACUAUUUAAUUAUCAACUUAAUCUAUUGUCAAUUAAAGGAUUCAUCGUAUGGAGAAUUUAAUGUUGGUGACAAAUAACAUAGCAGAGAGUUGUGUUGUGAGAAUAAACAAUCUAAUUUAAAUGAAUCAUCAUAUGUGUUGAUUAGGAUUUGGGUCUCUCUGGUUUUUCAGGCUGUCAAUUGAUUAAAUCCUAUGAUCGUAUCUAGGGUUGUCUAUUGAUUAGGGAAAUAACCAACGGUCGUACCUUGGUUAUCGACUAGUUAAGGAGAGAUUGGCUAUUAGAGGGUCUCAGUAGCUAUAACCGGUCUAUUCAUAAGUAAUAAUAAUCUAUAUUUGAAUCAAUGAUCAGUAGUCGAAUCAAGCUGAGUUAAUUCCUUCAACCAGAGCUUUCUCCAAUUUGAAUUACAACUUUAAUUUGCAUUCUUGUUAUUUUAAUUUGAUUUUAUUAUUGUCAACAAUUCCCCCAUUUUACGUUUUACGUUUCAAAAGGAUUUAAAUAAUUACCGAUCUCUGUGGACACGACCCUGCUCAAUCACUAUACACAAUUUAUUUAGAGUAUGAAUUUAUUUUUGUUGGCUUCGACACCCAUCAAAUUUUGGCGCUGUUGCCGGGGAUUGGUGUCAUUUAUUUAAUCCUUUUUACGUUUUACUUGGUGUAUGGUUCGUUCUUCUCGUACAGGUACACUUUCGUUUGAUCCUGAAAUUGAGAAGACAGCUUGCCAGCUGAGACAGCAGACUAAGCAAGCUAAGCAACGAUCCUCGUCGCCUUUGCUUUUUGAAACAGAUACGGUGCCUAAUUUAGUUGAAUCAUCUAGCGAUUCGGAAGAACAAGUGAUGGAUAGACCUGCACCUGUAGAAAGAACUCUUAGAGAGUUAGCUGAACCAGACUUGAAUCAGCAACCACUCUGCAUUCAUUAUGUAGAUUUGGAGGUAAAUUUUGAAUUAAAGUCUGGUCUUAUUCAUUUAUUACCCAAGUUUCAUGGUUUUGCAGGUGAAGAUCCUCAUAAACAUCUUAACGAGUUUCAUGUUGUGUGUUCAAGUAUGAGACCACAAGGCGUGACUGAAGAGCAUAUUAAGCUGCGUGCUUUUCCGUUCUCUGUAGAUGGGCUAGCUAAAGACUGGUUGUACUACUUGCCUCCUGGAUCGAUUACAACGUGGAAUGAUUUAAAGAAGCAGUUCCUCGAGAAGUACUUUCCUGCUUCAAGAGCUGCUAACAUCAGAAAAGACAUUUGUGGGAUCAGACAACUUCCUGGGGAGACUUUGUAUGAGUAUUGGGAGCGAUUCAAACAAUUGUGUGCCAGCUGUCCUCAGCAUCAGAUUUCUCAUCAACUUCUUAUUCAAUAUUUUUACGAAGGAUUGUCAUUGAUGGAUAGGAGUAUGAUAGAUGCUGCUAGUGGAGGCAUGUUGGUGAACAAGACCCCUAGUCAAGCAAGGGAGUUGAUAUCAAAUAUGGCUGCCAAUGCACAACAAUUUGGCAGCAGGCAAGAUCUCACUUCAAGGAAGGUGAAUGAGGUAAAUAUUUCUUCUGUUGAACAACGUUUAGAUAAACUUACUUCUCUUGUGGAAAAGUUUGUUGUAGGUAAUGUGCAACAGGUGAAGACUUGUGGCAUUUGUUACAAUAUGGAUCAUUCAACUGAUAUGUGUCCUACACUUCAAGAAGAACUCAUUGAACAAGCCAAUGCAGUUGGAGGAUUUCCAGGCAUGCCUCAGAGGAGGUAUGAUCCUUAUGCACAAACAUACAAUCUGGGAUGGAAGGAUCAUCCCAACUUCAGCUAUGGAGUUAAGCCGUCAGGAUUCCCACAACAGUAUCCACCAAGACAACCAACACCUCCACAGUCAAACUCCAAGUCAGGUAUAUCUCUUGAAGAAAUUGUUAAAUCACUUGCGACUAACACUCAACAAUUUCAGCAGGCAACUACAGCAAGCAUUCAAAACUUGGAUAACCAAAUGAGUCAAUUGGCGACUACAGUGAGCCGUCUGGAGUCUCAAGUAUGAGGGAGAUUGCCUUCACAAUCUGAGGUGAAUCCAAAGCAAAACGUUAGUGCUGUCAUCCUUAGAAGUGGGAAGGAGUUGCAAGAGCCUAGUAAGAAAGUGAAAAAGUAUGUAGAAGAUGAGUUUGAGAAGAAUGAAUUGAUGCCUCAAUCUCAAGAUGCGGAACCCACCAGAGCGAAACCCCUACCUAUUGUGAUACCUCCUCCUUUUCCAAGCCGGUUUGCAAAAUCCAAAAAGGAGGAACAAGAGAAAGAUAUCCUUGAGACAUUUCGCAAGGUUGAGGUAAAUAUCCCUUUAUUAGAUGCUAUAAAACAAAUACCUCGAUAUGCUAAAGUCCUUAAGGAACUGUGCACCUCUAAGAGAAAAUUAAGAGGAGAUGAAAAAGUUCACAUGGGGGAGAAUGUUUCAGCAGUUCUCCAAAAGAAACUACCUCCUAAAUGCAAGGAUCCAGGUAUGUUUACUAUACCUUGUAAAAUUGGUAGUGUUAGAAUUGAAAAGGCUUUGUUAGAUCUAGGAGCUUCUAUUAAUGUCAUGCCUCGUUCUAUUUAUUCAUCUUUGAAUAUUGGUCCAUUAAAAGAAACUGGCGUGAUAAUUCAACUAGCUGAUAGGUCUAAUGCAUAUCCUAAUGGGAUAUUAGAAGAUGUCUUAGUACAAGUUAAUGAGUUGGUUUUUCCUGCUGAUUUUUAUGUACUUGAUAUGGAAGAUGAUAACUCCUCUAAUUCUGUCCCAAUUUUGCUAGGAAGACCUUUUCUUAAGACUGCUAGGACUAAAAUGGAUGUACAUAAAGGGACUCUCACUAUGGAGUUUGAUGGAGAGGUUAUAGAAUUCAAUAUGAAUGAUACCAUGAAAUAUCCUAGUGAGGAACAUUCAGUAUUUUUUGUGGAUGUUAUUAACCCUAUAGCGCAGGAAAUUUUUUACAAGGAAAAGACGAAGACAUUUCAUGAUAGAAUGAUUUUGAGAAAGGAGUUCUCUGUUGGUCAAAAAGUUCUUCUUUUUCAUUCUAAGCUUAAACUUUUUCUGGGUAAAUUAUGUUCUUACUGGGUUGGACCUUUUAUUGUUACUAAUGUUUUUCCUCAUGGUGCAGUUGAGAUUCGGAGUCCGACCUCUGACAAAGUUUUUAAGGUUAAUGGUCAUCGCUUAAAACCUUUUUAUGAAGGUUUUUCGGUGAAUAUUGUGGAGGAUGUGGCUCUCGAGAGUCCCAAUUAUGGAGAUUGAUGCAUAAAUGUGUCUAGCCAAAGACAUAAAACAAAGGCGAUUUUGGGAGGCAACCCAAAUGAUUUAUUUAUUUUGGUUUUUGUUAUAUCUUCUUUUAAUUUUGAUUCAGAUUUUUUUUAAAAAUAAUGUGUUUGCUUAUUUUGGCCAGAAGAAAAUUUUUGAUAAGGCGUGCCCAGGUCUUAACUAAAAAGUACUUCUGUAAUUUUUAAAGUAAAAUAGUUUUAAGGCGUGCCCACGUGCUUAUUAAAAAAAUACUUCUGAAAUUUUUGGUGUCUCAAAGUGUUUCAUCACUAAAAAAAAAAAAAAUCUUUUUUUAAUUUAAUUUAAUUUAUUUUUUAUUUAAAAAAAAUGAAAAAAAAAAGAGAUUUUCUUUUGUUCUUUCUUUUAUAUAUAUAUUUAUUUAUUUAUUAAAAAAAAAAACCAAAAAUCGAAAAUCAUUGUUCACAAAUCCCUAAUUCAAAAAUUACUGUUGAUUAUCGUUUUACAGCAGCGCGCCUCAGCUCCAGCCUUCACCCCGCAAUGCAAGCAGCAGCCAGUGCGAACCAGUCGCGUGCAACGCAAGCCCCAGCAACCCAGAUUCUCAGCUCCAGCCGUGCGCAACGUAGCUGAGCAGCAGCAAACCAGCAGUGCGAACCAGCUCUCGCGCGCAAUACAACGCGAACGCAGCAGUGCGUAGAUCCAGCCCAGCAACGCAGCACGAACCACCAGCGCGCAACGCAAGCCCCCGCGCGCGCAACACCAGCAUCCCGUGUCUCGCAGCCCAGUAGCGCGAACCACCAGCGCGCAGCGCAACGCAGCACCCGCAAAGCAAGCCUCACCAGCGCGCAACGCAAGCCCGCAACGCAGCAACGAGCACACCCUGCAACGCAACCAGCUUACGCCCUGUAUUCCAGCCGGGUAAAUCGAAAUUCGUGAGUGCAAUUAUUGUAACAAUGCCGAAGAGGAAAGCAUCCACUUCCAAGUCAUCGAAAAAGACACCCAUCGUAAAGAAAUCUAAGAUUGCCGCUCCCACUACGGUUCCAUGGAACACAAUUUCAGAUUCACGCCAAGCCGUGAGACAAAGAUCGAAGCAUGGAAAAGGCAUGAGUGUUUUGCCACUUGCGGAAUCCAAUCUCGGAGGGUGCCUUGCGUUCGCGACUCAACAAGAGAAAGAGAGGUACAAAGAUAUUUCCAUGCGCAAAAUACUUCCAGCUAAGUAUAUUCAUUACCCGACUCUUGAAAAAUUGAAUGUUAAGGAUAAUUUUGAUUCUUUGAUAGAUAAGAUUGGGUUGCGUAUAUUUGUUAAUGUUGAUUGUUUGGGUUAUGUUGAGUUGAUUAGGGAGUUUUAUGCUACUUUUCAAUUUAAUAUGCCGAAUGAUUUUACUUUGCAUACCCCGGAUGUCAUUAAGUUUAGGUUAAUGGGAUGAAAUUUUUCACACUCUAUCACGGAUUUUAACCUAGCUUUAGGAUUCAUUGAUGAUGAUUAUUCUUCUAGUGAUGCAUAUUUAGGAACAACUUGUGACUUUAGCGGAAAUUUUGAGCCUUAUGGUCUUUGGCAUAAUUUAUCUGUUGAUCACAAUGCCUAUGACCCGAGUAAAUCAAAAAGUUCUUUCUUACGUGAUCCUGUUUUGAAAUGUGUGCAUCGAUUCUUAGCAUAUAAUUUUUUAGGCAAGAAAGAUCACUCAGGAGUUUUCUCUAAAACUGAAUUUUAUUUUAUCUGGUGCAUGUUAAAUGAUGUGAGGCCUAAUUUAGGUUUUUGGUUAGCGGAUCAAUUUCAAAGUGUGCUUAAACGGUAUAGGACUUUAUUUCUUGGUCCAUACAUAACUCUGUUAGCUAUAAACCUAUGUGUGCUUGAUCCCGACAAUAAUGAUUUGCAUCCUGCUUGCAAAAAGGAAUUUUUGGAUAUGUCUGUGUUUGCAAGAACAGGUGUGGUUGAAUUCAAGGAGGGGAGAUUUCAGUUUACUGAACCAGGACCCACUCAACUUCCGAAGAAGCUUUAUGCUAGGAGUGGUGCUACCUCUGAUGACGAGUUUGACGACGACACUGCUGCCCCGCCAACUAUUCCUUCUACAUCCGCACCACCUUUGAGUAUUCAGUUAGAGAAAAUGGAGCACAAGCUGAACAAGAUGGAGCAGAAUUUGGCCGCAUACUUCGAGAGUGUGGGAUUUACCCCACCAUUUCCGCCAAGCCCAUAGACGUUAUGUGGAUCAAAGCUCACAAUUCAGGGAAGUUUCUUUUUGCCCUUAAUCUUUUAUCCUUACGCUUUAAUUUUUAUGUGAGCUUUGAUUAUCUUACAUUGGGGACAAUGUAAGUUCUUGGUGUGGGGGAGGGAUUUUUGCAUUAUUGAUGCCUGGAAUUAUUAUUUUCACUCUACUCAUCUAUUUUCACUCUACUCAUCCUUAAAUGAUUUUGGAGUUAGCAUGCUUCAUAUAUUAUUAUUUUUCUUUUCUUUUCCUUCUCACUACUUUUUUCCCAUCUAUCUCAAAUUAUUCAUGUCUAUUUUUAUUUUAUUAUACUCUUUCAUCACUCACAUUUUAUCUUUCACUUUUCAUAUUACUACAUACAUCUUUCUCGCUUAUUAUCCUUUUUACCUUUCCUUUUAUAUCUCACUCAUACUUUCUUCUCAUUCUACACCAUUAUUGAUGGUUGAUUCAUUUGAAGAGUGUACAGGAUUUGAUGGCAAAUUUACCAACUUUGUGAGGAUUUGAGCCUAUGAGCAACCACUUUGCUCUAAUUAUUUUUAUUAUGUGAAUAUCAAUCCUAGUUUGUUUAUUCUAGAACUUGCUUUAUUAUGCAUGUUGAAGCCACAUUACGGGAUUUUAUGCAUUAAAAUGAUAAGGGCAAACCAUUUACCAUUUUUCUAUUCUCGCAUUUUCCUUUUUCUCUACCCGAAGACCUUUAUUUGCUACCUUUGUUUGAGCCUUAACAAUUACCCAUCUAAUUCUCUCCGUCUACUUAACCAUUUUUCUUCUUUUUUGAGCCUUAAUUUAAGGAGAUUUUUGGACUCAUUGUGUGGAUAUAUUUUGUUGCUUUUUCUACCUUGUAAUAAAGUUUCUCAAUUAGAUCAACAAGCAUUAUGCUUGAAUUAAAUUGUACAAGGUUCGUUUCUUUUGUUUGAUUCAUCACUAAAAAAAAAACAAAAACAAAAACAAAAGAAAAAAAAGAAAAAGAAAAAUCACAAAAAAAAAAUGUUUACAUUCUUGGUGACUUGAGUAGAAAUAAGCAUUUUGAUAUCAUAAGUUCAUUCAAUGAGUUCAUUUUUCUCGUUUUGAUCUCUUUUUCUUUCGUAAACCUUUCUUUUUCAUUUAACCUAUUUAACCCCAUUACAACCCUUUUAAGACCCUUAGAUUUUUGCACUUUAUUCAUGUUUUGUGGAUUGAGAUGUGAUAUAUGAGCAAGCUUAUGGUAAUAGCAUUCUUUGAUUUGAUUUGAGUGGAUAAAUGACACCCUAAACACUUUGAGUGCAUGGAGUGAAGUUAUUGAGAGGGCUAUUAAAUCUUGUUGCACUUGAAUUUUGAAUGGAUCUUCUUGGUGGUUGAAUGUUCUUAUUCUAUCUUAUGAAAUUCUAUGCUUUAAAAUCCUUGUCUCUCAAAUGUUGAUCGACUUAAUUUCUUGAGAUAUGCCUGCUUAAAAUUGUUUUUGGAUGAGUUGAGAUGAGAAUUGAGUGGAGAUUUGGAAUUAAUCUUGAGUUAUAUGCUUGAGGACAAGCAUCAUCUUGGUGUGGGGGAAUUUGUUAGAGUGCAAUUUAUGCACUAGUUUUGCAUUGUUUACUUCCCUUAAUAUCGAUGUUUUGCACUUAAUAAUAGUGAUUUACUUGUGAUUUACUUUUGUAGGUGCAAUUCUAUUGAUUGGUGAUAAAAUUGAGCUACAAGAUGAUGUUUAGGGAUGAUUGUUCCCUUGGAGAAAUUAUGAGCGGCAGAAGAACUUUGUUGAUAAGGCGUGGGCGCGUGCUGUCAGCUGCAGACCUACAGUUUUUAGUUUAACGUGUUUUAUAUUUUUGGUUAUUUUUGUAAUUACGAAUUUAAUAUUUCAAAUAUUAGUAUUUUAUUUUAAAUAGAAUUCUAGAGGAGAAGAGAGAGAGAGUAUUUAAGGGAGGAAUCUAUUGUGAAAAAUGGGGAUUUUUUGGGGGAUUGGAGAAAAGAAAGAAACCCUAGAUUUAAUUUUGCUCUUCUCUCUAUGAAGAACUAAACCUAUUUUUCUGGUUGAAGGAUAAUGAAGCUUUGAUUCAUCACUACUGUGAGAUCUUUCUUGUGCUUUAAUUGUUUUAUUGCUUUUUGGGUAUUUGUUUAUUCUCUGAAUUAUUUUUAUGAUUAUGUUUGUUAAUUAGGUAAUUGGCCACUAUUUAAUUAUCAACUUAAUCUAUUGUCAAUUAAAGGAUUCAUCGUAUGGAGAAUUUAAUGUUGGUGACAAAUAACAUAGCAGAGAGUUGUGUUGUGAGAAUAAACAAUCUAAUUUAAAUGAAUCAUCAUAUGUGUUGAUUAAGAUUUGGGUCUCUCUGGUUUUUCAGGCUGUCAAUUGAUUAAAUCCUAUGAUCGUAUCUAGGGUUGUCUAUUGAUUAGGGAAAUAACCAACGGUCGUUCCUUGGUUAUCGACUAGUUAAGGAGAGAUUGGCUAUUAGAGGGUCUUAGUAGCUAUAACCGGUCUAUUCAUAAGUAGUAAUAAUCUAUAUUUGAAUCAAUGAUCAGUAGUCGAAUCAAGCUGAGUUAAUUCCUUCAACCAGAGCUUUCUCCAAUUUGAAUUACAACUUUAAUUUGCAUUCUUGUUAUUUUAAUUUGAUUUUAUUAUUGUCAACAAUUCCCCCAUUUUACAUUUUACGUUUCAAAAGGAUUUAAAUAAUUACCGAUCUCUGUGGACACGACCCUGCUCAAUCACUAUACACAAUUUAUUUAGAGUAGGAAUUUAUUUUUGUUGGCUUCGACACCCAUCAGUUGGCGAGAGACUUUGUCAUAUAGAUUGUUUCCAGUUUUGCCCACAGAUCAGCCACUGUCUUUUCUUUGGCAACUUCUCUAAUAACAGAGUCUCCAAGACUCAAGAUUAUUGUGCUCCUUGCCCUUUUAUCUAUAUCAGUAGCCUGUUGAGGUGUUAGUGAUGAUAAAGCUUCCAUUCCCUCCUUCUUGGUGACUGGUUCUAAGGCAUCUCCCAGUCCCUGAGUUAUCAGUAGAGCCUCCAUCUUUACUUUCCACAUAUUGAAGUCGUUCUUGCCUGUAAACUUCUCCAGAUCAACUUUAGGGUGAGCCAUACUAGAAUCUGAUUAAAGAAACCCUGCUCUGAUACCAAUUGUAGAACUUGAAGGGCACUUCAGUUGCUCAAACACCUUCAGCCACUGCCCAAGAUUCAAGAUCAGAUUCCUAGAUGCUUGACUAUAUAUGACUUGAAAAAGGUUUAACCAAGAACUUCAAGUGAACAGAACAAUCAAUGGUUUAAGAAUCAAAGAAUCGAAAGAAACUAAAGAAUAAAGAACAGAAGAGAUUUAACGUGGUUCAGCUAAAACACUUAGCUUACAUCCACGGAGGAACAAGACUUCAGGCUUUUAUUGAAUAAACUCAAGAUUACAGAGAAUUACAGAUUGUAUCUCAUGGAAAAUUACCACCCUUAAACCCAGGAGUAACCCCCCUUUUAUACUCAUAAAUUGUAGCCAGCUCUCUGCACCAGAAUCAUCUCCUUUUCAGUUGCUGAUAACUUCCUAGAAACUAAUCCCAGAUGCUUACGUGCAAGCCAUGCUUCAUUAACGACUUUAACGCCUUCUUUCAUUCGAAUCCAUUCACGUGAGUCUCAGGUGUUUCACUUAAGUCAAACGGCAUUCCAAGACAUCAUUUCACUUAGCUUUGGUUUACACUCCGAAACGCACUCCCUCAAGUCGUUUUGAAUGUCACUGAAUUGCUUUCACUGGUUACUUUACAAAAACAUUUUAAUUAGCUUCAAUAAAUUUGUAAUUCACUUGCUCAUAGAUGUGAUCUCUCCGUUUCACCUAAAUUUUGCGCAUUGUUUGCUCAUAAUCUUUGUUUUUAACUUGAUUUUAAGAUUUUAUUUUCAAUUUUUAGCUCUUUCAUCCUGUUAUCAUUUAUUUUUCUAUAAUUAAUUUGAUUUCUCUUAGUCUGAAUAUGAAUUUAAAUUGUUUGCUUUUAGUUCUGUUCUGAGAUGUCCGCAGUUUGGAUUCGUAUUUCGGUUCAUUUUUAUCAAUAUUUUAUUACGAAACUUUUACACUCUAGUUUAUAGAAGUUUAAUUUCAAUUUGAAUUCGAUUUGUUGCUGGAAUUUUAAAUUUAAUUUCACAACAAGUAUGAUGGAAGAUUCAAUUUCUGUUCUGCCUUUGAAUCUUCAUUUUGAAUUUCUUGUACACUUUUGAGUGUUCAAGCUAAAUUAUAUGCUUCUCCAGUUCAUAAUUCGGUUCCUAAAUUUAUUAUUAUUCAUCUGGUGUUUGUAAACUCUCUGUUUGAAUUUAAUAAUUUCAUGCAUUUUUUUCCUUCUUCUUCUCAGGUCAUGCGAAAGAGUCGCUCAAAGAUGAGCCAGAAAUUCACAGCCGAUAAGCCGCCACCGUCACGGCAACCAACGGAGAAGUCAACAACUUCCUCAGGAUCCUUCUCGACAGAGGCUGGAUCGUGCCUAUCAAGCACCGCGAGCGCCGUUUCGAGCUCGCAAAGCCGCUACUGGGUUGCGGCUCGUGGGAAGCCGAGGGUUAGAAGAACUAGCAGCGGCCCGUCUCACAUUGAGCGCCGAGCCGAAGCCAUUCUGAAGCUGCUUUCUUCCCACGGCUGUUCGUCAGAAAUCAAGAUCCGUCAAGCCCUGGGUGACAGUCCCGACACUAGCAAAGCACUGAGAAUGUGCGAGUUGGCUUGGCUCUUUAUUUCGCGUUUGAUUUAAACCGUUAGAUCAUACGAAAUCUCUUUUACUAACUUGUCGAUCCGACGGUUGUUGUAGCGUGUCCAAACGAAACAGUUUAAAUUCUAACCGUCUGAUUUAUUUAUUUGCAGGUUAUUGAGGAGUGAUGAAGUCAAGAGAUAUGGCACAGGAGGACGGCAGGACCCAUAUAUUUACUAGGUAUUAAUCUCCUUAUCAUUCGUUAUCUUACUUAAUUAUAGAACUACAUGAUAUUAUUAUACACUAAUCACAGUUCUCUUUUUUUUUUUUUUUUUUCUAAUUACUAACAUAUGAAACUCUAUUGCCUGUGAAAUUCAGGGAAUUUUGUUUGUGUAUAAUUAAUCAUUUCUUUUUUUGGGAUUAAUUUAUAAUUAAUUUUGCAGAUAGCAAGUAUCUAGAACGAGCAGGACCCAGCAACACCGGGUAAUAUAUAUAUAGCGAGACUUUGCAAUUGGUAAAUAUUAAGAGUGGCAGCCAUUAAAGUUGAUUAAUAUGCUAGUAUAAUAUUAGUAUUGACAUUAGGCAGAGACGGAGACUUUAGUGAAUAUUAUUGCUAUAUGAGUGUGGCGUACGCCUACGUAGUUAAUUACAAUUUCCAAAUCUCUGCGGGUUACUGAAAAUUUAAGUGCCUUGCAUAUUAUUGCUAUUAACCCAGUUUUUCAUGCUCGCUCGAAGCAUAUUGAAUUAGAUUAUUACUUCAUUCGAGAAAAGGUUGCUGAUGGUGCCUUGGUUACGAAGUUUGUCCCUUCUUCGUUACAAAUUGCAGAUGUUUUUACUAAGGCUUUGUCAAAAGCCAUGUUCCGCAAUUUCAGAUACAAGCUUGGCGUUCAUCAAAUGUCACUUGCCAGCUUGAGCGGGGAUGUUAAGCAAGCUGACCAAGAUUACCAAAAGGAAAGUCAUCAACGGUCAAGUCAACAACGGGUUUAUCACUCCACACAACUUGCUCACAUCAAAGCUAUUUGUCAAGGAAUAUCUCCAGCACGAUUUUUGCACUUGAAUGCCAAUAUCAUGUACGAAUAUUUCAUUCCUAUUUUAUAAAGAUAUUGUGCGAUAGUUUAGGAAGUAUUCACUUAUUUUCCUUUAAUAUUAUUAAGCUUUUUAACGGCUACUUUGUCUUUAUUUUGUAUGAAUAAUUCUGUAAAUUUCAUUAAAAAUAUAGAACAAGAAUUAUACUCUUCAUAGAAUUUCUUUCACUAAAUUAAUUAAAAAUAUAGAACAAGAAUUAUCCUCUUCAUAGAAUUUCUUUCACUAAAUUCAUCAGCCUCUUGAACCCUCUCCUGAGGGCGCCUUCUAUCCUCUGUUUUCUGUUACCAUACACUAAUAGACAAAAGCAUUUAGAAUGACAACUGGGACAUAUAUAAGAGUGAAAUAAUUGAAAAAUUAUGCUUUUUUGUUUGUCAUGUUAAAAUCGUAAAGUGCAUAAGUACUAUGAAAGAGAUUAAUUUACGGAAACUGAAGCCAAGGGUUAAAAAAAAAAGGUGCAAAGAGAAUAAAGGGCAACGCUUAUGUAAAGAGACAUAAUUGUAUUGGUAGCACAAUGUCACGUUCAUACAGGGAUCAAGCAUACUAUUUACAGGUGGUAAGUGCUAAGAAUUGAUGUAGCUAGAAUCCAAAGAUGAUAAGGUAUGUUGUGCACUAUUGUUUAUUCUACAAUCAAUCUUGACCCUUGAUGCUUGGCUCUCAAUCUUGUCCAUCGAUCUUCUCUGAUCUCGAAAACUUCAAGACCUUUCAAUCUUAUGCCUUAUUAUUGGUGUCUUCCAUGCUGUAGAUUUCAAAUACAAGCUUUCCCGCCAACUUGCCAAGUAUUUGUCCAUUGGUGCAUUUUAUCAAACAGUUUGGAUACUUAUACCAAACGCCUUCUGUUUUAACUCCCCCUCUCAAGCUCAAGCAUCUGGGAAGACAUUAAUAAGCUUGUUUCUCAAGUAUAUGUAUCUGAAAAUUAAAUUUUAUAAAUUGUAUUCGGACUCUACAUUUUCUAAGGAACAUUGGUUUGGCUUAUAAGCUUAUUAUACUCAGGCUUGGUAGGAUUAUCGGUCGGUAGAUGACCGAGUGUUAGAGCUUUCGAAUUUAUGCCAAUUAAAAAAAAAUCUACAUAAGUUUUCAACUAGGCUAUUACCACAAUAAACAUUUGGAUAAACUAUUAUUGAAACCUUAUUGAGAAGUGGGACAUGUCGCAUACCAAUGCACUGACAUAUCUUCAAAUAGUGGUAACUCCACACAACAUGGCGCAACAAAUUAAGAGUUACAUAGAUAAAUUGGGUUCCCAAGAUUUCUUGAUAGACGGUUAAUGACUAUUUUGAUGUCUGUUUUGCAGACUGAUCUGCGUUUCCAGAGCCAUGCAGUGCUGGCCCUGCAGGAGGCAGCCGUGGCUUAGGGCAUCUCUAAUGUAGCACUAAACCUAACACCAAAUCACAUUUUACACCAAAAAGCUUCUCCAAUGUAACACCAAAAUGGUGUAAUGAAUAGUAUUGCACCAAAUAUGGUGCAAUACUAUUCAUUUGCACCAUAUUUGGUGCUAGGAAAAAAAAUCUCAAAUAUCCUUAUUACUUUAUAUUAUUUACAUAUAUGUCCUAUUUUAUAUAAUAUUUUAAGUUAUUAUUAUUUUUUGUUAUUUUUUAAUUUUUGAAUAUUAUACUAAUAUUUUAAAUAAAAAAUAUUCAGAACAAAAAUUUAUAAUAAAAAUAAAAUGCCAAUAACAUUAAUUACUAGAUUACAUAUUACAAAAUAAAAAAUACAAAAUUAAAUUAACACAAAUUAAGAAAACUACUACUACUGGCAUAAAUUAGAACAAUUAUUUAGUAAUGUGGGAGAUCAUUAUUAGAUCCUCCAAUAUCAUUAAAAUAUUUUUCGAUAUUAAUGUAAUGUUUAAUUUUCAUAAUGCACUUAUUAUUGUUAUUGUAUUUUCUAUAUUAAUGUAAUGUUUAAUUUUUAUAAUGUACUAAUUUAGUUAAUUAAAUGUAAAUUUAAUAAUUUUCUAUAUUUUUUUUGUUAAUCGAUAUAAAAUUAUUUAUUACUUAAUUAUCUAUAUUAAUAGUAAUAUUUAUUGUGUUUGAAUUAAUUCUUGAGAAUUAAAAGAAUAAAAAGAAGAAUAUUCUUUUUGGUGUAAAUGGGUUGGAGAUGAAAUAUUAAUUUAAUGUGAAAAAGGUACAUUUUAGGUAUUGGUGUUAUACCAAAAUAGUGUUAUGCAUUGGAGAUGGCCUUACCUCCUUAAGGACACUAACCUCUGCGCCAUUCACGCAAAGCGUGUCACUAUUAUGCCCAAGGACAUACAGCUUGCCCGUAGGAUCCGUGGCGAGCGUGCUUAAGCGCAAUUGCCGCUUGCUUCAAUUGAAUGACUGGAAAGGGAAGGGGGAAGUUGUAAUGUGUUAAUUUGUAUGUGGGGUUGGUGGGGACGGCGUCGCUUUUUCUUAGUUUUUUUUUUUCUUUUUCCUCCCUUAAAAAUGGUGAAAUUACUUAUACUGGUUUUUCUAUUUUACAUUUUGAAUAUUAUUAAUUAAUAUAAUUCAGGGAAAUUAUCAUUCGUAUACCCUAUAUUUGUUCUGUUAUCAAAAAUACUAUAACACUUUGAGGGUGUAUCAAUCGUCUACCCUUAGUUGACAAAAUGUAUCAUCCGACCACCAAACCGUUAGUUGCCGUUUGAAAGUUAACGGAAUUAUAGUGAAUUAAUGAUUUUACCCUUGAAAAUUAUCACUUGUAUACCCUUAAAUUCUUUUUUUAUCACUCGUAUACCCUUAAAUUAUUACUUGUAUCAUAUGAAAAGACCAAAUUACUCUUCUGACGUCAUCAUACUUAAACAGCAACUAAUGGUUUGGUGGUCAGCUGAUAUAUUUUGUCAACUUAGGGUGGACGAUUGAUACACCCUCAAAGUGUUGAAGUAUUUUUGAUAAUGGAGUAAACUAAGGGUAUAUAAAUGAUAAUUUUCCUAUAAUUUAAGAUAACAAUUAGGGAUAAAACAAUAAUUUUUUAUUCAAGAUCAUUUCAUCAAUAUUCUGUUAAAUAUUCUCACAAUUUAACUUUAUCCUUAACAAAAAUUUAACUUUUUUUUUAAAACUAACGGAACCAAAUCCUAUAUAUAAAUGUAUAGUAUGCAUUAAUAAAUAAAUAAAACUUUGACGACCGGAGGGAAUGAAUAAAUAAAUAGAUAAAACUUUCGAAGCUCGUGAAUGUGCUAUUUUUGUGUUUUUUAGUAAUUGUUUAAUUGAAAAAAGAAAGCUUCGGGGAUUUAUUUUUGACGGGACGGCUGAGAUUUGUCGACCUUCCAGAGAAUGAGAACAGAUUUUCAAUUUGUUGAUAAGUAUUCCUACAGUCCAGCCCAAAAGUACCGGCUCAAUGAGUUCGGUCAUGUUUGGUAACAGGUAUCCAUCACUUUCAAAAUCCGGUCCUACCAACGUAUCGGCUUUCACUGGCUGUCGUAUCAUCCGUGAAUUCAUGGGAGAGUGAGACUACUCCAAUCUCCACGCGAGAAAUUUUAGAAUAUUUUUGUUAUAUUAUAAUUAAUUAAUACAUAUAUGACAUGUGUAAUUGAGUUUAAUAUAACCACCAUUUGUAUAAUAGUUUAUAAAAUAAAUGCACACAUAUCAUGAUAUUAUUUACUUAUUGUAUGGAUAAUGAAUGCACACAUUGCAUCACUCUUUGAUAAACAAAUUCAUAAUAUAUAUUAAUCUUUGUGGAAGUUAUGUCCAAAAAAUAAAUAUUGUAAAAAAAUUUUAAUUACUAAUUUUUUGGACAUUAAUAAAAAAAAUUAAUAUAUUAACUCCUCAUGGAGUAUUCAAAACAAUUAAUAUAAAUUUUUUUGUUUCUAUUUUACUUUUUUCGGUUUAAAUUGAUAAUUUAAUUUUUCUUUUUAUUAAUGUCCAAUAAAAAAGAAAUAUUAUUGUAGGAGUGUAAUAUUGUAAAAACAAGUCAAAAAGAACAAAAAGUAACAAUAAGGGUGUCAAUACUUAACGACAAUGAUGUUUUGAGAUAUUUUUAAAAAUAUAAGAAUUAAAUAGGUAUUAAUCUCAAAAUAUAGGGAUUAAACGAGAUUUUACCCUUAUUAAUUAUAGUCAUCUUUUUAUAAAUUACAAUUGGAGGAAGUUGGCUAAUGUUGUUGACACGCACGCACGCACACAUAAAGAUUUAUUGGAAGUGCUUAUGCCGGCUCGAAGUUGUUGGGAAUUAAUGCAUGUAUUGAUUUAUUGGGAGUGUUUAAAUGAUUUUGUGAUUUACUUGAUUGAUUGAAUAUUGUUUGAUUGCUUCAUAUCCAUUCUACAAAGUUUAUUUCUUUGUGAAAUUUCAACGACAUAUUUUUUUUUAAAAAAAAUAUUAAGGGUGUUCUAAAUAAUUUUCAAAAAUAUAUGGACUAAUUAGAAUUAAUUACUAGGUAAUUAACUUGAUCUGUACAGGGUGAAACAAUAUUUAUCCUAAUUGUAUCAUGACAAAUACUUUUCCGAUUAGAAUUAGGAAACCAUAAGUUUAUUGAAUUAUUUUUUUUUAUUUUCCUUUGGAGAAACGGAUUAGAGAAUUAGAAAACAAUCCUAAUGAUAUAAUUAUCAGGUUUAAAACAGUGCAUAAACAGUGAAAAGCUAAUUAGUCUGUAGAGUAAUUUGCUAAUUGUUAUCUCCUCUCUAUGCGCGCUGAAUAAUUUGUUGCAUGCAAACUUUUUAUUUUAUGCAAAUCGUACUUACUGUAACAUUGGAAUUGAUGUAUAAGCAAAAUUACAAUAAUAUUUAUGUCAAUAAAAAUAGUUUUUUUUUUCCUUUUUAAAUAAAGGAGAGCAACGGGAUGUUGCUCUGCUCUACAUUUUUGCUAUCAUUUUAUUCUUUUUUUUUUUUUUUUUUGGCUUCUUAAAGCCUCAAACUUUGAUAACCAAAACUUCACCGACCUCUGAAAAAAUCGGCAGAUUAGUUUUUAUUAUCGGAAUAAUUGUUUGAGAAUACUAAAACAAAAUAUAAAAUAAGAAAAUAUGGGGUUAAAUUUGGGGAAAACAAAAAAAUCCAAUUGGGAAUUUUUUUUCUUUAAUUUUUGUUUUACUUGAUUGAGAUUUCUCCUUAGUUCUUACAGUUUUAAGUUUGGAUGCCGUAGGGUUAGUAAUUUAGUACUUCCUUUGCAAGCUGAGUGCGAGAACGAAAAUCUUUAAAGAAAUUAAAAAAGAUUAAAAAAAAGCAUACCAAUAGGUAAUUAUAAAUAACCAUAAAUAAACAUAAACAAAAUGUUUAUGAAGUAAAUUACACAUGCACAUAUUAUUUUCUUGUUUUAUUUCUUACUUGUCUAUUUUAUUUGCUGCUUGAUAACCCUUAAAUACUAAUCUAGUACUGCUAAUUUCAGACACAAAAUUUUUAACUCUAGGCUGCAGUUUUACUCAAAAUGAUGACCGCUGGCUUCGCACCAUUUAACCGGCAUACAUUUCUACAAAUUGAACAAGGCUAUUGAUUUUCAUUAUUAUUUUUUUAUUUAUUUAUAAAUUACUAUUUUAAUUUUCACUUUUUAUUGGGUUGUUUAACGGAUUAGUGAAGUUGGUGGUCGUGAUGCACUCACAAGGUACAAUUUUAUUUUAUAAUUUCAAAUUUGUAUUUUAAAAUGCAGGUACAUUAUGUAUACAUAAUUAUUGAUUUUCGUAUGUGGGUGUUUUGUAAUAUUGCUAAAAGACCAAACUUUAAUAAACUAUUUUUCAUCUUUUUUUUCCUUUUUUCCUAAAGUUUGAGUGAUAUCCGCAUUUUAAAUUCAUGUGGAACAAAAGCUAAUGUAUGCACAAAAUUCUUUUAUUUUUUCGGAGAAAAAUGGGUAAGAGAAGAAGAUUUUUCUCUUGCAAAAGAAAAACUAAUACGAUGCAAGCAUAGGAAAGAGGUCAGUGUUUUGGAUUAGAAUUUAGUAUUGAACUGAAUUUUAUACUAAAUAGUACUGCGAUUAAUAAACUCAUGAUUUGCUUUUGUUUUUACUUCAAGUGAAAGAAAGAGGAAACCUUUUGUUUUUUGUUUGAUUCUUGACUAUAGAUGUUACCUAUAUACAGAGUUGAGGUAGCUACCUUAAGUGAUGGUGAUAAAAAGAUUAAGCAGCGCACACAAUCUUAUUGUCGUCCAGACCAUCGAGCUGUGAUGACUCUAGCUUUUUGGUUACAUUAGCUUUAGUGGAAAGGAGGGCCAAUUUAAUAAAGACUAGAUUUGGUGGCUUACUAUAAUGCUUAUUCUCAGGGAAUCUAAUGUUAUAAGAUGAUUUAAUGAUCUUCUAUGAUUGUGAGUAGUAUAGUAUAAUUGAAAAGAGCCUGGGCUCCUAUGAUGAAUAUAUAAUAGUAACACAGUACUGUGAUUGAAAAAAACACAGUUACAAUAAACUCUUCAUUUAUUCAUUGCGGAGAUUGAAUGGCAAACAGAGAAUAAAAUGAAGUAGAGGGAUCUCAUUGCCAGUAAAAUUGACCCUCUUUAAUGUUAUAUGGCACAGGUGUGUGUACAGCAAGAGCAAGUUACUUGCAGUUUUUAUUGUAAAAUAUACAGGUUAUGACCAUGAUCAUUGUAGUUAGGUUUUGAUGAUUUUAGAUGCUUUUUUUUAUUUUUUUUAAAUUGUGACACCUUUGAUUUAUGGUAGUUUUGCAGAAGAAAAAAAUAUAUAUAAAAAUUAGGAGGGAUGAGUUAACUAACAAUUGCAAUCAUUGCAGUAAUGUUGAUGAGUGAUACAUCAUUUUAAAUUUACUUGUCAGUUGCUGAAAUGAUGAAAAAAAAACAAUAAACAAUAGCAGUAAUAUUUUUAUGGAAAUUCUUGGUUUUUAUGGAAAUACUCUUGCUGAAAUUCUAAGUUUGACUUUCAACUCUUGGUUUUUAUGGAAAGUAAAAUGACUUGUUUGUUAUAUUCAUACAACCCACUCUACAUAAUGAUUUCAUUUUAAUAAAUGGUUGAUGAUCUCCACAGAAAAACUACUUCAAUUCUUUUUUUUUUAUUUAACUUUUUGGUUGUUGAAAAUAGCCUUAAUUUUCAAAUCAUUGGAGAAAGAGUAAAGAACAUUUAACAAAUUUAUGUGCCAAAAAUAAAGGAGAAAUUGAAGAGAAAGGGUGCUUGCAGAAGUGGGUGCAAAGAUAAAUCAGUCCAUAAGAAUUAUUGUGGUUAUUAAUUUUUUGGCAAUAUAAAAAUUUUUCAGCAAAUAAAAAUAGAUUUUUUCUGAUUUACUAAAAAAUUAAUUAAAAACUUCGGCGAUAGCAUUUUUUAUGGGUGCAUGUACCCUCCCUUUAAAAAAAAUAUAAUAAUUAAUACUUAAUAUAGUAUUAAAUACGAAAAUAUCAAUAUUUGACUACACAAAUUUAUAUCAUUAGGUCCUUAAAAUUUAAAAUUGAAGACACAAAAUGAAAUUUAUAUAAAUUUCAUUCUCAUAGGAAAGGAUCCUCUUAUAAUCUUAAAAUAUUUGAGCUUUGAAAGAUUUUUUAAAACAAAUGUACUUUUAUUUUUGUACAAUCAAUAUUUACUUAUAUAUUAUAUUUUUAUUUAUUACACUACUAGAAAAAUGGUCUUUUGUGACACUUGUCUUCUGACACUUUAUUAUAAAGUAUCAGUAAUUAGAUGUAUUUGGGGCAUUUUCCGUGUUUAACAUAUAAGUAUCACAAAUUGCUAAUACUAUGGUGUCAGUAAAUUUAAUAUCACAGAUUCGUGACACUAAAGUAUUAGUAGUUAAAAAAAUAAAAUUUUAAUUUUGUAUCUAGUAAUAAUCGAACCGAAGCCCCCUAAGCCAUAACCUUUUGAUUUUAACCGCUACACCACUCGGCCACAAAUUGCAUUUUUGAACUUAUAAAUUAAUAAAUAAAUAAAUAUUAAAACUUAAAACCUAAAACCUAAAAAAUUUUCAUGUAUGGUAUGUGUGAAACGUAAAACCUAAAAAUUUUUGUUAAGUCAAAAAUCUAUCUUAUGGCCGCCGAAGCUUUCUUCCUUCUCUCUCCUUCCCUCUCUCUCGCUCUCUUUCUCUCUCGAACAAUGAUCUACCUUGAAAGCCACCUCCGUCAACACCUUGAAAGCCGCCGUCCUUAAGCUAAAAUAUCCCUGAAAAGAACCCAGAAAGUGCUAUGAAGAAUUUGGGCAAAGCUAAGGUUAAUUUGAAAGUCCGAAUCAGUGUUGUGGUAACUCUUUGCCUCAUUCUCUAUUCUCAUUGUUUAAGUAUUUAUCUGUUAAUUGAUUGAUGUUUAUUGAGUGCAAAUGAGAGCUUGCACUUGUUUGGAAAUCUAGCCAUCUAGGGUUUUUGUUGCUUAUAAUCUAAUUUAUUGUUUAAUAAAAUAAAUAAAACUCAGCUUUAUUAUAGGUGGAAUUCAGUUUAUUAAGUGAAAGAAUGAUUACAAUUGGUGAUUAUGGAUUUAGGUUGAAUGCAAUUUGUUAAUUAAAAGAAUAAUGGCAAUCAACAGUCAUGGAUUUAGUAUGUAUUAUAUAUUUCGUUUAAUGGUGUGUAUGAAAACCCAAAACCUAAAAUUUUCUUAAGUAAAAAUCUCAGUUCUCCCUCACAACCUAUAAGCCCAUCACUCUCUCUCUCUCUCUCCCCCCUCUUUCUAGCUAACAACCCAAAACGUAUUGUGAAACCGCCAUUUCAAUCUUUCAAAGCUCAUUAGUUAGCUGGUCAUUGUGAAAAGUAAGGUUAUUGUUUGCUUUUAUGUCUAAUUUUACUUUAAACAUGGGGAUUGAUGAUAUUCGAGUUGCUGAACACUUGAUUUUGAGGUGAAAGAUUAAUUAAUAGUUUACGAAAUUAUGCUGAAAAUUUGAGGAUUGAUAGACUGUUGUUGUGAACUUGGUUGUUUCCGAACUUGACUAAAUGACUUUCAAUUGAUUUGAAAGUUUGAUUAAACUAAGUUUAAAUGAGAACAUUUUAAUUCUGGAAAUUUUGGAAUGAAUUGGGUUUAUAUUUGAUUUUGAAUGGAUUUCUCAAUAUGGUUGGUUGUUGUCCAAUUUUAUUAGAAAUUACAUAUGUACCAUGUUUGAUAUUGCAAACGUAUAGUCUAACAUAGUUAGAAUAAGUUGAAAUUCGGAUAGACUACAAUUCUAUUUGCAUACUUCGAAUCUGGAAAAUUUUAUUUUGAUUGAACCUGUAAUUUAUUUUUAAUGAUUUUUCAAACUCUGCUGCCUCUGCAGUAACUUCUUUUGACAUAAAUGUUCAUUAAUAUUUGAUCCUAUCAAACACCAGCCUAAUGAUAUCGGAAUAGCCUCAAAUUUUAAUAUGUUGUUGACUUAUAUGUCCACUUAAACUCUGGAAAGUAUCAUUCUAAUAUAUUUAGUAUUUUAAAUUUAAUAAAUAUUCAAACACCUGCUGCUACUUUUACAGUUUCAUAUGCAAUUUUAACUUAUAUAGUUUUAUCAUGUGAGAAGCAAAUGUAUGGUUGUCCAAAUGACUUGGAAAUUUUUUUUGUGGUGCAUUGAAAUGUCUAAUUAUGUUUUGUAAGUUUCAUAGCAUUCCAAAUUGAAUUAAAGAAAAUCUUAAAUUCAAGUUGUCAAUUUUUCCUAUUAAAUCUGAUUAGUGAUAAAUCUACUAACUUGCAGUACUUUUCAGGAAAAAAAAUGUGUCAACGCUGUGAAUUGCAAUGGGAGAAGAAAGUACUAAAGGCAUAAAUCUUUUUUCAUUAUAUUUGGGACUAUUCUUAAAGGUUAGUCUUUUCCUUUUUCCUUUUUUUCUUUUUUAUUUAAGGUAAUCAUAUUCAUUUUAAUUUUAAUUACAAUCAAUUUUGCGUUGUUAGACAACUUGCACCAACCAAUCCAACAACAAAUGAAGAUAACAUUUUUGAAAUGCAUUCAAUUUUUUAAAAUAGCAAAAAGAAAAGGAAAAAUGAUACUAGUUUAGGCUUUAGGAAAUUUGCAUCAUCAUUCUUGCACUGCAGCUGCCUCUAUCUCGGUGCUCUCGGAGAAGUAAUCUUGCUUGAUUUUGCGUGAUAGUUGAUACAAGCCCGUCCUAGCCAUUGCAAAAUUGACACUAAAAAGGUUCCAGUUUUUCAUAUUGUAGUUUGAAAAGUCUGCAAUGUUUGCUAUGCUGAUGCCCCAUUUGAAUGUUGGAGCCCAAAAAUGAAUGGUUUUAGGACUAGCCGGGUGGUUCCAGAAAGCUAGGAGCUUGUUAGCUAUUCUUUUUAAUUGAACUAAUUUAACUUAAAUAUUAGCCCGAUUAUUGAUUUCUAUGGUUUGCCAUUGAUUUGAGUUUGACAUUCUUGUUUUGUGUUGGUUUGAGUUUGACAUCCUAGUUUAAGACUUUGAAGGCUUCCAAGAAAUGAUUUUGGAUUAUGAGCAAAUGAGUAAUAGUUUGAAAAUUAAUUUACUCUAUCAAAUAUAUACUUAGUGUAGCAUAUUAAUUUUAAGAACUAUGGAUCAUUCCUUGAAUAUUCUAGUAAAUGUUUAUGUUAUAUAUGCAUGUCUUAAUAUAUAAUAAUUAUAUUUUGAAGUUUGUUUUUUUUUCCCCCUUUCUAGGUUUAGGAAAAAUGUUUAAAGUGAUUUUGGGUUAUGAUGUCAAUCAAGUUAAAGCAACAUUACUUGUGAGUGGAAAUAUAUAAUGAUUAUAUUUUUAUUCUACUUUUUUUUCUUCUUAAAGUUUUAUAAUUAGGCAAAAUUAAUGAAUACUUAAUUACAAUUUAGGGUGAUAUUCUUUAAAUGGUUCACAUGAAUAGAUUUAAGUAGUAUAAUAAAUCUCAUACUCACUUUAUAAAGGCUUAACUAAGUUUGCAAAUAUUAUUUCUUUUAGUAGUAAUAAUUUUGGAUUGAACUCUCAAAUUAUUGAAAUAUUUUAUGUCCAAACUUUAUUAUGCCUAAUAUAAAUAUGGAGAUUCAUAGUUAUUUUAUGCCCAGUUUAAGGAAACUGCAGUUUGAGGAAUUAUUUUUUGCCUUGUUAAAUAAGCUUUUAAAAUGAAUAAAUUGAGGAAAUGAGUGGUGAUUUAUUUAUAAUAGAGCAUUUGUGAUAGCUUUUAACUAUGCACAAAAAUCAUUUUGUAUAUGUAGAUAGAGUAACAUGCUUGUGCUGAAAGUAGAUAUUACAUUGAAAACUUCUUGUCUACUAUAGUUUGCUAUAUAUAUAACCUUUACCAAAAGAGAAUAAUUGAGUUUAUUUAUAAAUAGCUUAUGAGGAUUUUUUUUUCUUUCGAACAAAAUAAUUUUAUUUAUGUUAAUUGUUGUUUCUCUAAUGGCUGGAUAUUGGCAGCUAAUUUUUUUUUCUUUUCCAUGUAUUCAUAUGCAGAUUUGAUCAAUGUGUUUGAAGUGUUUAUUCUUCAACUUCACUUAUAUCCUAACCCAUACAGUCUAUUGAAUGGAGAAGCUGCUGAUGUGAUAACGCAAUUAUACUACUCAUAUUCAAAGAGUGAAAGACAGUCAUCCUUCUCAAUUUAGCUUCUCGAUUUAUUAAAUUUAGCCACAAGUAGUAGGCAUUUGAUUGGAUGGUAGAAAUUUUUAUGUAUUGAAUUUGGAUUAUUGAGUUAUGAGAGUAGGAUAUCUCAUAUUUUUGUUAUUGAAGUUUUGAAAUUUGUAAUAUAUACUAAUAAUAUUUAAAUGUGAAAUGAAAGAUUUUGUGAUAUAAAUCAAUUUCUUUUUGUUAUUUUGUGGUGCCUUUUAAUUUUACCAAUAAAUCAAUAGGCAAUGAUCCAAUUCAUUUUUUAAAAAAAUAAAUUAACUAGUGAUACUAUGGUAACAGUAAUCAUAGACACUAAUAAAAUAUCAAUAACUACUAACAUUAUGGUGUCAUAAUAUCGGUGAUACUGUAGUAAUAGUAAUCACUGACACCACUUACAAGUGUCACUAUUUUUCUGAAUCCCAGAUUACUGGCACAAUUAACAAGUGUCAGUGACAGUAAUUUCUGACACUAUUCUAAAGUCAGUAAAGACCAUUUUUCUAGUAAUGUUAACUAUCAAUCAUGUGAGUAUAUUUACUCAGAAAUAUCAUAUCAAUAGAGAAUCUUGAUCCCACGCACACGCAAAUAUGUUAAUUUCUAUACGCUUCACUUAACCUAUAGAAUCAAUUAUCUAAAAUGCAAGUUUGUGGCCACAAAAAAAGCCAAAGAAAGAAGAUAACAACAAUUGACUUGUCUAUUAUACUCAUACUAUCCUCUCGACAUAAUGAUAUCAUUUUAAUAAGGCAAUGGCUGAUGAUCUCCGUUGAAAAACUAAUUCAAUUUUUUUGCUUCAUUUAACUUUUUGGUUGUUGAAAAUAAGCUUAAUUAUCAAAUAAUUGGAGAAAGAGUAAAGAACAUUUAACAAAUUUAUGUGCCAAAAAAAAAAAAAAAAGAAGUUGAAGAGAAAGGGUGCUUGCAGAAGUGGGUGUCAAAGAUAAAUCGGUCCAUAAGAAUUAUUGCGGUUAUUUUUUGGCAAUGUAAAAUUUUUAUAGCAAGUAAAAAUUAUUUUUUUUCCGAUUUACUAAAAAAUUAACUAAAAACUUCUGUGUCAGCAUUUUUUAUGGGUGCAUAUACCCUCCCUUUAAAAUAAAUAAUAAUUAAUGCUUAAUAUAAUAUUAAAUACGAAAAUAUCAAUAUUUGACUACUCAAAUUUAUAUCAUUAGGUCCUUAAAAUUUAAAAUUGAAGAUACGAAAGGAAACAUAUAUAAAUUUCAUUCUCAUGGAAAUGAUUCUCUUAUAAUCUUAUAAUAUUUGAGUUUUGAAAUUUUUUUUGAAACAAAUGUAAUUUUAUUUGUGUACAAUCAAUAUUUACUUAUUUAUUAUAUUUUAAUUUAUUAACUAUCAAUCAUGUAAGUAUAUUUAGUCAGAAAAAUUAUAUCAAGAGAGAAUCCUAAUUUCACGCAAACACAAAUACAAGACAAAUAUGUCAAUUUCUAUACUAUUCACUUUCCUGUAGAAUCAAUUAUCUAAAGUGCAAGUUUGUGGCUACAGAAAACUCGCCAAAGAAAGAAGAUAAUAACAAUUGAGCAUUGAUAGCAAAACUAAUGCAUCAUUUUCUUCUUGACUUGAUAAGAUGGCGCCAUUACAAAAAAACAAGUACCUUAAUUGAUACUACUGGCCAGUUCAUCUCUUCCAGUCUUGCUUAGUUACAAUCACAAACACCACGAGAACGACAUUUGCAUUAUAUAUAUCUUCAGCAGUCGAAACACCUUGCAUUACCAAAUAAACCAGUAACAAACAAAGCAAUCUUUCCUGGAGACGAACCUUAGUCUCAGUAUGAUCACUGUGUCAUUAACCCACUGCCUGCUUCUUUGCUUGGUUGUUGCAGCAGCAGCAGCAGCAAGCAGCAAUAUUACCACAGACCAACAAGCUCUUCUUGCCCUGAAAGAUCAUAUAACUUAUGAUCCGACCAACCUUUUAGCCCAUAAUUGGACCUCGAAUACCCCUGUUUGUACCUGGAUUGGCAUCACUUGUGAUGUCAAUAGCCGUAGAGUCACAGCCUUAGAUAUUUCUCAAUUCAAUCUACAAGGCACCAUCCCUCCUCAACUCGGAAACCUCUCUUCGCUCGCAACGCUUAAUCUUAGUCAUAACAAGCUUUCUGGAGACGUUCCAUCCUCCAUCUACACCAUGCAUUCGCUAAAAUUUCUUGACUUCACUGAUAACCAGCUCUCUGGUUCAGUGUCUUCCUUCGUCUUCAACAUGUCUUCAAUAUUAGACAUUCGUUUGACCAAUAACAGACUUUCUGGUCAGCUUCCGAAAAAUAUUUGCAACUAUCUUCCUCAUUUGAAAGCCCUUUUUUUGGACAAAAACAUGUUUCAUAGCAAAAUUCCUUCUGCUUUAUCAAAGUGCAAACAACUGCAACAAUUAAAUUUGCAGUUCAAUAAUUUAUCCGGUGCAAUACCAAAAGAAAUCGGCAACUUGACUAUGCUCAAAGGGAUAUAUCUCCUCUACAACAAACUCCACGGUAUGUUCACAAUCCUAUAUAAAUAUUUUAAUUUAUCACUUAUUAUCUUUCUUGAAUAAUAUAGAUAAGAUUUUGUAAGAGAGAUUUUUUGCAUCUAUAUUAAUUUUCCAGGUGAGAUACCGCACGAAAUCGCUAAUCUUCCAAAUCUAGAGGCUUUAGUACUUGGAAUCAACAACCUAGUUGGUGUGUUACCAGCUCCCAUCUUCAACAUGUCAACACUGAAGGUACUUAUCCUCAUAAAUAACUCUCUCUCCGGAAGUCUUCCAUCAAGAAUAGACCUUUCACUUCCAACUAUUGAGCAUCUUAACUUGGGACUUAAUAGAUUUUCUGGAACCAUUCCUAGUUCCAUCACCAAUGCUUCUAAGCUCACCUUGCUAGAAUUGGGAGGAAACACAUUUUUGGGAUUUAUUCCAAACACAAUUGGUAAUUUAAGAAACCUUGAGUGGCUCGGCUUGGCUUUUAACUACUUGACAUCUUCAACCUCAAAAUUGAGCUUUCUUUCCUCUUUGGCAAAUUGCAAGAAAUUAAGAGUCAUAAACUUAGCAGGCAAUCCACUUGACGGCUUCCUUCCAAGUUCAAUAGGAAAUCUUUCUAAGUCCUUGGAAACACUUGUCAUCACCAAUUGCAGUAUUAGUGGCAACAUUCCUCCAGCAAUUGGCAAUUUAAGCAACUUGUUGGGCUUAGUAUUAGAAGGCAAUAAAUUGACUUGACCAAUUCCAAUUACAUUCGGCCGACUGCAGAAACUCCAAAACUUAGAUCUCGCAUUCAAUAAGUUGGUAGGUUCAUUCCCAGAUGAGCUUUGCCAUCUAGCAAGGCUGGGUCAAUUGGUCUUAUUUGGCAAUAAGCUUUCAGGAUCUAUACCUUCAUGCCUAAGUAAUCUCACUUCUCUAAGAUCUCUCUAUUUAGGGUCCAAUAGGUUUACUUCUGUUAUUCCCUCAACUUUCUGGAGCUUAAAAGACAUCUUGUUCGUUGACUUUUCAUCAAAUUUCUUGGUUGGUCCUCUUUCUUUAGAUAUAGGAAAUUUGAAGGUGCUUGUAAGAAUAGAUUUAUCAAAAAAUAACUUAUCCGGUGAUAUCCCAGCCACAAUUGGAGGUCUAAAAGGUCUUCAAAUUAUGGACAUAGCAUAUAAUAGAUUGGAAGGCCCAAUUCCUGAAUCAUUUGGUGACUUGAUAAGUUUAGAAGUUUUGAAUUUGUCAAAUAAUAAAAUCUCUGGGUCUAUUCCAACAUCCAUGGAGAAACUGUUUUUCCUCCAAGUGUUAAAUCUCUCUUUCAAUAAACUAGAAGGUGAGAUUCCUAGUGGAGGAAUUUUUGCCAACUUCACAGCUGAGUCAUUUAUGGGAAAUGAGUUAUUGUGUGGUUUACCAAAUCUUCAAGUCCAACCAUGCAAAGUUAGCAAGCCGAGGACAGAACAUAAAUCAAGGAAAAAGAUACUUCUCAUUGUGAUUGUUUUGCCAUUGAGUAUUGCUCUAACGAUAGCAAUCACUCUAGCUCUCAAAUCUAAGCUGAUCGAAUGUGGAAAAAGAAGCACAGUGUUGUCAAACGAUAGUGUCUUGUCAUCACAAGCAACACUAAGAAGAUUUUCAUACUUAGAACUUUUACAAGCAACAGAUAAUUUUGCUGAAAACAACAUAAUUGGCAUAGGAGGUUUUGGUUCUGUUUAUAGAGCAAGACUUGAAGAUGGGAUGAAGAUUGCAAUAAAAGUGUUUCACCAGCAAUGUGCAAGCGCAUUGAAAAGUUUUGAGGCUGAAUGUGAAGUGUUAAAAAAAAUUCGCCAUCGAAACCUUAUCAAAGUUAUCAGCAGUUGCUCGAACGAUGAUUUCAAAGCAUUAGUCCUAGAAUACAUGUCCAAUGGGAGCUUGGGGGAUUGGCUGCAUUCUAGCAAUUAUGUGCUGAAUAUAUUUCAAAGGUUGAACAUAAUGAUUGACGUUGCAUCAGCUUUAGAAUAUCUCCACUUCGAUCAUUCAACUCCUAUUAUUCAUUGUGACUUAAAGCCUAGUAAUGUAUUGUUGGACGAACAUAUGGUUGCUCAUUUGAGUGAUUUUGGCAUAGCAAAGCUUUUAAGUGGAGAAGAUGAGUCAACGAUGCGAACAAAAACCCUUGCCACUAUAGGUUAUAUGGCACCAGGUUUGCUUCAAACAACUUUUGUUGUUAGUUCAUUUUAAAUUUUCCAACUUAUUGAUUUUUACGAUCCUCACAUCAAAAUGUUAUUGAUUAUUUAUCUAAUUGUGAAAUUAAUUUGAUUCAUAGAGUACGGCAUAGAAGGAGAAGUAUCUACAAAAAGUGAUGUUUACAGCUAUGGGAUUAUGUUGAUGGAAACUUUUACCAAGAAAAAACCCACAGAUGAAAUUUUUGUCGGAGAAUUGAGCUUAAAGCGUUGGGUUAAUGACUUGCUUCCUACUUCAUUAGUGGAAGUUGUGGACAAAACUCUGCUAAGUGGAGAGGAAAAACAUUCUGCAGCAAAGGAGCAAUGUCUGUUGUCUAUCUUUAGCUUGGCUCUGGAGUGUACAAUGGAAUCACCGGAAAAGAGGAUUAAUGCAAAAGAUAUUGUUACCGGAUUACUCAAGAUAAGAGACGCAUUGGGUAAAAGGAUAGGAAAUUUAAGUUAAUUUCGUUUGCUUUCAUUGAUAGUUAAUCUGAAUUCAUGUAAUAAGUGUAGGAAUCUUAUAUCUUUUCCUUUGAUAUUUUUUUUUUCUUGAGAAAACUGUUGUAGUCAUCUUGUUUCCAUGGGCGGAGUUGACUUAGUUCUUCCAAGAAAUGCUACUGAUGAUCUUUGUUAUAUACUUUCUCUUUUUUUUGCAUGCGUUUAGGUAGAAUAGUGGUCUAGCUGCAGGCUAAUAUGUCAAGCUACGCCAAAAGCGUAUGAUUUAAUUUACUAAACAUAACUUCAAGUUCAAGAAGUGUUUUUCACUGCCACCAAUGCUUUGGACACCUGUUGGAAGGUUUGUUGUCCUCAGCUUUUGUUUAGAGCAAAAGUUCGAGUCCCAUAAAGGCUCACACAUUCCUUUCCUUCAUCGCGAGGUGAAGAAAUUAGAAUGACAACUGGGACAUAUAUAAGAGUGAAAUAAUUAAAAAAUUAUGCUUUUUUGUUUCACCGAAGUACUGUGAAAGAGAUUAAUUUACAGAAACUGAAGCCAAGGGUUCAAAAAAAAAGUGCAAAGAGAAUAAUUGUAUUAGUAGCACAAUGUCAUAGAGAGAUCAAUUAUAUUAUUUACGGCUGGUAAGGACUAAGAAUUGAUGUAGCUAGAAUGCGAAGAUGAUAAGGUAUGUUGUGCACUAUUGUUUUAUUCUAUAAUCAAUCUUGACCCUUGAUGCUUGGCUCUCAAUCUUGUCCAUUGAUCUUCUCUGAUUUUGGAGACUUGAAGACCUUUCAGUAUCAUGCCUUGUUGUUGGUGUCUUCCAUGCUGUAGAACCGCCGACUUGCCAAGUAUUUGUUCAUUGACGCAUUUUAUCAAACAGUUGGCCUGCUCAUAGCAAAUAGCUCCUCUUUUAGAGCUUUCGAAUUCAUGCCAAUUAAUUUUCAACUAGGCUAUUACCACAAUAAACAUUUAGAAAUCUAAAUUUGUUCAUUAUAUAUUCUGAUCAUCACUUGAACAUCCAUGCAGACUCCUAUUAAUUAUAUCCUCUAAUGGAGAGAACUCAUUGCCUCAGUAUGAUCACUGUGUCAUCAACCCACUGCCCGCUUCUUUGCUUGGUUGUUGCAGCAAGCAACAAUAUUACCACAGAUCAACAAUAGUUUGUCCAUUUUUUUCAGUAAGGUCGUCAUUAAAAAUUAAUUUUCAUAUUGAUUUUCUUAAUUAUAAAUAAUACUAAUGAUAUUUCAUAGUUAUAAAUAUAUUAGAAUUAAUCAAAAUCAUUUUUUAGUGCGGCAUGGCUAAAACUACCUUUUUUUUUUUUUUUAUAAGUAAUUACUACUUUAAGGAAAAUACUCGUAUUUUCAGGAAAAAGUCAAGUACCCGUAGUUGUGAAGACUCGAGCUCACCCUCUUAUGAUAAAUCUUCAUAUCAAUUACAUAAAUAUCCUCUAAAUGUUUAGUUAACUAUUCAAAAUUCGAUGUUAUAUGGGUAUUUCAUUUAUUUGAGUAGGGGUUAGGGGUCAAUUGGAUACAAAUUCAAAAUUAUCCUUACUUGAGAAGGUGAUAAACAUUGGGGAUUUAGUUUGGGUGUCAUUAGCUACAAAUAUUAAACUCAUACAUCUAAUUCAAAAUUGCAUCCAGGUUCAUUGCAGCUAAGGCUUGUGGAAUUUCAUCAGUAAGAUGUGAGUAGUCAUACCUACGUCGACAUUCAAUGGCUGUAUGUUUCUGUAAAUGACAAAUUUGGCAUAUGACAGUUUCUUCAUUGACUUCCUCAGCUUGUUGUUUGGAUUGAUUCUGAAUUUUGUGCCAAGGCUGUCCAGAAUUAUUUUGUCGAGGUUGCUGCCACUGUUGUCCCGAAUUUCCUUGCCAUGAUUGUUGCCCUUGUUGACUUGGAUUAUUGUUUGAUUUUUGCCAUGGCUGACUUGCAUUAUUAUUCCAACUUUUUCCACCAUUGUAGUUGAUUUUUUGACCACUUGAAUCAGCCAAAUUUUGUCCUCCUGCUGCUGUAAAACCACGACCUUUUGAGUUAAAGAAACCUCCAUUUCCACGACCUUUUCCCUUGCCUCAUUGGCUAAAAAAGGCUUGAGCCAGAUUGAUUGUAUUCUUCUUUUCUUCUUCAAAAUUAAUAAGAGUUUGUUCAUGAUUUUCGAGGGCCAUGACAAACUGCUUAAAUGAGGGAUAAGGUGGUUUCGAAAGUUGAGCAAGUUUGAAGUCUUGAUACCUGUAGCCAAGACCUCUUGCAAGACCAAAGACUUCAUCUAAGUCAUUCACUGGCUUAUUUAUUGCAGCCAAACAAUCACAGAUAUGCUUGUAUUUGCGCACAUACUCUUCAACUGAUAGAGAUCCCUUUUUAAACCGAGAGAAUUACUAUAUUUACACAAUUAACCUUGGCUAGAAUUAAUUGUGCAGAUUGGAUGAUAACUAGAGAAUAGAAAUGAAGAAAAGGAAGCACACAACACCGAGAAGAGUAAUAAUUAAUGCUGCCAUUGACGAAAUGUUUUAUAUUACUCUUCUUUCUUGGUAUUUAUUUAUUUACAAUUUUUAAUGUAAAUGUACAGUUGUUGGGCUAAUAUCUUAUUUACUUUUGAACGUAUUAGAUGCCUUUUUUUUUCUUGGUUCAUAAUAAUUUUGUAGAAAUUCCUCAAGUUUGCCUAAAUGAUAGCACAUAUUCAUAAUUGGAUUGAUUGAGUAAUAAUAAAAUAUAUUUAUUUGGCAAAUGGCAGUUAGGCUUUCUUUUGAUGCAGAUUAAUUAGAGAGAAUAUAUAACAAUUUUAAGCUCGUCAGAUUCGGAAGCUGCUUAUCUGUCGUGUGGGGAUCACUUCCGUGUCUUAUUUUUCUAGAAAAAUCUGGACCAUUGGAUUUCCCAUUAUUCAAUAGAUAAAUGUUUGAUCUUGAUUCUUGAUUAAGAUCGAAGUUUGAUUCUAACCAACAUGAUGUCAGAUUCAGAUUGCGAAGCAAGCAAAUUGAAAGUAACUUGUUCUAUUUUGAUAAACACAAGUUCUAAUAAAACAUUCUCAUAGUAAAGUGAAUUACCAUCCAACGAUCCAACUCAUGUUUUCAAAUUGUAAAUUGCAAAUCGUGCGUUUGCUCCAUUACAGCGUUUCUUCAAUCUGAAAUAGAGAAUCAUUUGUGUUUUGGAUUAAUCGUGGGUCUAUAUCCAAAUCUAAAAAUUGACUAAUUUAAUUUCUAUUAAAUUCUUAAUCCUAACAAGAAAAAUUGAAGAUUAAAAACGACUAAUUUGGUACCAUACCACUAUUGUAACAUAGGUAGAUCCUCUAUUAAUUGGAGUAAAGAUUGAAUUAUCUCAUUUAUUAAGGUUUAUCAAAAUCUUGUGUCAAAAUCUAUUAAUGAUAUAGGUUCAAGGAUGAAAGAGUCACUUCAUUACUUUUGAGUUCCCAAAUAGAUGAAUGGAUGUUAUUUUUGGAUUCCGGAGAGUCGAAAAUAUUAGGAUAGGUGCUAAAUCGAAUUAAGUUGUAGAUAAGAUAGAAAUGGAUUUGGAGAGAUUGGAAUCCUAGGUAAUCCGGUGCACGUUGUCGUGUUAAAUUCUCGUUGACUUCACGUUGACUGAAGCAUUAUUGGAAGAAACAAGUUUAUUGAUGUGAGGCCUUUGAGAUUGUAAGUGUUAAAUCUGAGAAGAAUACCCACACAACCAUUAUCCUAUUACUCUUAUAUCACGUGAAGAGAAUUCAACAUUUGAUUCACACGGAAAAAAUUUGUGAGGAUUGUGAGGGUUGAUGCAAUAUAAUUUAGAUACAAAGUGUUUACCAGUGCGAUGCUUCGCAAGUGUUCUUGAAUCAAUAUAAACUCACGUUAUUUUCAUAGUGAUUGUUUCAUCUGCACGUGGAUAUAAUCACAUGUCGAGAUUUUUUUUUCUUAAAUUAUGGUCUUAUUUAGUAUUGCGGUGUUAUAUCUUUUAAGGUACAAUUAUUGUUGGAAAAAAGUUGCAACUAUUAAAUAAAAUUAAUACUAUGUGCUAAAUAUAAUUGUUAAAUAAUAAUUUUGACAAAAUUAGUGAAGUUAUGUAGAUUUUUUUUCAUCAUACAAGUAUAAAAUCAAAUCAACUUAACUUCUAAGUUCUAUAUCAGCUACUGUUUAUCAUAUGUUUUAGUUCUGUAACUUUUAAGUUAUAGUUACCCAACCUCAAUUCUAAACCAGACCUAUAAAGAUCAAAGAUUUCCUCAUUAAAUUAUAUGUCUUGUGAUUGCUUAUUUAAUUUAUAUUUUUUUUAUUUAUCUUUAUUAAUUAUAAUCAUCUUUUUAUAAAUUAAAAUUGAAGGAAGUUGAUUGAUGUUGUUGACACACACACACACACACGCACGCACGCACGCACUCACAAAGAUCACCACAAGAAAAUAGAGUAUUGGCUACAAAUUCUAUUGCAACAAAACUUACUUUAUUGCUAAAAUUCAUAUCUUGCAACAAAAAUUAGUCUUUAUCGCUAUAGCUAAACAGAUUUUAUUCUUCUUAAUGAUGUGGAAUAGGCAAGAAAAUUAGAAUAUAUGGCAACAAAAUAUUUUCUUGCCCUAUGCUAUGUUUGGCAACAAAAGUGUUCUUGUUGCCUAACAAGCUUAAUGAAGGCAAAAUAUGUUUCGUUGCUCAAGUUUUUCCACAACAAACACUUGAAUCAGUUGCAACAAAUGAAAUAUUGUAAAAGGUUGUGAUUAGCGAGAAAAUUUGUUUUGUACUCUCAGAGUUUUUUGCAACAAGAUUAAUUUUGUUGCGCAAAGGUUAACAAAAAUAUUAAAUUAAUAAAUGAAAAUAUAAAGAUAAUAUAAAAGCAAACAUGACUUUGUGGGAGGCUUUUUAAUUUUUUAUUUCCGCGCCCUUUAUUUAAUAAACCGCGUGCUAACCGAAGUAAAGUUUCCAUCUCCAAUUUUUUCUUAAUUAAAAUAUUGCUUCUAGAAUAUUUCCACUUUACUCUUCGCUUGUUUCUUUUGCCCUGCCUUGGAGUCAUUCUCUCUGGCCAAGCUUUAAGCCAUUGAAGAGUUGUACUUGGAAGGCACCACUCAAGACAACGAUUUCUUCAAGUAAAUUUAGUUUUAUUUUAUAUAUUGGCCUGUUGAGUUUGAUUUUGUUUAGUGGGUUUUGCUUUAAUUAUUUAUUAAGUGGGUCUUUGUUUCAAUUUUUAAUUUGUUAAAUUAAAGUUAAUGGAUUUUUCAUGGUGAAGAACUUGAGUUUGUGGACAAUAGUCAAAUGAAUGUAGGAUCUAUGCCCAGUAAUAGGAUCUUUCAUGUUAUAAUUUCUUUGACAAAAUUAUAGUUAUAUUGAUUUAUUUUUAUGUUGAUUAUUAAUAAACUCUAAUGUAUAUUUUUAAUAAUUACUAGAUGGGUCCUGGACAUAGAGUUACCAAACGUGUAAGAGCAGAAAUUGUUGUCGCAUCUACAAUUCCCCAAUCUCAGCCUGUUAUGCCCAGCCAAGAGUUUGUGCAAGGUGUUGUUACAACUCUAGAAUUUGGUACUUAAAGAGUUUAAUUGGUAGGUUUUGUUUGAUCGACUAUUAGUAAGUACUUAUGAUUAUUAAUAUUCUUCAUCUGUCAUUUUUUUUAAUUAUAAACUGAGAUAUCUUUUUUUCCUAAAUUCAGUCAAAUUUUGAGAUUGAUUUGAACUUACCACAUGUUCGUCGAUGUGUGAAUAACAUUAUGGGUGGGAGAUAUCAUGAUAUGAGACAUUGGAUGUAUGAUCAUUACUUGGAUUAUCCAUCCUUUGAAGAGGCACUUAAGCAUUCAUAUCCAGGCAUAUGUCCAGAUGAUUGGGCUUGGCUUUGUCAUAACAUUUACAAUUCCGCAAGUUUCCAGGUCCAAUGAUAUUCAUAUUAUGAACUUUAAAUUGUCCAACUAGUUGUCAAUAUGCUUGUAUAUGUAUCUUAUUUUCCACUGUUAUAUUUUUUUAAUGUAGACUCAAUCUACCAAAAACAAAGCUAAUCGUGCUAAGCUUCCAUAUGUCCAUUGUGGGGGAUCAAGACCUUUUGUUAAUUAUCUUGAGGAUGACAUGGUUGAUGGUGAAAUAGAAUUAUUUCGCGUCACUCAUUUCAGCAAGACAAAAGGUUGGGUGAAUGAGGUGGCACACUUAAACCAUGUAAGAUGCUUUGUUGGAAACAAAAUUUUUAAUUUUAUUAUUUCUUAUCACCUACAUACUGUUGAUGAAAGUUUACUCAUUGAGUUUUUUUUCUUAAUUUUUCUUUCAUGCUCUAAUUAACUUUAUUAUUUGAAAUAUCAAAUAAUUAGAUUUAUAAGUAUAACAACAAGUUUUUUUUUUUUUCAAUUUAUGUCUUAAUACAAAUUAAUUCCAUGACCAAUGGAUUAAAUUUCAACUAUUUAAUUAAUAAAAUUCUUUUUUUUCUUCCUUCGUUUACUAACAAAGCUUUACGUAUAGGACCAAAUGGUAGAGAUACAACAACAACAACAAAUAGAUCCUCAAGAAGCAAAACCACUAACUCAAAGGGAAAUAUGCAUUGAAGUACUUGGAAAGAAAACAUGCUAUUUUCGAGGACUUGGCAACGGACCACGCCCAACUUCAAACCAUGGUGUUGAUACUUCUGAGGCUGAUAGAUUGCAUGGUAUUAUAUCUUCACAACAAAGUAGAUUGGAUUCACAAGAUGUUGAGCUUCAAGAACAAAAGAAGACUAUUGAUCAAUUGGAGUCCAGAUUGUCCCAAUUUGAGGGUAUGAUGCAGCAAUUUUUUUCUUCUCAAGGAUCCGCUUUUCGCUUUACAGAUUCAGCUACUCAAUGAUUACUCAUUUCAAUGAUGUCCUUAGAGUAUCUUGAACUUGUUAGUAUUUUGAAUUGGUCAUCACUUGAUCUUUUUGGUUACUGCUGGUGCAUGUCAUAUCUUUAAGGAUUUGGAGUUUGGAGCAGUUGUAAUUAGAGAUCGUUUAUAAUUUUUGCUCAUUACAUUUUUGGGAUAGAUGACAAUCCACUUUUGUAUUUGACUAUCAUAUGUGAUUCUUAAAGUCAGUUUUGUAUAUAUAUAUAUAUAGCUUGGAUACUGAAUGGGCCUUUAACUUUUAAAUUAGUUCAAUGACAUUAAUGAUUUUUUUGUUAGAUUUCUCAACAUAUAUUUGUAGUUUAUUAUUGUCAUGGUGGGGGAAAAAAUUGGUAUCUUUCCCAACGAACUUGGUUUGCUUCCUUUUAUACCAUGAUAUUAUUAAAAAAAAUUGUACUAUUUUUUAAUGACAAAAUUGAUUUGUUUCUAAAAAUAUUUAAAUAUUUAUUGCAAAUUUGUAAAAUUUUCAACAUAAAGAAACAAAGUAGUUUUGUUGCCUAAAAUGAUCUUAGCUAACAAACACCUUUGUUGGUACACGUUUUUUUUAUAAAAUGUACUUUAUUUCUUAGCAACAAAUUAGUUUUGUAGUAAAUAACUAUAUAGAAACAAAAUUAUUUUGUUGUGUAAAACUGUUUAGCGCAACAAAAAUGUUUGUUGCCAAAUUAUUCUCUAAACAAGUUGAAGACUCCUUCACAACGAAUCUGUUUUGUUGCGAAAGGAAGUUUGAGGCGAGAAAUGUUUUGAUAUGUUGUUAAACAUAGAGGGCGACAGUGCUAGGCCGACGACGGGCCGACAAGCUUGUUUUUGUAGCAAUAACCUAUGGCAACAAAAUUGGCACUUUAGGCAACAAAAUCUUUUUGUUGCAAAAAGCCAUUUCUGUUGUGGUGGAUAUAUUGGAAGUGCUUAAUUACGUCGACUCGAAGUUGUUGGGAAUUAAUGCAUGUAUUGAUUUAUUGGGAGUGUUUAAAUGAUUUUGUGAUUUACUUGAUUGAUUGAAUAUUGUUUGAUUGCUUCAUAUCCAUUCUACAAAGUUUAUUUCUUUGUGAAAUUUCAACGAAAUAUGUUUUUUUUUUUUUAAAUAAGGGUGUUCUAAAUAAUUUUAAAAAAUAUAUGGACUAAUUAGAAUUAAUUAUUAGGUAAUUAACUCAAUCUGUACAGGGUGAAACAACAUUUAUCCUAAUUAUAUCAUGAUAAAUACUUUUCUGAUUAGAAUUAGGAAAUCAUAGGUUUAUUGAAUUGUUUUUUUUUUCCUUUGCGGAAACGGAUUAGAGAAUUAGAAAACAAUCAUGUUGAUGUCAAAAUCUGAUCUAGUCGGUUAGCGACUUAACAUCAUAUUACUGCACCAGUAUUAAAUUUAUUUGGUAGAGAAUCGGCUGGUCAAUUGUCAAGAUGUCCUGCAAUCACUAGCGAUUAACCUACGAAUACAUGAAAUCAUAGAAGACGGUAAGAGCCACCAGAAGUUUUUUCGUCGUGAAUCUUCUGACGCUCAAGUCAGUUUAUAGGUUUACCAUAAUAAAAAUAAAUAAUUUCUAUUUAAAACAAAAAAUAGAGAUCAAAAGCUCAAAAAUAAAACCCAAUCCCAAUAUGAAAAUGAAUUUCUUUUUUUUUUUUAGCUUGGCCGAAUCCUUCUGCCUCCUAAAGAAACAUAAUAGAGGAGCAGGUAGCCAUGUUCCCUAGGUAACGCCCCACUCCCCUCUUUUAUUCCUCCCCCUCUCUUCCGUUUCCUUCUUUUGCUCACUAUCCUUUAUAAUUUUUUAUGCUUGUCUUCCCAAAAUAGCCUUUGAAUACACAAGUAAAUGUCUAGGCUUUGGUGAGGAUAGUUUGGUUAUUGCAUUUUACAAGUAAGAUGAGUGGUGGAGAAAAAUGAGGAGUGCAUAUAACUCUUCAGCAAAUCCCACCAACAAUUCAAUUUUCUUAAUUAAUUAAUCUCCUUUUUUAUCCCCAAACAAAUCCUAAUGAUACUAUUAUCAGGUUUAAAACAGUACAUAAAUAGUGAAAAGCUAACUAGUCUGUAGAGUAAUUGCUAAUUGCUUUCUCCUCUCUGAGCGCGCUGAAUAAUUUGUUGCAUGCAAACUUUUUAUUAUAUGCAAAUCGUACGUACUGUAACAUUGGAAUUGAUGUAUAAGCAAAAAUACAAGAAUAUUUAUGUCAAUAAAAAUAGUUUUUUUUUCCUUUUUAAAUAAACACAACGCGAUGUUGCUCUUCUCUACAUUUUUGCUAUCUCUUUAUUCUUUUUUUUUUUUUUUGGGCUUCUUAAAGCCUCAAACUUUGAUAACCAAAACUUCAUCGACCUAUGAAAAAAAUCUGCAGAUUAGUUUUUAUUAUCGGAAUAAUUGUUUGAGAAUACUAAAACAAAAUAUAAAAUAAGAAAAUAGGAGGUUAAAUUAGAGGGGGGGGAAAAAGGCAUGUUCUAUCGAUUACUAUAGUUUAAGGGAAAAAAAAAUCCAAUUGGGAAUUUUUUUCUUUAAUUUUUGUUUUACUUGAUUGAGAUUUCUCCUUAGUCCUUACAGUUUUAAGUUUGGAUGCCGUAGGGUUAGUAAUUUAGUACUUCCUUUGCAAGCUGAGUGCAAGAAUGAAAAUCUUUUAAGAAAUUAAAAAAGAUUAAAAAAAAGCAUACCAAUAGGUAAUUAUAAAUAACCAUAAAUAAACAUAAACAAAAUGUUUAUGAAGUAAAUUACACAUGCACAUAUUUUUUUUUUGUUUUAUUUCUUACUUGUCUAUUUUAUUUGCUGCUUGAUAACCCGUAAAUACUAAUCUAUUACUGCUAAUUCCAGACACAAAAUUUUUAACUCUAGGCUGCAGUUUUACUCAAAAUGAUGACCACUGGCUUCGCACCAUUUAACCGGCAUACAUUUCUACAAAUUGAACAAGGCUAUUGAUUUUCAUUAUUAUUUUUUAUUUAUUUAUAAAUUACUAUUUUAAUUUUCACUUUUUAUUGGGUUGUUUAACGGAUUAGUGAAGUUGGUGGUCGUGAUGCACUCACAAGGUACAAUUUUAUUUUAUAAUUUCAAAUUUGUAUUUUAAAAUACAGGUACAUUAUGUAUACAUAAUUAUUGAUUUUCGUAUGUGGGUGUUUUGAAAUAUUGCUAAAAGACCAAACUUUAAUAAACUAUUUUUCAUCUUUUUUUUUCCUUUUUUCCUAGAGUUUGAGUGAUAUCCGCAUUUUAAAUUCAUGAGGAACAAAAGCUAAUGUAUGCACAAAAUUCUUUUAUUUUUUCCUAGAAAAAUGGGUAAGAGAAGAAGAUUUUUCUCUUGAAAAAGAAAAACUAAUACGAUGCAAGCAUAGGAAAGAGGUCAGUGUUUUUGGAUUAGAAUUUAGUAUUGAGCUGAAUUUUAUACUAAACUCUUUUGUGGUGCUGCGAUUAAUAAACUCAUGAUUUGCUUUUGCUUUUACUUCAAGUGAAAGAAAGAGGAAACCUUUUGUUUUUUGUUUGAUUCUUGACUAUAGAUGUUACCUAUAUAGAGAGUUGAGGUAUCUGCCUUAAGUGAUGGUGAUAAAAAGAUUAAGCAGCGCACACAAUCUUACUGUCGUCCAGACCAUCCAGCUGUGAUGACUCUAGUUUUUUGGUUACAUUAGCUUUAGUGGAAAGGAGGGCCAAUUUAACAAAGACUAGAUUUGGUGGCUUACUAUAAUGCUUAUUCUCAGGGAAUCUAAUGUUAUAAGAUGAUUUAAUGAUCUUCUAUGAUUGUGAGUAGUAUAGUAUAAUUGAAAAGAGUCUGGGCUUCUAUGAUGAAUAUAUAAUAUUAACACAGUACUGUGAUUGAAAAAAACACAGUUACAAUAUACUCUUCAUUUAUUCAUUGCGGAGAUUAAAUGGCAAACAGAGAAUAAAAUGAAGCAGAGGGAUCUCAUUGCCAGUAAAAUUGACCCUCUUUAAUGUUAUAUGGCACAGGUGUGUGUACAGCAAGAGCAAGUUACUUGCAGUUUUUAUUGUAAAAUAUACAGGUUAUGACCAUGAUCAUUGUAGUUAGGUUUUGAUGAUUUUAGAUGCUUUUUUUAUUUUUUUAAAUUGUGACACCUUUGAUUUAUGGUAGUUUUGCAGAAGAAAAAAAUAUAAAUAAAAAUUAGGAGGGAUGAGUUAACUAACGAUUGCAAUCAUUACUGUAAUGUUGAUGAGUGAUACAUCAUUUGAAAUGUACUUGUCAGUUGCUGAAAUGAUGAAAAAAAACAAUAAACAAUAGCAGUAAUAUUUUUAUGGAAAUUCAUGGUUUUUAUGGAAAUACUCUUGCUGAAAUUCUAAUUUUGACUUUCAACUCUUGGUUUUUAUGGAAAAUAAAAUGACUUGUUUAUUAUAUUCAUACAAUCCACUCUACAUAAUGAUUUCAUUUUAAUAAAUGCUUGAUGAUCUCCACUGAAAAACUACUUCAAUUCUUUUGUUUUUUUUUAACUUUUUGGUUGUUGAAAAUAGCCUUAAUUUUCAAAUAACUGGAGAAAGAGUAAAGAACAUUUAACAAAUUUAUGUGCCAAAAAUAAAUGAGAAAUUGAAGAGAAAGGGUGCUUGCAGAAGUGGGUGCAAAGAUAAAUUAGUCUAUAAGAAUUAUUGUGGUUAUUAAUUUUUUGGCAAUAUAAAAAUUUUUCAGCAAAUAAAAAUUGAUUUUUUCCGAUUUACUAAAAAAUUAAUUAAAAACUUUGGCGAUAGCAUUUUUUAUGGGGCAUGUACCCUCCCUUUUAAAAAAAAAUAUAAUAAUUAAUACUUAAUAUAGUAUUAAAUACGAAAAUCUCAAUAUUUGACUACACAAAUUUAUAUCAUUAGGUCCUUAAAAUUUAAAAUUGAAGACACAUAAUGAAAUAUAUAUAAAUUUUCAACCUCAUAGGAAAUGAUCCUCUUAUAAUCUUAAAAUAUUUGAGAUUUGAAAGAUUUUUUAAAACAAAUGUACUUUUAUUUUUGUACAAUCAAUAUUUACUUAUUUAUUAUAUUUUUAUUCAUUAACUAUCAAUCAUGUGAGUAUAUUUACUCAAAAAUAUCAUAUCAACGGAGCAUCUUGAUCCCACGCACACGCAAAUAUGUUAAUUUCUAUACGCUUCACUUACCUCUAGAAUCAAUUAUCUAAAAUGCAAGUUUGUGGCCACAAAAAAAGCCAAAGAAAGAAGAUAACAAUUGACUUGUAUAUUAUACUCAUACAAUCCACUCGACAUAAUGAUAUCAUUUUAAUAAGGCAAUGGCUGAUGAUCUCCAUUGAAAAACUAAUUCAAUUUUUUUGCUUCAUUUAACUUUUUGGUCGUUGAUAAUAACCUUAAUUAUCACAUAAUUGGAGAAAGAGUAAAGAACAUUUAACAAAUUUAUGUGCAAAAAAAAAAAAAAAGGAGAAGUUGAAGAGAAAGGGUGCUUGCAGAAGUGGGUGUCAGAGAAAAAUCGGUCCAUAAGAAUUAUUGCGGUUAUUUUUUGGCAAUAUAAAAUUUUAUAGCAAGUAAAAAUUAAUUUUUUUCCGAUUUAUUAAAAAAAUAACUAAAAACUUCUGCGACAGCAUUUUUAUGGGUGCAUAUACCCUCCCUUUAAAAAAAAUAAUAAUUAAUGCUUAAUAUAGUAUUAAAUACGAAAAUAUCAAUAAUUGACUACUCAAAUUUAUAUCAUUAGGUCCUUAAAAUUUAAAAUUGAAGACACGAAAAAAUUGAAGAUAUGAAAGGAAAUAUAUAUAAAUUUCAUUCUCAUGGAAAGGAUUCUCUUAUAAUCUUAUAAUAUUUGAGUUUUGAAAUUUUUUUGAAACAAAUGUAAUUUUAUUAGUGUACAAUCAAUAUUUACUUAUUUAUUAUAUUUUAAUUUAUUUAUUAUAUUUAGUCAGAAAAAUUAUAUCAAGAGAGAAUCCUAAUUUCACGCAAACACAACUACAAGACAAAUAUGUUAAUUUCUAUACUAUUCACUUUCCUGUAGAAUCAAUUAUCUAAAAUGCAAGUUUGUGGCUACAGAAAACUCGCCAAAGAAAGAAGAUAAUAACAAUUGAGCAUUGAUAGCAAAACUAAUGCAUCCAAUUCUUCUUGACUUGAUGAGAUGGCGCCAUAACGUAGAAACAAGUACCUAAAUUGACCGGCACUGAGUGAUGUGAAUACUACCAGCCAGUUCAUCUCUUCCAGUCUUGCUUAAUCACAAUCACAAACACCACGAGAUCGACAUUUGCAUUAUAUAUAUCUUCAGCAAUCGAAACACCUUGCAUUACCAAAUUAACCAGUAACAAACAAAGCAAUGUUUCAUGGAGAGAAAGCUUAGUCUCAGUAUGAUCAUUGUGUCAUUAACCCACUGCCUGCUUCUUUGCUUGGUUGUUGCAGCAGCAGCAGCAGCAAGCAGCAAUAUUACCACAGACCAACAAGCUCUUCUUGCCCUGAAAGAUCAUAUAACUUAUGAUCCGACCAACCUUUUUGCCCAUAAUUGGACCUCGAAUACCUCUGUUUGUAACUGGAUUGGCAUCACUUGUGAUGUCAAUAGCCAUAGAGUCACAACCUUAGAUAUUUCUCAAUUCAAUCUACAAGGCACCGUCCCUCCUCAACUUGGAAACCUCUCUUCACUCACAACACUUAAUCUUAGUCAUAACAAGCUUUCCGGAAGCGUUCCCACCUCCAUCUACACCAUGCAUACACUAAAAUUUCUUGACUUCACUGAUAACCAGCUCUCUGGUUCAGUUUCAUCCUUCGUCUUCAACAUGUCUUCAAUAUUAGACAUUCGUUUGACCAAUAACAGACUUUCUGGUGAGCUUCCGAAAAAUAUUUGCAACUAUCUUCCUUAUUUGAAAGCCCUUUUUUUGGACAAAAACAUGUUGCAUGGCAAAAUUCCUUCUGCUUUAUCAAAGUGCAAACAACUGCAACAAUUAAAUUUGCAGUUCAAUAAUUUAUCCGGUGCAAUACCAAAAGAAAUCGGCAACUUGACCAUGCUCAAAGGGAUAGACCUCGGCUACAACAAACUCCACGGUAUGUUCAUAAUACUAUGUAAAUAUUUUAAUUUCUCACUUGUUAAUUUUCUUGAAUAUCUUAGAUAAGAUUUUGUAAGUGAGAUUUUUUGCAUCUAUGUUAAUUUACCAGGUGAGAUACCCCACGAAAUCGCUAAUCUUCGAAAUCUAGAGGCUUUAGUGCUAGGAAUGAACAACCUAGUUGGUGUGGUAUCAGCUAUAAUCUUCAACAUGUCAUCACUGAAGGUACUUAUCCUCAUCAAUAACUCUCUCUCCGGAAGUCUCCCAUCAAGAAUGGACCUUUCACUUCCAACUAUUGAGCAUCUUAACUUGGCACUUAAUAGAUUUUCUGGAACCAUUCCUAGUUCCAUCACCAAUGCUUCUAAGCUCUCCUUUCUAGAGUUGGGAGGAAACACAUUUUCGGGCUUUAUUCCAAACACAAUUGGAAAUUUAAGAAACCUUGAGUGGCUCGGCUUGGCUAAUAACUCCUUGACAUCUUCAACCUCAAAAUUGAGCUUUCUUUCCUCUUUGGCAAAUUGCAAGAAAUUAAGAUCCUUAAACUUAAUAGGCAAUCCGCUUGACGGCUUCCUUCCAAGUUCAAUAGGUAAUCUUUCCAUGUCUUUGAAAAUACUUCUCAUCGCCAAUUGCAGUAUUAUUGGCAACAUUCCUCGAGCAAUUGGCAAUUUAAGCAACUUGUUGGCCUUGACAUUAGAAGGCAAUAAAUUGACUGGACCAAUUCCAAUUACAUUCGCCCGACUGCAGAAACUCCAAGGUUUAUAUCUUCCAUUCAAUAAGUUGGUAGGUUCAUUCCCAGAUGAGCUUUGCCAUCUAGCUAGGCUGGCUGAAUUGGUCUUACUUGGCAAUAAGCUUUCAGGAUCUAUACCUUCAUGCUUAAGUAAUCUCACUUCUCUAAGAUCUCUCUAUUUAGGGUCCAAUAGGUUUACUUCUGUCAUUCCCUCAACUUUCUGGAGCCUAAAAGACAUCUUGUUCUUUGACUUUUCAUCAAAUUUCUUGGUUGGUCCUCUUUCUUUAGACAUAGGAAAUUUGAAGGUGCUUGUAAGAAUAAAUUUAUCAAAAAAUAACUUAUCCGGUGAUAUCCCAGCCACAAUUGGAGGAUUGAAAGAUCUUCAAAUUAUGGACCUAGCAUAUAAUAGACUGGAAGGCCUAAUUCCUGAAUCAUUUGGUGACUUGAUAAGUUUAGAAGUUUUGAAUUUGUCAAAUAAUAAAAUCUCUGGGUCUAUUCCAACAUCCAUGGAGAAAAUCUUUUACCUCCGAGACUUAAAUCUCUCUUUCAAUAAACUAGAAGGUGAGAUUCCUAGUGGAGGAAUUUUUGCCAACUUCACAGCUGAGUCAUUUAUGGGAAAUGAGUUAUUGUGUGGUUUACCAAAUCUUCAAGUCCAACCAUGCAAAGUUAGCAAGCCGAGGACAGAACAUAAAUCAAGGAAAGAGAUACUUCUCAUUGUGAUUGUUUUGCCAUUGAGUAUUGCUCUAACAAUAGCAAUCACUCUACCUCUCAAAUCUAAGCUGAUCGAAUGUGGAAAAAGAUGCACAGUGUUGUCAAAUGAUAGUGUCUUGUCAUCACAAGCAACACAAAGAAGAUUUUCAUACUUAGAACUUUUACAAGCAACAGAUAAUUUUGCUGAAAACAACAUAAUUGGCAGAGGAGGUUUUGGUUCCGUUUUUGGAGCAAGACUUGAAGAUGGGAUGAAGAUUGCAAUAAAAGUGUUUCACCAGCAAUGUGCAAGCGCAUUGAAGAGUUUUGAGGCUGAAUGUGAAGUGUUAAAAAAUAUUCGCCAUCGAAACCUUAUCAAAGUUAUCAGCAGUUGCUCGAACGAUGACUUCAAAGCAUUAGUCCUAGAAUACAUGUCCAACGGGAGCUUGGAGGAUUGGCUGCAUUCUAGCAAUUACGUGCUGAAUAUAUUUCAUAGGUUGAACAUAAUGAUUGACGUUGCAUCAGCUUUAGAAUAUCUCCACUUCGAUCAUUCAACUCCUAUUAUUCAUUGUGACUUAAAGCCUAGUAAUGUAUUGUUGGACGAAAAUAUGGUUGCUCAUUUGAGUGAUUUUGGCAUAGCAAAGCUUUUAAGUGGAGAAGAUGAGUCUACGAUGCGAACAAAAACCCUUGCCACUAUAGGUUAUAUGGCACCAGGUUUGCUUCAAAUAACUUUUUUUUUUAGUUCAUUUUAAAUUUUGCAACUUAUUGAUUUUUACGAUCCUCACAUCAAAAUUUUAUUGAUUAUUUAUCUAAUUGUGAAAUUAAUUUGAUUCAUAGAGUACGGCAUAGAAGGAGAAGUAUCUACAAAAAGUGAUGUUUACAGCUAUGGGAUUAUGUUGAUGGAAACUUUUACCAAGAAAAAACCCACAGAUGAAAUUUUUGUUGGAGAAUUGAGCUUAAAGCGUUGGGUUAAUGACUUGCUUCCUACUUCAUUAGUGGAAGUUGUGGACAAAACUCUGCUAAGUGGAGAGGAAAAACAUUUUGCAUCAAAGGAGCAAUGUCUGUUGUCUGUCUUUUGUUUGGCUCUGGAGUGUACAAUGGAAUCACCGGAAAAGAGGAUUAAUGCAAAAGAUAUUGUUACCAGAUUACUCAAGAUAAGAGACACAUUGAGUAAAAGGAUAGGAAACUUCAGUUAAUUUCGUUUGCUUUCAUUGAUGGUUAAUUCAAAUUCAUGUAAUAAGUGUAAGAAUCUUAUAUGCUUUCCUUAGAUAUAUAUUUUUUUUUUUGAGAAAACUGUCGUAGUCAUCUUGUUUCCAUGGGCAGAGUUGAUUUAGUUCUUCCAAAAAAUGCUACUGAUGACCUUUGUUUAAUACUCUCUUUUUUUGCAUGUGUUUAGGUAGAACAGUGGUUUGGCUGCAGGCUAAGAAGACUAACUACACUAAAAGAAUAUGAUUUAAUUUAUUAAACAAAACUUCAAGUUCAAGAAAAGUAUUUCACUGCCCCCAAUGCUUUGGACACCUACUGGUAGGUUUGUACGUGUCCUCAACUUUUUUUUGGAGCACAAAAUUCGAGUCCCAUGGAGACUCAAACAUUCCUUUCCCGCAUCCCGAGCACGCUAAAUUCAUCAGACUGACGACUGGGACAUAUACAAGAGUGAAAUGUUUGGAGCACACUAAGUUCGAGUGAAAGAGAUUAAUUUACGGAAACUAAAGCCGAAGGUUCAAAAAAAAGUGCAAAGUGAAUUGAUGCACAAUGUCAUAUUCAUACAGAGAUCAAUUAUAUUAUUUACAGCUGGUAAGGGCUAAGAAUUGAUGUAGCUAGAAUACAAAGAGGAUAAGGUAUGUUGAGCACUAUUGUUUUUAUUCUACAAUCAAUCUUGACCCUUGAUGCUUGGCUCUCAAUCUUGUCCAUUGAUCGUCUCUGAUUUUGGAGACCUCAAGACCUUUCAGUAUCAUGCCUUGUUAUUGGUGUCUUCCGUGCUGUAGAAUUCAUAUACAAGCUUUCCCGCCGACUUGCCAAGUAUUCGUUCAUUGAUGCAUUUUUAUCAAACAGCUGGGCUACUUAUACCAAACACCGCCUGGUUUAACUCCCCCUCUCUAGCUCAACUAUCUGGGAAGACAAUUAAUUGAGAUAUGAAUCAGAAAGUUAAAUUUUAACAAUUAUAUUCGGACUCUACAUUUUGUAAUGAACAUUGGUUUGACUUGUUAUACAUUUAUGCGUACAUAAUUAAUAACCGAUUCUCAAGUGCGGACAUUCAAGAGCACUGCUUAAAGACCAAAUAUUUUGAUUUACUAUUUUUUGUCUUUCAAUUUUCUUUUAAGUUCUGAUGACGUCCGCAUUUUAAAAUCCUGUGGAACAAAGGCCUGAGGUGCAUAUAAAAUUCUUUUAUUUUUCAGAGGAAAAUGGGUGAGAGAAGAAGAUUUGGCAAAAGAAUUGCAACGGCAAUAUGAAACUAGUCUUUGUCUUUUAAUUCUUUUAUAUUUGUUUUUGUUAUUGAUGUUAGCUUGGAUGUGUGCGCGUGUUGUUAACAUAUAUGUUUACAUAAUGUUGAUUUUGAUGAUAACAAACAAAAUUAAGAAUGAUUAAUCUUUUAAGCUCAAAUUAUUUAAUAUUCUUUUUAAAUAAAUCAUUAUUUUCACAUUAUAAAUGUUUCAUAUUUAAUGGAAAAUUGAUUUUAUGAAAUUGGUUGUUUUUCAAAGUUUAUGGUUUAAUUGAAAGAAUUUUGAAAACUUUGAAAUAAACAAGUAUUGCUUGAAAUUUUAGUAAAGGACUUAUUUGAAAAGUGUCUUAGCAUUUUUGGCUAUAUCAUAAUUUCAGAAAGUUUUGGGAUUAACAAAGCAUUACUUAGAAAUUCUGAAAUUGGACCUAUUUGCAAAGUUUCAUAACGUUUUGGGCCUUAAUAUAGUUUUGUAAAGUUUGGGAGUCAAAAUGUAAUUUUAGAAAAUAAUUUCACUGUAGCAUCACUGUAGUAAACGGCUAACCGUUUAUUUAAAACGGCUAACCGAUAAUUUUCAGAAAGCAUAUUUUGCAUAGUAUUGUUAAAAUGAUGAUUCUGAAACAUAACGGUGAACCGUUUACUGAAAACGGUUAACCGAUUAUUUUCAGAUUGCUAACCUUGAACCGUUUAGUAAGAACGGUUAAACCAAAUUUGUUUUGCAGGUCUCUGGAAUUUAACGGCGAAAGGGUAAUACUAAACGAUAAACCGUUUAUUUGAAAAUUGGUCCAACGGUAACUUUGACCAGCCUAAACGGUUAACCGUUAAUGGUUAACGGCGAACCAUUUUCGAGCAGACAGUCUAUAACGGCUAGUUUUUCAGCUCCAACUAUAAAUAAGCUCAAUCCAAUUCAAACAAGAUAAAUUCCAACGAUCAUCAUUGAGCAAAAUAUUGAGAAUACAACUUUCAUUGAGCUUUAAAUCCUUGUAUUCAUCUCAUUCAUUCACACAUUGAGCUUUCACUUGUGAUCAAACACAUUGUGUGAGAGAGAUUCAUUUGAAAUCCUCUUUGUAAAAUCAAGUUAAAAGAUUGUAAGUGUUGGGAUACACUUGAGUUAAGAGAUUGGGGAUAAUCUCUUGUUGUAAAGGUCCAUUGACACCUUGGAAGUCAAUUGUAAGCGUUUGAAGCCUAGGGAGGCUAGCUUAGUGAAAUCCUCAAGCCCAGUGAGCUUGGAGGCGUGGACGUAGGCGGGGUUUGCCGAACCACGUAAAAAUCAUUGUGUUUGUUUUCUCUUCCCUUAGUCUUUUAAUAUUGUGCAUGAUUGAAUUUAUUGUUUUCAAUUUGAUUAAGGCAAUAAAUUAAAUUGUUGUGCGAAUUGUAUUGCAUAAAUUUUAAAAUCCCAAUUCACCCCCCUCUUGGGUUGCCUAGUUAGUAUUUCACGUGUGACUGAAUUCAACUUAUAUUUGUUUUUGUUAUUGUUAUUAAUUUUAUUUGUUUGUGUUAAAUUGGACCACCAAAAAGGGCUGUCCAUUAUCAAAUCAACACGGUUUAAUUAUUAUUAUUUCUACACUUUUUUUAUAAACAAAUAUAAAUAAAAGGAUAUUUACACCCCAAAUUUUAGUGAAAUAGUCAUUAACACUCCUAAAUUUUUAAAAAAAGAUAUCAAGAUCAUUUUUUGAUCUUAAUACUCUCAUACGGUACCUCUAUUAUUCUUAAAAAUUGACUCUAAUGUUUUAUAAUAAAUAAAAAUAAAACAUUAAAAUAAAUGUAAUAACAUAUAAUUUUAAAAUAAUUUCAUUAUUUAAAAAAUAUUUUUAACAUUUUACAAUCUAUUAAAUAUAUUUUAUUAUAUUAAAGUAAUUUUAUAAUAAAUAGAAUCAUAUUAUUAGAAUAAAUGCAUUAAAACUUAAAUUAUUUUGAAUAUCAUGUAAGAUAAUAAUUUUAACAUUACUAGUAUGUCAGUUUUUUUUUAAUUGUAGAAUGUAUUUAGUGCAAAUAUUUAUUUCAAAUCUCUACAAUAAAUAAAAGAUUAAAAUAAAUAUAAUAAUUUACAUAUCUAAAUUUAUUAAAAUAUUUUAAUAUUGUUAGUCUACUGCAUAUAUCACAAUAUUUAUAUAACAUUUGUAUUUAUUAAAAGCUUUAAAAUCAAUUCUUUUGAGAAUAAUAGAGGUAAAGGGUACAAUGGUCAAAAUGGGGACUUUGUACCCUUUUUUGAAAACUUGAAAGUGUUGGUGGUUAUUUUUCCAAACCUUCAGGGUAUAGAUGUCCUUUUUCCACAAAUAUAUGAGAAAAUUAUCAAGAAAUACAGUAUCUGAACUUUGAAGUAACAAGGAUCACCUUUUAUGAAAUCGAUUGCUUUUCAUGAUAGACUGUUACCAUUUUUCUACAAUAGAUUGAAUUUAGUAAAAAAUUGAUUAAGAUGUCUACUCAUGGAGAGUGAAAUUUAUGUUCAAAACUAAUUUCAACAAGCAUGCACCACCGAACGUGUUUCUCACGGAAAAGUUGCUUGGAUUUUUGGGACUUCCUGUUCAAAUAUUCAACACGGCAUGCACCACGCGAUUGAACAUGCAAAAGUAGGGGUCUAUUUUCAUUUCCAGCAUUAUAGAAAUCUUAAUUUUGUUCAUUAGUUAUUUUGAUCAGCACUGUUGAAUCUCCAUGUAUUGCCAAUCACUAAGAAACAACAUAUUCUUAUUAAUUAUAUCCUCUAAUGGAGAGAACUCAUUGUCUCAGUAAGAUCACUGUGUCAUUAACCCACAGCAUGCUGAUUUGCUUGGUUGCUGCAGCAAGCAAAAAUAUUACCACAGAUCAAAAAUCUCUUCUUGCCCCAAAAGAUCACAUAACUUAUGCUCCAACUAAUCUUUUGACCCAAAAUUGGACCUCAAAUACGUCUGUUUGUACGGGGAUUAGCAUCCCUUGUGAUGUCAAUAGCCAUGAAGUCGCAGCCUUGGAUAUUUCUCAAUUCAAUCUACAAGGCACCAUUAUUCCAAACACAACUGGUAAUUUAAGAAACCUUAAGUGGCUCGGCUUGGCUUAUAAACUACUUGACAUCUUCAACUUCAAAAUUGAGCUUUCUUUCCUCUUUGGCAAAUUGCAAAAAAUUAAGAAUCUUAGGCUUACUGGAAAUCCACUUGACCGUAUCCUCUCAGGUUCAAUAGGUAAUCUUUCUAUGUCUUAGGAAAGAUUUCACAUCGCCAAUUGCAGCAUUAGUGGCAGAAUUCCUCAAGUAAUCAGCAAUUUAAGCAACUUGUUGGCUGGUGUGCAAAAUUUUAAUAUACUCGCAAACGCAGGAAUCUAGAAAUAGAAUAAUGGUAACGAGGUCAAACCCACAUGGAUUGUUAUAAAAUGACAAAAGAAUAGCUGCUGGUCUAGAGGUGGCUUACUACAUUCAUACAAGAUCGUUUCUUGUUCUCCAAGAUGUGCAUUAUACUAAUAAUGCUAUACAAACUUAUAUACUGAUCUUAUCCUCUAGAUCUGUUCAGGCUGAGUGAUCUCUCACAUUUGCCAUAUCAGAAGAUUACAUGCCAGUAAUGUCAUGUGAUGACCUGUUGCUUGGUGAUGUCGAAUGCCUGGCCUUUACUUCUCUGAGCAAAUUGAUCAAACAAUCUGUUCAUUUUAUCGAACACCUUCACCAACUAACAUUUAAUUUACUUUUGAUGGUUUUUAAGUGCAUUUAAUGAUUAUUUUUGCUCCAACUUCAGAUAAACCAAACGCUAGUAUAUUAGAAGAAGAAGUUAACUGGCAGCUAACCAGGUCAAAAUAGCGACUCUAUAUAAAAAAUAUAUAUAUAAAAUAAAAAAUAAAAAAUGGGACUUUAUUUAAUUAAUUGUUGGUCUAAAGCUGUUGGUAUCCGUUGGCCACGUUUCUGAAGAGUCAUCUCAAAUCAAAAUUUUUAACGAACAAAGAACUUUGCUUUUUUCCAUUGUUCACAUUGCUGCUGGCUGCCACCCGUGAGAUAAAAGUGCUACAAUCCAAAAUGUUCCACCAUUAUUUAUUCUAAUUUUAAUUUUCCAAUGGAAAAAAUUACAUAAUUAAAAUGGCUUCUAAUAUCAUUUCCACAUCUCAAUAUGUGUCACUAUCAGAAGGUUGUUUUCAUGAUUCAUUGUAAAUUUGGAUUACAGUACCUGUACUUUCUGAUGGUUCAUUAUUUAUUCUCAGGAAUCGAGUCUCCUUACAUUACCAAACUAAUAACAACCAGCAAUCUUUUAUCCUUUCACGGUGAGAAAUCACAGUCUUCGUAUGAUCGCAGUGCCAUUAACCCACUGCCUGCUUCUUUACUUGGUUGUUGCAGUAGCAGCAGCAAGCAACAUUACCACAGGCCAACAAGCUCUUCUUGCCCUGAAAGCUCAUAUAAGUUAUGAUCCAACUAAUCUUUUGGCUCAAAAUUCGACCUCAAAUACCUCUGUUUGUAACUGGAUAGGCAUUACUUGUAAUGUCAAUAGCCAUAGAGUUACAGCCUUGAAUAUUUCCAGCUUGAAUCUACAAGGUACCAUCCCCCCUCAACUUGGAAACCUUUCUUCACUGACAACACUUAAUCUUAGUCAUAACAAGCUUUCCGGCGACAUUCCCCCCUCCAUCUUCACCAUGCAUAAGCUGAAAUUUCUUGAUUUCAGUGAUAAUCAGCUCUCUGGUUCUUUGUCCUCCGUCACCUUCAACUUGUCUUCAGUAUUAGAUAUUCGUUUGGAUAGUGACAAACUCUCUGGUGAACUCCCAGUAAAUAUUUGCAAUUAUCUUCACUAUUUAAAAGUCCUUUUUUUGGCCAAAAACAUGUUUCACGGUCAAAUACCACUGGCUUUAUCCAAGUGCAAACGGCUACAACUGUUAAAUUUGGGGUUCAAUAAAUUAUCAGGAGCCAUACCGAAAGAAAUCAGCAACUUGACUAUACUUCGAAAGAUAUCUCUCAGAAAUAAUAAACUUCGCGGUAUAAAUGUUUAUAAUAUAUACUUUGUAAAUGCUCUUAUUAAUCAUUCUUAAACUUUCUUAGACACUUUUGUCUAAAUAAAUUUCGUAAGAGAGUUUUUUGCAUCUCUGUUAAUUUUGCAGAUGAGAUACCUCACGAAAUUGGGUAUCUUCCAAAUCUAGAGAAUUUGGUGCUUGGAUUCAACAACCUAGUAGGCGUUGCACCUGCUGCAAUCUUCAACAUGUCAACAGUGAAAGAAAUUUACCGGUUAGAUAACUCUCUCUCGGGAAGUUUUUCAUCAGGAAUAGACCUUUCACUUCCUGAACAGAUUUUCUGGAACCAUUCCUAGUUUCAUCACCAACGCAUCUAAACUUGUAUAUCUAGAUAUGGGAACAAACUCUUUUUCGGGCAUUAUUCCGAACACAAUUGGUAAUAAUCUAAGAAAACUUGACUGGCUCGACUUAACAUACAAUUGCUUGACAUCUUUAACUCUAGAAUUGAGUAGUACUAGGUUGUUAAAUGACGGUAUCUUGUCAUCACAAGGAACACUAGGAAGAUUUUCAUACCAAGAUCUUUUUCGUGCAACAGAUAAAUUUAGUAAAGACAAUCUAAUUGACAUAGGAAGUUUUGGUUCUGUUUAUCGAGGAAGACUUCGUGAUGGAAUUGAGGUUGCAAUAAAAGUGUUUCACCAGAAUUUGUGCAAUGGAAUUGAUGAGUUUUGAGGCUGAAUGUGAAGUGAUGAAAAAUAUUCGUCAUCGAAAUCUUGUCAAAAUAAUCAGUAGUUGUUCGAACGAAGAUUUCAAAGCAUUAGUUCUAUAAUAUAUGCCCAAUGGGAGAUUGGAGGAUUGCUUGCAUUCUACCAAUUGUUCGUUAAAUAUUUUUGGCAGGUUGAACAUAAUGAUAGAUGUUGCAUCGGCUUUGGAAUAUCUCCACUUCAAUCAUUCAACUCCUAUCAUUCAUUGCGAUUUAAAGCCUAGUAAUGUAUUGUUAGAUGAAAAUAUGGUUGCUCAUUUGAGAUUUUGGAAUUGGAAGGCUCUUAACUGGAGACAAAUCAAUGAUACAAACAGAAACACUUGCCACAAUUGGUUAUAUGGCACCAGGUUUGCUCUGAAACAAUUUUUUUUUUUUUUUUUUUGGGUUUUCAUUUACACUUUCCAAAUUAUUAUUUUUCCAUGAUCCUUCUAUCCUAAUGUUGUUGAUUAUUUAUCUAAUGAUAAAAUCAAUUUGGUUGAUAGAAUAUGGCAUAGAAGGACGAGUAUCUACUAGAAGUGAUGUUUAUAGCUAUGGAAUUAUGUUAAUAGAAACAUUUACCAGGAAGAAACCCACAGAUGAAAUGUUUACAACAGAAUUGAGCUUGAAGCUUUGGGUUAACAACUUGCUACCUGCUUCAUUGAUGGAAGUUGUGGACAAAACUUUUUAAGUAGGGAAGAAGAAGAUUUUACUGUGAAGGAGCAGUGUGUGUUAUCAAUCCUGAGUUUAGCUAUGAAGUGUGUGAUGGAAAUGCCAGAAAAAAGGAUCAAUGCAAUAGAUAUUGUAACUAAAAUAUUGAAAAUAAGAGAUGUAUUGAGUAAAUGGUUAGCAAAUUUAGGUUAAUCUCAUUUCUUGGCAUUGAAACUUUAACUUGAAUCAAUAUAUACUUAAUUUGAAUCUUUGUAUGAGUGUAAGAAUAUGAUAUAUUUUCCUUUGAUUUUUUUUUUUGAGACAAACAUCGUAGCUAUCUUGUUUCAAAUUAAUUUUAUGCUUUUUUUUUCUUUUUCUAAGAUCAUGCCUAAGAGCCGUAGGAAGAUCAGCUACAAAUUCAAAGCCGGCUAAGGCAUUUGACAAUGGAGAGAUUGUUAGUUUUUUCUCCAUUGAAAUUAAUAUAUAUCACCUAUCCCAACUAUUUUCAUAAUGUCUAAUAACCUCCUGGCACCAUAAUUUUACCAUAUAACCCUUAUUUUUAAAUGCACUUUUAUUUAUAUUAAUAUUAAUUAAAUAAAUCAUAUGAGUUGGAAUUAAAAUUAAAAAAUUAAAGACCAAGAAUAAGAAAUAUACGUUUUAGUGUGCUUAAAAAAUUAAUAUUAAAAUAUUUUUUUUUUGUACUUUUUAUUGUCCAACCAAUGUUGACAUUUGCCUAUAUCAGGUUUUUUAUGUGUACAGUGCAGGUUCAACUUAAGCCAUUAAUAGAACAACUUGAGAGAGCAAAAGUAUUGCAAGUUCUUGAUUUUGAAAUCUCCAAGCAUAGGAAGCCAAAGCAUCUGCUUCUUCUGGGCAUGCUGCAAUGCUGGUUCUAGUUCGAACGUGACCUCUCAGUCAUCUCAAGAAGGGCUAUUCAUUGGGGACAUCGAGGUAACUUUACCCCACCCGGAGGUUUGAUAAUUCAACUUUUUUAAUAGAUUUGUCUAAUACAUUCAAUUUGAUUUUAUUAUGUACAUGUUUGGUUAAUUACCGUGUUCUGUUAAGUUCAAGUCCAGUUGCAAGUCCCAUUUGGUUUUGCAUUGUGUUCGUUCCGCCACUGAAUCCUUCAUAAAAUAGUUUAAGGUUUGGAAGUUGGUUGGAUAAAUAGUGCUAUAAUGGUAGUUACUUUCUUUUAUUUCGUUUGACUUUUCGCUAGUGUAUCACUCCUAGCAUAUAAUUAAUCAAUUCUUCCAGGCAUACCAUGACUUGAUUGUGAUGCUGUGGAUUAUCUAGGACCAUAAGCAUUUGUGUGUUAAUGUAUUAAACUUUUGCCAUACCUUUAACCAAUCUCAUAUGCAAGUAAAUAUGAUCACUUAGAUCAAAUUUCAGUUUAGACUUGAAUUGAAGUUUUAGUGUCCUGUAUGACUGGUCUUUCUCAAUUUUAUCAAACAUAUGUUUCCUUCUGAAAAUAUUAAAGUGGAUUUGAUAGUUUAAGCAAUUUGUGGUUGGAUUUUGGCAGUUUGAAGUUGUAAUUCUGGUACCAAUCAAGACGAGGAAGUGGAUGCCAAGUGUGAAACAACAAGUGGGCAUCUGAAAGUCACGCCACAUUGGAUGAUCCCACAAAAAAUGAAUCUUACAGAGGAACAACAUGGACAGAUUAAGCAGGAGCUAUAAAUGGAUAAAAUUUGAGCAGCUGGAGGAUCCAUAGAUGCCAAUAAACAACCGGAUUAUUCGAACGGACGUACCUCUAAUGGUCUAUCUGGAAAGUCCAGCGGGCAUGAAGUCUAAACGUGAAGUGGAUGAGGAGGAAGAUGAUACUAAUUCUAGAAACUUCAAGAGCUUUCAUUCUCAUGCUUUAUGAAUUUCUUUCUUGCUUCAGAAUUCAAAUGCAAGCUUUCCCUCUCAGUAUUUCUUCAUUGAGACAUUUUUCUCGAACAGGUUUAUACUUGUGUCAAACAUCUUCUGUUAUAACUAGGAAGCCAGUAAGAUUGUUUUUCAAGUACGUUAAGCGGAAACAAUAGGCAAGGCCUUUUGUCAUUAUAUCUACCACUUGAUUUUUUCUGCCCAAGUACUUACUAUUCAAUUCGUUUGUUCCAAUUUUGUCCCUAAUGAAGUGGUCUUAUAUCCCCACAAACUUUGCUCUUCCAUGAAAGACGAGAUUCUGUGCAAGUGCUAUUGCACUCUUGUUGUCACAUAACAACAGAGGAAUAAUUAAACAUACAUGAAUAUGCACUUUAGUAAGCAAGGAUCUUAACCAGCUGAUCAUUUCUGCUGCUACAUGAGACAGGGCUCUGUCUUAUACUUUUGUACUAGAUUUUGAGACCACCUUUUGCUUCUUGGAGCUACAUGAGAUCAGAUUUCUUGCGGGGUAAAAAAAUUCAUGAAAACCCUCAAGUAUUUAUGACAUUUAUAUAAAAAUAGAGUUUGAUUUUUCUUUCAAGUAUGUUCCUACAUUAAUCUCUACUUAAAAACUGAAAUAUCAUUUAAAAAAAUAAUUAUUCUUCCACCUUUAAAAUUCAAUAUUAAAGAGUAAUUUGUCAUUUUUAAUUAGAGUUAGAGGCUUGUUUUAUUAUGUAUAUAAAAUAUUUCUUAGGUGCAAGAACCCUCAUUUUUUUGUGCGGAUAUACUAUUAAACCAUGCAGUUUAAAAGUUGAUUAAAAUGAAUGGUGUAAUAGUGUGUCCAUAUAAAAAAAAAAAAAACAUAAUAAGGGCAUUGGCAUUAAAGAACAUAUAUAUUAUCCCAAUUAGGGAUCCCUAACCAUAUUAAAGUCAGGGGACAAGUUAAAAACAAAAAACAAAAACUUCAAUGUAUUUUGUCAUAUAAUGUAUUAAAAUCUGUAUUUUCUUUUAUCUUUUAGUUUAUCCCUAUUUUAAUAUGGUUAAAGAUUCGUAAUUGGAAACCCACUCUAAUUAUCUAUGUAUUUCUUAUUUUUAAUACAUUCGCACAAAUAUUUAUAUACAAUAAAUGUAUUACUUAGCCCUGCCUGAUAAAAGAUCCCGGGUCCGGCUCUGAAGGAAGAUGCAAUAUCCUCCUGCUGACGCUUCAUUAACCUUUUUCCUUUCAUUUUAAACUUUCUGAAUUAUUGCCUUUCGUAAUUCUCAUAUCAUGCAUUGAGUAUUUAUCUAACUAUGAAAUUAAUUUGAUUAAUAGAGUAUGGCAUAGAAGGACGGGUAUCUAUUAAAAGUGAUGUCGUUGCGGAAUUGAGCUUGAAGUAAGUUUUGGAUAAAUCUGCCGUAAAGAAGCAAUGUGUGCUGUCUAUCUUGAGUUUUGGAUUAAUCUCCUUAUCAUUUGUUAUCUUACUUAAUUAUAGCACUAUAUGAUAUUAUUAUACACUAUUUACAGUUUUCUGUGUUUUUUUUUUUUUUCUAAUUACUAACAUAUGAAACUCUAUUGCCUGGGAAAUUCAAGGAAUUUUGUUUGUGUAUAAUUAAUCAUUUCUUUUUUGGGAUUAAUUUAUAAUUAAUUUUGCAGAUACCAAGUAUCUAGAAAGAGCAGGACCCAGCAAGACCGGGUAAUAGAUAUAUAGAGAGAGACUUUGCAAUUGGUAAAUAUUAAGAGUGGCAGCAAUUAAAGUUGAUUAAUAUGCUAGUAUAAUAUUAGUAUUGACAUUAGGCAGAGACGGAGACUUUAGUGAAUAUUAUUGCUAUAUGAGUAAUUUUUGUAUAUGAGCGUGGCUAAUUACAAUUUCCAAAUCUCUGCGGGUUACUGAAAAUUUAAGUGCCUUGCAUAUGACUAUUAACCCAGUUUUUCAUGCUCGCUCGAAGCAUAUUGAAUUAGAUUAUCACUUCAUUUGAGAAAAAGGUUGCUGAUGGUGCCUUGGUUACGAAGUUUGUCCCUUCUUCGUUACAAAUUGCAGAUGUUUUUACUAAGGCUUUGUCAAAAGCCAUGUUCCGCAAUUUCAGAUACAAGCUUGGCGUUCAUCAAAUGUCACUUGCCAGCUUGAGGGGGGAUGUUAAGCAAGCUGACCAAGAUUACUAAAAGGAAAGUCAUCAACGGUCAAGUCAACAACGGGUUUAUCACUCCACACAACUUGCUCACGUCAAAGCUAUUUGUCAAGGAAUAUCUCCAGCACGAUUUUUGCACUUGAAUGCCAAUAUCAUGUAGGAAUAUUUCAUUCCUAUUUUAUAAAGAUAUUGUGCAAUAGUUUAGGAAGUAUUCACUUAUUUUCCUUUAAUAUUAUUAAGCCUUUUAACGGCUACUUUGUCUUUAUUUUGUAUAAAUAAUUCUGUAAAUUUCAUUAAAAAUAUAGAACAAGAAUUAUACUCUUCAUAGAAUUUCUUUCACUAAAUUCAUCAGCCUCUUGAACCCUCUCCUGAGGGCACCUUCUGUCCUCUGUUUUCUGUUACCAUACACUAACAGACAAAAGCAUUCAGAAUGACAACUGGGACAUAUAUAAGAGUGAAAUAAUUGAAAAAUUAUGCUUUUUUGUUUGUCAUGUUAAAAUCGUAAAGUGCGUAAGUACUAUGAAAGAGAUUAGUUUACGGAAACUGAAGCCAAGGGUUAAAAAAAAAAAAGGUGCAAAGAGAAUAAAGGGCAACGCUUAUGUAAAGAGACAUAAUUGUAUUGGUAGCACAAUGUCACGUUCAUACAGGGAUCAAGCAUAUUAUUUACAGGUGGUAAGGGCUAAGAAUUGAUGUAGCUAGAAUACAAAGGUGAUAAGGUAUGUUGUGCACUAUUUAUUUAUUCUACAAUCAAUCUUGACCAUUGAUGCUUGGAUCUCAAUCUUGUCCAUUGAUCUUCUCUGAUCUCGAAAACUUCAAGACCUUUCAAUCUUAUGCCUUAUUAUUGGUGUCUUCCAUGCUGUAGAUUUCAAAUACAAGGUUUCCCGCCAACUUGCCAAGUAUUUGUCCAUUGGUGCAUUUUAUCAAACAGUUUGAUACUUAUACCAAACGCCUUCUGUUUUAACUCCCCCUCUCAAGCUCAACUAUCUGGGAAGACAUUAAUAAACUUGUUUCUCAAGUAUAUGUAUCUGAAAAUGAAAUUUUAAAAAUUAUAUUCGGACUCUACAUUUUCUAAUGAACAUUGGUUUGGCUUAUAAGCUUAUUAUACUCAGGCUUGGUGGGAUUAUCGGUCGGUAGAUGACCGAGUGUUAGAGCUUUCGAAUUUAUGCCAAUUAAAAAAAAAAAAAAAAGAAUCUACAUAAAGUUUCAACUAGGCUACUACCACAAUAAACAUUUGGAUCAACUAUUAUUGAAACCUUAUUGAGAAGUGGGACAUGUCGCAUACCAAUGCACUGACAUAUCUUCAAAUAGUGGUAACUCCACACAGCAUGGCACAAUAAAUUAAGAGUUAUAUAGAUAAAAUCUUUCACUCUUUGGUAAUCAUCAAUUUCACUAUUAUUCGGUUUAUUAUGUUUGUUUCUUUCAGUAUGUUAAAAGAUUAUGUUGUGAAUUUGUUUUACAGGCUGCCCGUAAGUCUGCGCCCACCACCGGUGGUGUUAAGAAGCCUCAUCGUUACCGUCCUGGAACCGUCGCCCUUCGGUUUGUUCUCUAAUUUAAAUUUCCGUUGUAUAGCUUUAGUUGUUCUUGUCUAAUUUUGUGGGUAAUUUUGUAUAGAGAAAUUCGCAAGUACCAGAAGAGUACCGAACUGCUUAUCAGGAAACUCCCAUUCCAGGGACUUGUUCGUGAAAUUGCUCAGGACUUCAAGGUACCUUGUUAUCGUUUUGGUUGUUAUCUUUGUUAUCUUUAAAUUGGGUUCCCAAGAUUUCUUGAUAGACGGUUAAUGGCUAUUUUGUUGUCUGUUUUGCAGACUGAUCUGCGUUUCCAGAGCCAUGCAGUGCUGGCCCUGCAGGAGGCAGCCGAGGCUUAGGGCAUCUCCAAUGUAGCACUAAACCUAACACCAAAUCAUCUUUUACAUCAUUUUUGGUGUAAAAUGCUUCUCCAAUGUAACACCAAAAUGGUGCAAUGAAUAGUAUUGCACCAAAUAUGGUGCAAUACUAUUCAUUUGCACCAUAUUUGGUGCUAGGAAAAAAAGUCUCAAGUAUCCUUAUUACUUUAUCUUAUUUACAUAUAUGUCAUAUUUUAUAUAAUAUUUUAAGUUAUUAUUAUUAUUGUUAUUUUUUAAUUUCAUUUUUUAAUUUUUGAAUAUUUUAAAUAAAAAAUAUUCAACACAAAAAUUUAUAAUAAAAAUAAAAUGCCAAUAACAUUAAUUACUAGAUUACAUAUUACAAAAUUAAAAAUACAAAAUUAAAUUAACACAAAUUAAAAAAGCUACUACUACUAGCAUAAAUUAAAACAAUUAUUUAGUAAUGUGGGAGAUCAUUAUUAGAUUCUCCAAUAUCAUCAAAAUAUUUUUCUAUAUUAAUGUAAUGUUUAAUUUUCAUAAUGCACUUAUUAUUGUUAUUGUAUUUUUCUAUAUUAAUGUAAUGUUUAAUUUUUAUAAUGUACUAAUUUAGUUAAUUAAAUGCAAUAUUUAUUAAUUUUCUAUUUUUUUGUUAAUCGAUAUAAAAUUACUUAUUACUUAAUUAUCUAUAUUAAUAGUAAUAUUUAUUGUGUUAAUUGAAUUAAUUCUUGAGAAUUAAAAGAAUAAAAAGAAAAAUAUUCUUUUUGAUGUAAAAUUUGGUGUAAAUGGGUUGGAGAUGAAAUAAUAAUUUAGUGUGAAAAAGGUUCAUUUUUAGUGUUGGUGUUACACCAAAAUGAUGUUAUGCAUUGGAGAUGGCCUUACCUCGUCGGUCACUUUGAGGACACCAAUUGAAUGACUGGAAAGGGAAGGGGGAAGUUGUAAUGUGUUAAUUUGUAUGUGGGGUUCGUGGGGACGACGUCGCUUUUUCUUAGAUAUUUUUUUUCUUUUUCCUCCCUUAAAAACAGUGAAAUUACUUAUACUGGUUUUUCUAUUUUACAUUUUGAAUAUUAUUAAUUAAUAUAAUUUAAGAUAACAAUCAGGGAUAAAACAAUCAUUUUUUAUUCAAGAUCAUUUUAUCAAUAUUCUGUUAAAUAUUCUCACAAUUUAACUUUAUCCUUAACAAAAAUUUAACUUUUUUUUUUAAACUAACGGAACCAAAUUCUAUAUAUAAAUGUAUAGUACGCAUUAAUAAAUAAAUAAAACUUUGACGACCGGAGGGAAUGAAUAAAUAAAUAGAUAAAACUUUCGAAGCUCGUGAAUGUGCUAUUUUGGUUUUUUUUUUUUAGUAAUUGUUUAAUUGAAAAAAGAAAGCUUCGGGAUUUAUUUUUGACGGGACGGCUGAGAUUUGUUGACCUUCUAGAGAAUGAGAACAGAUUUUCAAUUUGUUGAUUAGUAUUCCUACAGUCCAGCCCAAAAGUACCGGCUCAAUGAGUUCGGUCAUGUUUGGUAACAGGUAUCCAUCACUUUCAAAAUCCGGUCCUACCAACGUAUCGGCUUUUACUGGCUGUCGUAUCAUCCGUGAAUGCAUGGGAGAGUGAGACUACUCCAAUCUCCACGACAGAAAUUUUAGAAUAUAUCUAUUGUAUUAUAAUUAAUUGAUACAUAUAUGACAUGUAUAAUUGAGUAUAAUAUAACCACUAUUUAUAUAAUAAUUUAUAAAAUAAAUGCACACAUAUUAUGACAUUAUUUACUUGUUAUAUGGAUAAUAAAUGCACACAUGUCAUCAGUCUUUGGUAAACAAAUUCACAAUAUAUAUUAAUCUUUGUGGAAGCUAUGUCCAAAAAAUAAAUAUUGUAAAAAAAUUUUAAUUAAUAAUUUUUUGGACAUUAAUAAAAAAAAUUAAUAUAUUAACUCCUCAUGGAGUAUUCAAAACAAUUGAUAUAAAUUUUGUUGUUUCUAUUUUACUUUUUUGGUUUAAAUUGACAAUUUAAUUUUUCUUUUUAUUAAUGUCCAAUAAAAAAGAAAUAUUAUUGUACGAGUGUAAUACUGUAAAAACAAGUCAAAAAGAAUAAAAAGUAACAAUUAGGGUGUCAAUACUUAACAACAAAGAUGUUUUGAGAUAUUUUUAAAAAUAUAAGGAUUAAACGAGAUUUUACCAUUAUUAAUUAUAGUCAUCUUUUUAUAAAUUACAAUUAGAGGAAGUUGGUUAAUGUUGUUGACACGCACGCACACAUAAAGAUUUAUUGGAAGUGCUUAUGCCGACUCGAAGUUGUUGGGAAUUAAUGCAUGUAUUGAUUUAUUGGGAGUGUUUAAAUGAUUUUGUGAUUUACUUGAUUGAUUGAAUAUUGUUUGAUUGCUUCAUAUCCAUUCUACAAAGUUUAUUUCUUUGUGAAAUUUCAACGACAUAUUUUUAAAAAAUAAUAAUAAUAAGGGUGUUCUAAAUCAUUUUAAAAAAUAUAUGGACUUAUUAGAAUUAAUUACUAGGUAAUUAACUUGAUCUGUACAGGGUGAAACAACAUUUAUCCUAAUUGUAUCAUGACAAAUACUUUUCCGAUUAGAAUUAGGAAACCAUAGGUUUAUUGAAUUAUUUUUUUUUAUUUUCGUUUGGAGAAACGGAUUAGAGAAUUAGAAAACAAUCCUAAUGAUAUAAUUAUCAGGUUUAAAACAGUGCAUAAACAGUGAAAAGCUAAUUAGUCUGUAGAGUAAUUUGCUAAUUGUUAUCUCCUCUCUAUGCGCGCUGAAUAAUUUGUUGCAUGCAAACUUUUUAUUUUAUGCAAAUCGUACUUACUGUAACAUUGGAAUUGAUGUAUAAGCAAAAUUACAAUAAUAUUUAUGUCAAUAAAAAUAGUUUUUUUUUCCUUUUUAAAUAAACACAACGCGAUGUUGCUCUGCUCUACAUUUUUGCUAUCUCUUUAUUCUUUUUUUUUUUUUGGGCUUCUUAAAGCCUCAAACUUUGAUAACCAAAACUUCAUCGACCUAUGAAAAAAUCUGCAGAUUAGUUUUUAUUAUCGGAAUAAUUGUUUGAGAAUACGAAAACAAAAUAUAAAAUAAGAAAAUAGGGGGUUAAAUUAGAGGGGGAAAAAAAGGCAUGUUCUAUCGAUUACUAUAGUUUAAGGGAAAAAAAAUCAAUUGGGGAUUUUUUUUCUUUAAUUUUUGUUUUACUUGAUGGAGAUUUCUCCUUAGUCCUUACAGUUUUAAGUUUGGAUGCCGUAGGGUUAGUAAUUUAGUACUUCCUUUGCAAGCUGAGUGUAAGAAUGAAAAUCUUUAAAGAAAUUAAAAAAGAAAAAAAUAAAAAAAGCAUACCAAUAGGCAAUUAUAAAUAACCAUAAAUAAACAUAAACAAAAUGUUUAUGAAGUAAAUUACACAUGCACAUAUUAUUUUCUUGUUUUAUUUCUUACUUGUCUAUUUUAUUUGCUGCUUGAUAACCCUUAAAUACUAAUCUAGUACUGCUAAUUUCAGACACAAAAUGUUUAACUCUAGGCUGCAGUUUUACUCAAAAUGAUGACCACUGGCUUCGCACCAUUUAACCAGCAUACAUUUCUACAAAGGGAAAAGGACAUUCAACCCCCCAACGUUUAGGAAAAUGGACAAAAAACCCUUCAACGUUUCAAAAAGGACUUAUAACCCUCUUUCUGUUAACAAACACCGUUUGUUUUAACAGUAAAUUUAUUUUUAAUUUUUAAUUACUAUUAUACCCUUAUAAUAAAAAAAUUAAUGUAUUAAUUUGAGAUAUAUCACAAUUAAUAAUUUUUUAAAAGCUUAAAAUUAAGAUACAAUUAUUUUUUUGCCAAAAUUAUUUACUAUAAAUUAUACCUUUCUAACAAUAAUAAUAUCGUUUUGAUUCCUCAAAGAAAAAGAGUUUAAUCAAAUUUCGUUUUAUUAGUAAUAAUCACAUAUGAAAGAUUUUAUCAUUAGAAACGUAUAAUUUAUAGCAAAUAAUUUGGGCAAAAAUGUAAUUGUAUCUCAAUUUUUAGUUUUAAAAAAAUUAUUAAUUGUGACAUGUCUCAAAUCAAUAUAUUAAUUUAUAUUUAUUAUAAGGGUAUAAUAGUAAUUAAAAAUUAAAAAUAAAUUUACUGUUAAAACAAACGGUAUUUAUUAACGGAAAGAGGGUUAUAAGUCCUUUUUAAAAUAUUGAGGGGUUUUUUGUCCCUUUUCCUAAACGUUGGGGGGUUGAACGUCCUUUUCCCUUCUACAAAUUGAACAAGGCUAUUAAUUUUCAUUAUUAUUUUUUAUUUAUUUAUAAAUUACUAUUUUAAUUUUCACUUUUUAUUGGGUUGUUUAACGGAUUAGUGAAGUUGGUGGUCGUGAUGCACUCACAAGGUACAAUUUUAUUUUAUAAUUUCGAAUUUGUAUUUUAAAAUGCAGGAACAUUAUGUAUACAUAAUUAUUGAUUUUCGUAUGUGGAUGUUUUGAAAUAUUGCUAAAAGACCAAACUUUAAUAAACUAUUUUUCAUCUUUUUUUUCCUAAAGUUUGAGUGAUAUCCGCAUUUUAAAUUCAUCUGGAACAAAAGCUAAUGUAUGCACAAAAUUCUUUUAUUUUUUCCGAGAAAAAUGGGUAAGAGAAGAAGAUUUUUCUCUUGAAAAAGAAAAACUAAUACGAUGCAAGCAUAGGAAAGAGGUCAAUGUUUUGGAUUAGAAUUUAGUAUUGAGCUGAAUUUUAUACUAAACUCUUUUAUAGUACUGCGAUUAAUAAACUCAUGAUUUGCUUUUGCUUUUACUUCAAGUGAAAGAAAGAGGAAACCUUUUGUUUUUUGUUUGAUUCUUGACUAUAGAUGUUACCUAUAUAGAGAGUUGAGGUAGCUACCUUAAGUGAUGGUGAUAAAAAGAUUAAGCAGCGCACACAAUCUUACUGUCGUCCAGACCAUCCAGCUGUGAUGACUCUAGUUUUUUGGGUUACAUUAGCUUUAGUGGAAAGGAGGGCCAAUUUAACAAAGACUAGAUUUGGUGGCUUACUAUAAUGCUUAUUCUCAGGGAAUCUAAUGUUAUAAGAUGAUUUAAUGAUCUUCUAUGAUUGUGAGUAGUAUAGUAUAAUUGAAAAGAGCCUGGGCUCCUAUGAUGAAUAUAUAAUAGUAACACAGUACUGUGAUUGAAAAAAACACAGUUACAAUAAACUCUUCAUUUAUUCAUUGCGGAGAUUGAAUGGCAAAGAGAGAAUAAAAUGAAGCAGAGGAAUCUCAUUGCCAGUAAAAUUGAUCCUCUUUAAUGUUAUAUGGCACAGGUGUGUGUACAGCAAGAGCAAGUUACUUGCAGUUUUUAUUGUAAAAUAUACAGGUUAUGACCAUGAUCAUUGUAGUUAGGUUUUGAUGAUUUUAGAUGCUUUUUUUUUAUUUUUUUAAAUUGUGACACCUUUGAUUUAUGGUAGUUUUGCAGAAGAAAAAAAUAUAUAUAAAAAUUAGGAGGGAUGAGUUAACUAACGAUUGCAAUCAUUACAGUAAUGUUGAUGAGUGAUACAUCAUUUGAAAUUUACUUGUCAGUUGCUGAAAUGAUGAAAAAAAACAAUAAACAAUAGCAGUAAUAUUUUUAUGGAAAUUCUUGGUUUUUAUGGAAAUACUCUUGCUGAAAUUCUAAUUUUGACUUUCAACUCUUGGUUUUUAUGGAAAGUAAAAUGACUUGUUUGUUAUAUUCAUACAACCCACUCUACAUAAUGAUUUCAUUUUAAUAAAUGGUUGAUGAUCUCCACAGAAAAACUACUUCAAUUCUUUUUUUUUUUAUUUAACUUUUUGGUUGUUGAAAAUAGCCUUAAUUUUCAAAUCAUUGGAGAAAGAGUAAAGAACAUUUAACAAAUUUAUGUGCCAAAAAUAAAGGAGAAAUUGAAGAGAAAGGGUGCUUGCAGAAGUGGGUGCAAAGAUAAAUCAGUCCAUAAGAAUUAUUGUGGUUAUUAAUUUUUUGGCAAUAUAAAAAUUUUUCAGCAAAUAAAAAUUGAAUUUUCCGAUUUACUAAAAAAUCAAUUAAAAACUUCGGCGAUAGCAUUUUUUAUGGGUGCAUGUACCCUCCCUUUAAAAAAAAAUAAUAAUUAAUACUUAAUAUAGUAUUAAAUACGAAAAUAUCAAUAUUUGACUACACAAAUUUAUAUCAUUAGGUCCUUAAAAUUUAAAAUUGAAGACACAAAAUGAAAUAUAUAUAAAUUUCAUUCUCAUAGGAAAGGAUCCUCUUAUAAUCUUAAAAUAUUUGAGCUUUGAAAGAUUUUUUAAAACAAAUGUACUUUUAUUUUUGUACAAUCAAUAAUUACUUAUUUAUUAUAUUUUUAUUCAUUAACUAUCAAUCAUGUGAGUAUAUCUACUCAGAAAUAUCAUAUCAAGGGAGAAUCUUGAUCCCACGCACACGCAAAUAUGUUAAUUUCUAUACGCUUCACUUACCUGUAGAAUCAAUUAUCUAAAAUGCAAGUUUGUGGCCACAAAAAAAGCCAAAGAAAGAAGAUAAUAACAAUUGACUUGUAUAUUAUACUCAUACAAUCCACUCGACAUAAUGAUAUCAUUUUAAUAAGGCAAUGGCUGAUGAUCUCCAUUGAAAAACUAAUUCAAUUUUUUGCUUCAUUUAACUUGUUGGUUGUUGAAAAUAACCUUAAUUAUCAAAUAAUUGGAGAAAGAGUAAAGAACAUUUAACAAAUUUAUGUGCAAAAAAAAAAAAAAGAAAGGAGAAGUUGAAGAGAAAGGGUGCUUGCAGAAGUGGGUGUCAAAGAAAAAUCAGUCCAUAAUAAUUAUUGCCGUUAUUUUUUGGCAAUAUAAAAUUUUUAUAGCAAGUAAAAAUUAAUUUUUUUCCAAUUUACUAAAAACUUCUGCGACAGCAUUUUUUAUGGGUGCUUAUACCAUCCCUUUAAAAAAAAUAAUAAUAAUUUAAUGCUUAAUAUAGUAUUAAAUACGAAAAUAUCAAUAUUUGACUACUCAAAUUUAUAUCAUUAGGUCCUUAAAAUUUAAAAUUGAAGAUACGAAAGGAAAUAUAUAUAAAUUUCAUUCUCAUGGAAAGGAUUCUCUUAUAAUCUUAUAAUAUUUGAGUUCUGAUUUUUUUUUUAAACAAAUGUAAUUUUAUUUGUGCACAAUCAGUAUUUACUUAUUUAUUAUAUUUUAAUUUAUUAACUAUCAAUCAUGUAAGUAUAUUUAGUCAGAAAAAUUAUAUCAAGAGAGAAUCCUAAUUUCACGCAAACACAAAUAUAAGACAAAUAUGUCAAUUUCUAUACUAUUCACUUCCUGUAGAAUCAAUUAUCUAAAAUGCAAGUUUGUGGCUACAGAAAACUCGCCAAAGAAAGAAGAUAAUAACAAUUGAGCAUUGAUAGCAAAACUAAUGCAUCAUUUUAUUCUUGACUUGAUGAGAUGGUGGCAUUACAAAAAAAACAAGUACCUUAAUUGACGGGCACUGAGUGAUGUGAAUACUACCAGCCAGUUCAUCUCUUCCAGUCUUGCUUAAUCACAAUCACAAACACCACGAGAUCGACAUUUGCAUUAUAUAUAUCUUCAGCAAUCGAAACACCUUGCAUUACCAAAUUAACCAGUAACAAACAAAGCAAUCUUUCAUGGAGAGAAACCUUAGUCUCAGUAUGAUCACUGUGUCAUUAACCCACUGCCUGCUUCUUUGCUUGGUUGUUGCAGCAGCAGCAGCAGCAAGCAACAAUAUUACCACAGACCAACAAGCUCUUCUUGCCCUGAAAGAUCAUAUAACUUAUGAUCCAACCAACCUUUUUGCCCAUAAUUGGACCUCGAAUACCUCUGUUUGUACCUGGAUUGGCAUCACUUGUGAUGUCAAUAGCCAUAGAGUCACAGCCUUAGAUAUUUCUCAAUUCAAUCUACAAGGCACCAUCCCUCCUCAACUCGGAAACCUCUCUUCACUCACAACGCUUAAUCUUAGUCAUAACAGGCUUUCUGGAAACGUUCCCUCCUCCAUCUACACAAUGCAUACGCUAAAAUUUCUUGACUUCACUGAUAACCAGCUCUCUGGUUCAGUGUCUUCCUUCGUCUUCAACAUGUCUUCAAUAGUAGACAUUCGUUUGACCAAUAACAGACUUUCUGGUGAGCUUCCGAAAACUAUUUGCAACUAUCUUCCUCAUUUGAAAGCCCUUUUUUUGGACAAAAACAUGUUUCAUGGCAAAUUUCCUUCUGCUUUAUCAAAGUGCAAACAACUGCAACAAUUAAAUUUGCAGUUCAAUAAUUUAUCCGGUGCAAUACCAAAAGAAAUCGGCAACUUGACUAUGCUCAAAUGGAUAGACCUCGGCUACAACAAACUCCACGG